rnacentral:lncRNA from 1 species
UUUUUUUUUUUUUUUUUUGGUUUAAGGAGCUUGAGACAUCAAAGUAAUCUUUUGGCAUUCUAUUGUAGAGAUAUAUUUUUCCUCCGAGUUUUGCUUCAACAUCCAACAGUAUGUUUCCACCGACAAAUUCUUACAAAUUUGAGCCAAGCUACUGGAAGUCUACAAGGUAAAAACAUAAACCUGCAAGAUUUGCGAGACUAGUGGAGAAGAAAAGAGAAGGCAAAGAAGGAAAGAGAGAGAGAAGAAAAGAGAGACAAAAAGUGAGACUGGUUUGGUGGCCAGACUGCAUAAAGAAAAGGAAGAGGAAGAGACAUACGUCACUUGGGUUUAGUUAGGUUAUGGGCCUUUGGACCUUCGAUUUAGUUAAAUUUGGUCGGCCUUGCGAGAGAUUAGUAUUAGAUGGGCUAUGUUUAUUGAAUAUUUAAAAACAUAAAAAUUAAAUUAUCACCUUAUUUUUUUAAUGUAGAUAAUAUCGUUUGUUUAAAAGAAAAAUAUAAAAAUUAAUAUUAACCGGUUCAGUUCAAUCAUGCUAGUUUUUCAAUUUGAGAACCUGAAUCGAAACCAAUCUGAACUGGCUCAAUUCAAUUCUUGUCAAAAGUUGAUUUUUUUGGUCAACAAACACAAAUUUUUUUUUUCGAUUUUUUUUUUUGUCAUGGUCCAUUUUGCUUUCUCGGUUCUAUGUUUCUCAUGCCCACCCCUAAAAACUAAAGGUGUCAAACGGUCUAACACCUAAAGGUGUCAUAUGGGCCUAAGCCGUUCUUGGGCCGUGCCACUAAACAAGCUGCUCAACAAACUUCAGUUAUUUUAUAUUUUCAGAAAACUUUAUUUGAAUCUAGUUUAAAUCCUAAUAUUUCAAUUAUUUAGUUGUAUUAGCUCCAAACUGUAUGUUUUACUUGAAAAAUAAUGAAUAAAUAUAUUAAUAUUUUAGAGAAUUGUUAUUAGCACUCCAAAAAUCUCAUUUGGCACUCCAAAGUUUCUAUAAUUAGAAAGAAAAAUACACUUGUGAGGAGUGUAGAAUUAGAUUUUUGGAGUGCUAAUAUCAAUUCUCAUAUUUAAUUAUGUAUUAGUUUAAAUGGGAUAGUCAUCAUAGUGGCCCCACGUCAUGGGUCGUGCUUGGCCAUGAUGAAUUGCAGCCGGGCCGGCCUAUUGGACCUAAACCUUAGGACCGACUUGGUCACUCAUUGCUAAUUGUGACAUGCAGUGCCUUAUUUAAAUGAGCUUGAGUCGUGCCUAUUUUAAUAAGGCACGGCCAUUGACAUCCGUUCUUUGUUGUGGUUUCCCUUUCCGUUCUUACUAUCUAACAGACAUACUAUUUCAUUCACCGUCCGUAAUUUUCCGUUUUACAAUGGGAAAGGGGGGUUCCAGUUGUGUGUGGCGGAUUUCUAUUGGGAUCCUAUGAGUUUAAUUAGUCAUUUAUGAUUUAUGAGUGUUAAAGUUUCCUCCUGUAUAAUGAGUCUGUGUUCUCCUCCUGGUUUCUCAACUUAUAUGUGAUUGUAUGGUAGACAAAAAUGGAUCUUAUAAAGAAGUCGUUGAUGUCCUCAAAAAAUGGAUGCUUUGGUGGUAAUUACUUAUGUUCUAACUUCUAAUCAUAUUGGUCCUUUAACUAGCAACUGCUAAUAGUUAUGCUAAAAUAUGACUUCGAAGCCACUUAGUACUACAGUCUAGUGAUAUUCUUAUUCAUUAAUAAGUAAGAGGUCUUAGGUUCGAUUAUCGCUAAAUGCGAAUUUUAACCACAUUAUUGCUAUCCCAUUAUAAGGUUAAGCUCACGCCUCCUCUUUAGUGUAGAUAAUAUUGUUUGUUAAAAAAUGACUUGGAAAUAGAAAUAGGGUGGUGUUAACCGCACACCUCAUUUUAUCUUUUACACUCUCUCAAUUAGAUUAUGUCUACAACUACAUAUAUAACGCAGUUAUUGUUUUACAUUUGAAACUAGAGAAAUAGAGCACCAUGAUCCAAAAGACCAGAAUUACAAAUGUUUUGACAAGUAGAUAACAGCUUUCCUGCCCUUGGCACUUGUUCAACCUAAAACACCAAUUCAAUUUUAGUUCGAAUAAAAAAUGUUGUGAAAAUUACAAGAAAAUUAACUCGCUUUUUGCUUUGUUCUUCUGUACAAAGGGAUCCUGCCUAAUUCACUAAUUCGGGGUAUAAUAAAAUUAUAUUCUUCUAAAAAGCUUGUAGACAAUUAGGCUGAAAUGCGAGUAUAUCGCUCUCCUUAAGGAGAUUAAAGUUCACUGCGGUUUAACAAAGUCCACGAACAAAUGCAGCAGUAUAUCCCAUGACUUGUUCCCUCCAUAAUACAAUAGCCUAACAAAAUUGUUUUGUGACUCAAACCUAUCUGCACAAAAGGAAGAGUCCAAAGCUCAACCACAUGAACACUCUUCUUUGGUCAGUAAGUAAAAACAGAAAAGAUUGAGGAAUGGAGAGAAUAAUUGUUGUAUAAGAAAUUAGGUAGUGGGAUAAAACUAAAAGAAAACGAAGGAUGAUGGAGAAAAUGCUACUAAUUAUAGAUUUAUUAUCACCCUUAGUGGAUAAGGUAAUAUACACAAAUUAACAAGACAAAAGUUAUAAGAGUUACAUAAGAUGAAUUGCUAAAAGACUCCAUCUUAGUUUUCCCACUAACAACAAAUAAUAACAACCGUCUAACUUCUCACUUACAACAAAUAAUGGCAAUUAUAAUUUAUUUAUUAAAUAUUAAAAAUACACCAACAAAAAGCUUCUCUUUUUUUUUUUCAUUUUUGCAGUGGCUUUGCCCCUAGAUGAGUUGAUAUGCUCAAAGUAGCUUCCCCUUCUCCAUAUUAUAGAAAAUAAAUCUUCUUUAAGAAGUAUAAAUGUCCUGGCAAAUGACACAAUGCUCUUACAUUAAUCUGUUAAAGUCCCACAUCGGUGGGUGCAAGAAAAUCAAAGGGGUUUAAAUAGUAUUACUCUACUCUAACUAACACCGAGGCCUUUUGUGGUAAAAUUCCACACCUGAGGAUUGUGCAGGUGGUUAAGUUAGGAACAAUAUUGGUGUCGUUAGAGUGGGACGGGCCCGGCGAUCCAAAAAUUCCAAUAUGGUAUUACAGCCCACGGUUGCGGGCCUAUGCAAGCCAAUGAGCUUGUCACCAAGAAGGAAACAAGUUUGAACUCUUAACAAAGAGACGACCGCUGAGUUCCAUUGAAAACAAGUGGGCCCAACGUGAGCCGACAUCUGAGUUUCAAUUACCGAUGUGGAUCUCCACGUGUGAACCACUAAAUGAGGUUACACAUGAGUGGGAGUGUUAAAGUCCUACAUCGGUGGGUGCAAGAAAACCAAAGGGGUUUAAAUAGUAUUACCCCACUCUAACUAACACCGAGGCCUUUUGUGGUAAAAUCUCACAUCUGAGGAUUGUGCAUGUGGUUAAGUUAGGGACAAUAUCGGUGUCGUUAGAGUGGGGCGGACCCGGCGAUCCAAAAAUUCCAACAUAAUCUAGCCAUGACACUUCCCUCUUGGAUGGCGAUUUCUCUACUUCGCUGUUCCACAGGUGCACUGCAUAAGUCUCCAUUUCAUUUAGCUCAUUAAGUGUGAUUUCCACCGCUCUUGACUCCGAUUCCAGUCCACGGGAUAAAAUGCCUUGGGAGGCAAGAUUGUAAGGUUGUAACCUGGUGUGCUUCCAACUCUCUCAAUUACCCUCGAAACCAAGUAAGUGUUGAAUGGUGGCCAAGUGGCCAUUACCUUUUGGCUAUUAAACAAAUCAAAAGAAAAAAAGGACAACAUGAUUAUGUUUCUUCCUUGUUUUGGGGAGAAAAAAAAGGGCACUUUGUCUAAAGUUUUUUUUCUUUGGUCCAUGUGAGAAGUCACGGGACUCCUAGGGUUUUUAACUAGCAGCAACAGCUGCCUUUUGUUGUGGGAUAAAGGCAGUCGCAUAAGAGAAGAAAAUAGGAGGAAGCAGCAGAAAGAAGAAGAGAGGUACGCAGCUCCCAUAUAAGAAAGAAAGGUGAUUUUCUUUCUUGGUUAGUUCUCACUCAAUCAAAGUUGUAUUUGUGUAUUAGCUUUGAGCUUCGUAUAGAGAAGAAAUUAUUCAUUAUAUUUCUCUCUAUUUGUUUCUUUGGAGUGUGAGAGCUAUUGGUUGUAUUGGGGUUUUGGGUUGUGAGCUUGCCAACACUUUGUAAACUUCCAUUUGGUUGAUAGUAGAUUAUUGGGUGAGCUCAUACUGCUCCGAGGAUGUACUCCAGUUACACUGACUGUUGAGGAACCUCGUUAAAAUCUUGGUGUCUUUUAUAUUUUGUUCUUGCAUUUUCAUUAGAUAAAUUUCCUGUGGGUUAGCUUGAGUUGGUUCCAACAGGUUUGGUGCUAUCCUAGCACAACAAUUGGUAUCAGAGCACUGGUUGCUCUUGGGUACUGUCUAGUUGCCAAAGAUGUCAGACGGGCAAGAUGAGAAUCCUUUUGGAAGCAGCUCCGGGUUUGCAAGAACUACGGUGCAAAAUGCAAAGUUCGAAGUGAAAAAGUUUGAUGGCACAAACAACUUCAGGAUGUGGCAAUGUGAGGUCAACGAUGUGUUGGCUCAACAAGAUCUACUUGCCGCUUUGGGAGAGAAGUCGGAAGCUAUGUCGAAGCCGGAAUGGGAGAAAUUAAAUUUGUGGACUUGCUCUUCAAUUCGGUUGUGCCUUGCAAAAACUCAGAAGUAUUUUGUGAUGUGGGAGACGGUAGCAAGUGUGUUGUGGCAAAAAUUGGAAGACAAGUAUAUGACGAAGAGUGCAGAGAAUCGACUACACUUGAAGAAAAAGCUCUACCGCUUUCAAUACAAAGAAGGUACAAAAAUGAUUAGACACCUUGAUGCUUUUAAUAAGUUGAUUGCCGACUUAUUAAAUUUAGAUGAGGAUAUUAAGGAUGAAGAUAAGGCCUUAAUAUUGUUGAAUUCAUUGCCGGACUCUUAUGAGCAUUUUGUUACCAUUAUUAUGCAUGGUAAAUAAACUGUGAAAUUUGAAGAUGUGUCAAAUGCCUUGAUGAAUUAUGAAAUGAGGCAUAGAGAUAAAAAUCAUGAUAGUACCUCUGAAGCUUUAUUUGUUAGAGGUAGAUCAUCGGAGAGGAAGUCAUCUUCUAGUAGGAAAAAAUCACACUCUCGACCUAGAGGAAACUCUAAAGGUAGAAAAACCUUGGAAAUGGAUGAAUGUGCCUUUUGUCAUUAUAAGGGCCAUUGGAAGAAAGAUUGUCCUAAGUUGAAGACCAAAGGAAAAGAAAGUUCUGAAGCCAAUGUUGCUGAGGUUGAAACAUAUGUUUUUGAUUUUGCUUUAACCACUUCCUCAUCAUUUGAGUGUGCUACUAAAUGGGUGUUGGAUACGGGUUGUACUCAUCAUAUGACUCCUCACAAGGAUUGGUUUUCAAGCUUGAAAGAGUUUGAUGGUGGUGUUGUGUUCAUGGGAGAUGACAAUCCUUGCAUAACAAAAGGGAUUGGUACAAUUCGUUUGAAGUUGCAUGAUGGCAUGGUUAAAGAGUUGACAAGUGUUCGGUAUGUACCGAAUUUGAAGAAAAAUCUUAUUUCUUUAGGUACUUUGGAAUCCAAGGGCUUCAGGUUUCAUUCAGAUGGACAGACAUUGAAAGUUACUUAUGGUGCACUUGUUAUGAUGAAAGCUCCUCGAUAUGGCCAUUUGUAUUUAUUGCAGGGAAGCACUGUGACAGGUGAAGUAUCUGUAGUCUCUGAAAAUAUGGGCACAUUUGAUUCAGAUACUACUAAACUGUGGCAUAUGACUGUGGCAUAUGAGAUUAGGCCAUGCCGGUGAGAAAGCUCUACAAGGGCUUGUGAAAAAGGGUCUUCUAAAAGGUGCCACGACUUGUAAGCUUGAUUUCUGCGAGUAUUGUGUCUUGGGGAAGCAAACUAGAGUGAAGUUUGGUACUGAUGUACAUCAGACGAAGGGCAUUCUUGAUUAUGUGCAUUCGGAUGUUUGGGGUCCUACAAAGACUCCCUCUUUGAGUGGUAGACAUUGCUUCGUGACCUUUGUUGAUGAUUAUUCAAGAAGGUCUUGGGUUUACACUAUGAAGCACAAGAGUGAGGUGUUAAACAUUUUCUUGGGUUGGAAGAAAAUGGUUGAGAACCAGACUGGGAGAAAGAUUAAGAUUUUGAGAUCGGAUAAUGGUGGUGAAUACACAUCCGAUCCUUUCUUUAAAGUUUGCAAAGAGGAAGGAAUUGUGAGACAUUUCAAUGUUCGGGGAACUCCAUAACAAAAUGGAGUUGCAGAAAGAUUGAAUCGAACCUUGCUUGAGAAGGUUAGAUGUAUGUUGUCUCAGUCGGGUUUAAGCAAGUCAUUUUGGGCAGAGGCAGUUAAUUAUGCAUGUCACAUCAUCAACCGGUUACCCUCAACUGCUGUUCAGGGUAAGACACCAAUGGAGGUAUGGACUGGAAAACCUUCUUCUGAUUAUGACUAUAUCCGUAUUUUUGGUUCACCUGCUUAUUUUCAUGUGACUGAAAAUAAACUUGAUCCUAGAGCCAAAAAGGCUAUCUUUCUUGGUUUUAGUAGUGGUGUCAAAGGUUAUAGGUUAUGGUGCCCAGAGAUGAAAAAACUUGUAAUCAGCAAAGAUGUGACAUUUGAUGAAGAAAGUAUGUACAAAGUCUCUGAGAAUAAUGUGAAAGAUGUCCAACAGGUGGAGCUUGAGAAAGUUGCCUCUGGUACUUCAAAUCAUAUUUCCGCUGAUGUCGAAGCUACUACAAGUGAAAAAGUUGGAGACCAUGAGGAUGUUGAAGAAGUUGAACUUGAAGAUUCUAUUCAAGUUGAAGAGCAAGUUUCACCUCAAGAGUCUAUUGCAAAGAACAGAAGAAGGAGACAAAUUACCAAGCCAGCUCGGUAUAGUGACUAUGUUGCUUUUGCUCUUCCUAUUAUCAUUGAUGAUAUUCCAUCCAAUUUCGAGGAAGCCAUUGAGAGUGAGGAGAAGAAGAGGUGGUGCAAUGCCAUGGGUGAUGAGAUGAAUUCUCUCUUGAAGAACAAGACUUGGGAGCUAGCUAAAUUGCCUAAAGGCAAGAAAGCUAUCGGUUGCAAAUGGGUGUAUGCCAAGAAGGAAGAUGCUGAUGAGAAAAGCAAUAUGAGAUUUAAAGCAAGAUUAGUUGCUAAAGGGUAUGCACAAAAGGAGGGCAUUAACUACAAUGAAAUCUUUUCUCCGGUUGUGAAACACUCCUCAAUUCGUAUUAUGUUAGCUCUUGUUGCACAAUAUGAUCUUGAGCUUGUGCAACUUGAUGUGAAGAUGGCUUUCCUACAUGGUGAUUUGAAUGAAGAGAUUUAUAUGUGUCAACCGGAUGGGUAUAUAGUGAAAGGGAAGGAGAAUUUGUUUUGCAAAUUGAAGAAAUCACUUUAUGGCUUGAAGCAAUCUCCAAGGCAAUGGUAUUUGAGGUUUGAUAAAUUUAUGAGAGGCCAAAAUGAUUCUAGAAGUCAAUAUGAUCAUUGUGUGUACUUCAAGAAGUUGCAAGAUGGGUCUUUCAUUUAUUUGUUGAUAUAUGUUGAUGAUAUGUUGAUUGCCUCAAAGAAUGUUGAAGAGAUUGAAAAAUUGAAGAAGCAAAUGAAGAAUGAGUUUGAGAUGAAGGAUCUUGGUGAAGCGAAGAAGAUCCUUGGCAUGGAGAUCACUAGAGAUAGAGAGAAGGGUUUGGUCAGUUUGAAUCAAAGACAAUACCUUGAGAAGUUGAUUCAGAAGUUUGGAGUUCAUGAUUCAACCAAACCGGUUAGUACCCCUUUGGCUCCUCAUUUUAAAUUGAGUUCUCUACAAUGUCCUAAAAAUGAUAAAGAGAAGCUGCAAAUGAAAAAUAUACCAUAUGCAAAUUUGGUUGGCAGUUUGAUGUAUGCAAUGGUAUGCUCUAGACUGGAUAUUGCUCAUGCAGUUGGCAUGAUGAGUCGAUAUAUGCAUAAUCCAGGUAAAGAGUAUUGGCAAGCAGCUAAGUGGAUAUUGAGGUAUCUCCACGGUACUCGAGAUGUUGGUUUAUGCUUUGAGAGAGAUGACUCUGGUAUUGGUCAUUUUGCAGUUGGUUAUGUUGAUUCAGAUUAUGCAGGUGAUAUGGAUGGAAGGAAGUCUACUACAGGCUAUGUAUUUACUAUGGCUAAAGGGCCAGUUUGUUGGAGUUCCAUUUUGCAGUUGUCUGUUGCCUUAUCUACUACAGAGGCUGAAUAUAUGGCAGUUGUUGAAGCUAUAAAGGAGGUCAUUUGGAUACAUGGGCUGAUUAGAGAUUUGGGGGUUGAUCAGAAGCAGGUGGAGGUACAUUGUGAUAGUCAGGGUGCCAUUUAUUUGGCUAAGUAUCAGGUUCAUCAUGCGAUGACCAAGCACAUACAUGUGCGUUAUCACUUUGUUCGUGAAAUUGUUGGUGAAGGGGAAAUCAUUCUCCAGAAGAUUCCAACUAAAGACAACCCCGCUGAUAUGUUGACUAAGGUUGUUGGUGUAGCCAAGUUUGUUCAUUGCUUGAACUUGGCUCACAUUUUGCCUAUAUAAAGAAGGCGUUGAGCAGUAGGAGUUUUGGAGCAUUUGGCUCGGCAUGAGUUGUUCUCUUGCUAGUGUUUGGGAGUGAUGUUGUGUGUUAAUUGUGUUGGUUGGCUUAUCAUGGCGUUUUUCGGAACUUGGCCAAGGUGGAGAUUGUUGAAUGGCCAUUACCUUUUGGCUAUUAAACAAAUCAAAAGAAAAAAAAAGGACAACAUGAUUAUAUUUCUUCCUUGUUUUGGGGAGAAAAAAAAGGGCACUUUGUCUAAAGUUUUUUUUCUUUGGUCCAUGUGAGAAGUCACGGGACUCCUAGGGUUUUUAACUAGCAGUAACAGCUGCCUUUUGUUGUGGGAUAAAGGCAGUCGCAUAGGAGAAGAAAAUAGGAGGGAGCAGCAGAAAGAAGAAGAGAGGUACGCAGCUCCCAUAUAAGAAAGAAAGGUGAUUUUCUUUCUUGGUUAGUUCUCACUCAAUCAAAGUUGUAUUUGUGUAUUGGCUUUGAGCUUCGUAUAGAGAAUAAACUAUUCAUCUAUUCAUUAUAUUUCUCUCUAUUUGUUUCUUUGGAGUGUGAGAGCUAUUGGUUGUAUUGGGGUUUUGGGUUGUGAGCUUGCCAACACUUUGUAAACUUCCAUUUGGUUGAUAGUGGAUUAUUGGGUGAGCUUCUACUGCUCCGAGGACGUACUCGAGUUACACUGACUGUUGAGGAACCUCGUUAAAAUCUUGGUGUCUUUUAUAUUUUGUUCUUGCAUUUUCAUUAGAUAAAUUUCAUGUGGGUUAGCUUGAGUUGGUUCCAACAGAUUUGGUGCUAUUCUAGCACAACAGUAAGGUCCAUUGUGACCCCAUUUGUUCCCAUUAAAAGUUGUAGCAAAUUCUUCUAAAAAGUCUACCAGAAUCGGAUGGUUUAUAUCGAAGAUCAUCACUGCACCAUUUAGUCUGGUCCAUUGUUUGGAGUCCUUGCCUACACUUUGUGCUCCAACUGCAUUCCUCAGACUCGAAAAAUCCUUCAAUAUUACUAAGUCAAUGUCCAAAUAUAUGCCUCCAUACUUGUACAGCAUUGCGAGCCUAAUAAGAUUUGCUAGGUUUUGAGAUAAUGGGAUGUGACCUGGGUCCUUCCUCCCGCUCUUCAAUUCCUCAAGCCAAGAUUCAGCCGGCGUGUUCUUGACCAAAAAGGGCAAGUCAGGCGUGAUUGCUAGUAUUUUGAAGCCUUUGUCCAGCAAUGGUUUCAGGAUUCUGUACCCUCUUUCCGAAUCCAUGGAUUUCGAUACGAUCAUCAAGCAGCCUUGAGGGUUGGAUUUGAAGAGGGUGUCCAUAGCCAAGAAGUCUCGUUUCCCAAAUGACUUUGCCGGUGAGAGCCAUAUCAAGUAGAACUGAGAGCUGCAUCCAUUGUUAAGGAAUUCGAGCACUCGACCGUGGAAUUGCUUUGUCAAGUUUUCAGAGUUGAGUAUAUCAAGCUCCGGUAGUUUUCGCCCGAACCCCUAGCCUUUCUUCUUUUGUGGCCUUUUCUGGAGGAAUCAAAGGAUCAUGAAUUUCAUCUGCAAUCAAUAUUUGCUUGCAUACUUGGAAGCGGUGACACUGAUUCAAGUUGCUCUUCAGGAAUUUGAGUCUGGUGAUUAUGUUCAAGAAUUUGAUGAGUUCUUAGGUCAUCUGUUUGCAUGGAAAAGAGAAAAUGCUGUCUGCAUAGAUGAUGAAGAAUAUGAUGGCAAAUGAGACGAAGGAAAAAAAGGGAGAUUUGGCACUGCAUCUAAGUUGCCGUAAUCAAACACCUUUUGAGAGAUUCUUUUCAGUUUCCUAAGAGUAGAAUGGCGUGAGGAAUUUUUUGGAGAAAGCAUUGUUCUUGGUGUGUUGCAUUGUACGGUAUGCCAAAUACAUGUAUAUAUAGUACCUGAGACGUUUAAAACUUUGCAGAUGCUGUCCAUCUGUGGAAAAUUAGUUGCAUGUUAGAAUUAAUGUGCAAAUAUUUACAGUUGUUCUCAAUUUAGAAAAAAAUGUUGUAUUAAUGUUGGAUUUAAAUAAUUGUAGGGUUUAUUAUUGGAUUCAUUUCUUUCAAUGUUCAAUCAAGGAGUAAUUUAUGAAAAAAUGUCACAUUACAGCUACUUAUUAGUGAUUAUACCGAUUACAUCAUGAGAUUAUCAAACAAUAAUGAUUAAAGAGGAACACGGUCAUCAUUUUAAAUAGGGAUUCAUCUCCAUAAAUAUUUGCAAAUCACAUAUUAAUAUAUGAAAUAACUUAUUAAAAACAAAAAACAAAAUAUAUUUGCAUACGUGUCAAGUUUUAUUAGUUGGAAGUAUGGAUGCAAGUGGGAUUAGAAAUUCCGAUUCAAAUUAAUUUUGAGCCAAAUUUUCCAAUUGUGGAUGCGUGAAUGUAAUCCAACAUUCAAUAUCCGAAUUUCCAAAAGAAAAAAAACAAGUAAUACUACACUCAUCUAUUUGUACCACAAUUUUAUACAUACCACCUUAUGUGGCAGAUUAAUUAGGUAAUAGCCACAUCAUUCAUAUAAUCUAAAUUUUUUUAUGCAAUUAAAAAAUUUUUAAAAAACAUAAAAAAAUUAAAACAAAACCAUAAAAAAAGCAAUGCUACUGUCGCUUCCCUCCCUCACUAUUCAACAGCCACAACCGUUUCUCAACCAAUGAUCACAACCUUUUCAAUCAUAAAUUUUCCGAUUAUUGUUUACCAUUGGAUUCAUUUCUUUCGUUAUGAAUAAACUCCAAACCCAAUUCUUUCAUUAUGAAAUUGCAUCUAUCAUUGGUUUUUUCAAUGAAUACCUUUUUUCAAAUGGUUAUGGGGUUGUGGGAAGACGGUGGUUGUCGAAGGUGUAGGAGGAGGGAGGACAACGAUAGAAGAAAAACGUGAAACCUGGGUUUUAAGAUUUUUUUAAUUUAUUUUUUCUUUUUGGUUGUUUUAAUGCUUUUAAUUAAAUAUUCAAAUUAAAACAGGUUUGGAAGUGUUUUUAAAAUGACUAAAAAUUGAAAAAUGUUUUUGGAUUCUAAAAGCUUUUCAAGUGCUUUUCAGAAUUCACUUGCACUUUUUUUUAGGGUUGCUCCAAAAACAUUUUCACUAAAAGUAGUUUCAGUUAUUUUAAAAUCACUUCCACAUGAGUUCUAAAUUAUGUGGAAUCAAAUAUCCAUAUCAGCUGACAAUUAAGGUGGUAUAAAAUUUUGAUACAAGUAGAUGGUAAAAAUAUAAUUUCAUCUAUCAAAAAAAUAAAAAUAGUUUGAAAAAAAUGAUAAAAAUAGCAUUACUCAAAAAAUUGUAGGUAACGUAGACAAUGAAGCCAUUUCAUAAGCAAUAGAUAAUAUUUUGAGUAAUGCUAUUUUUUCCUUCUUUUUUUUCGAAACUAUUUUUACCACUCAGAUUGUCAGAAACAUCCAAGUUCUAAAUUGCAGUCUCAAGAAUUUAGAAUUCUUUAGUUCUAAAAUCUUUCCGAACAAUACAAAACUAAAUUAAAUGGACGCUGAAUUUCCGCAAUUUGAAGAAAAUUUCAUUCAAAAUUUUUGAAUUGAAACUGGCAAACCUUGAUUCCGAACUGUUCCGUCCGAAAAUCAAACCAAGUUGAAAGUCCCAAACCAUUUUAUUUUUCCAUUGAAAACGUACUUCAUAUUAAGAUUAAUUAAGCCCAAAUAUAUAAACCAAGUUGGAUGAAUAAGAGGUCUUCUCUACUGCGCAUAAUAAUUGCACAUUUAAGUUACACAUUUAAGCAAGAGCCAGAAUUUGCCAUGAUAUAUCUGAUCCAUGCAUAAUAUCAUGAAAAAUGGAUACAAAUUUUUGGUUGCUACUUAGUAUCGGCAAUAGGUCUGAAAAAGUAUCUAAAAAUAUCAAAUUUAGAUAUUUGUAUCCUGUCGAAGUAAGGAACCAUGGCAUAUAUGUUUGGAAUAUAUUCCAUUUUUGAGACAGUUGAAAAAGCACUAUUUCGUUGAAAGGUUCUAUACAUCCGCCCUUUCUCAAGGCAUUUCUUUAGACAAAGACCCCAUUUUUUUUUCCUCUUUUCGGAUGGUAAUUAGAUCAUAUAGUCUAACAGGAUAUAACAGCUCUUGUUCAGAUGUGUAACUUAAAUGUGUAUUUUUCAUGUGCACUGGAGAAAAUUCAGCAUGUAAAUAUACCAAAAGAGCUAAAAAAUGAUCAUUCUAUUCGCUAGAUCAAAACCUAUGUUCGAGUCUCACUGCCAACAAUUUCUCUCUUGAUGGGCUAUGUAAAAACCAAAAAAAUAGCUAAAACCCUUUGUAAGUCCUUAAAAAGACUUGUGAUAUGCUUUGGUCCUGAAAUGAGGUAGUUUUCCUUCUCCCGAAACAUUUUUUUACUUCAAAAAAACAAAAAAAAAAGAACCCAAAGGCCCAACUUAAUCUUUGGGCUUCUCAAAGCAAAAUACAAAACGCACACAAAACAUAAGCGAUAUUCAACCCAACGGUCACUAAAACAGAGCACACACUUUUUCUCGAAAACCUUAUCCGAUUAUUCUCCUCAAGCUUCAUCCAUGGCGUCACUGAUACUCGGAGCUCCACCAGCCCCCCCUCAAUCGCUCGCUUUCAGCUCCCGCAUUUCGUUCUCUCACUCCGAAACCCUAGCCGUUUCUCUCCCCUCCUCCACUGUUUCGCUAUCACUCUCCACAGCUUCUUCUCCACCAGUCCCUUCAGGUAUACGUAAUUCCCAAAACCUCUCUCUCGCUCUCUGUAACUUUCCCUAAUUUUUUCUCUGUGCUUCUGCAGUGUACUGCGGCAGAGGCGAUAAGAAAACCGAAAGGGGAAAGCGCUUCAAUCACUCUUUUGGCAAUGUAAGUCAAAUGUUCUGAAUUUUCACCGUUUCUCAUAAAAAAGCUCAUGAAUUUCUUUAAUUUGAAGACUUUCUGUUUCUAUAUUUGUAAAUUUGCGAAAACAUGGGAAAUUGAACUGUAGGCGCGGCCGCGGAACAAGAACAAAGGCAGAGGACCACCUAGGGUUCCGGUGCCAGCGGCUCCCCCAAAGAAAGAUAAGUUUGAGGACGAUACCAUUGUCAAGGUUGAAAUUGAUGAGUCCUUGUCUUAAUUAAUUAAUGGAGCCCAAUUUCUCUAAUUUCUGUUUUUAAUUGUAAUUUAUGAACCUUGAGUUUAUGUUAUGAGGAUUUUGAUCAAAUAAUUUUCUUUGUCUUGCUUGGAAUUUAUGAAUUAAACCUCCCAGCUCCAAUUUCCAUGAUUUUAUAUAUUUUUUAUAUUUUCCUUAUAGUCUGGGAGGACAAUUUGCCAACUUCCCGGAUGUGUUUUUGCGUUUCAUUUGUUUAUUUUAGUCUUUUUAGCCAAAAUUAUUCUCAUACUGAUAUAACUACUCAUUUUGGUCAUCCACAAUAAAAGUCAAUAGAAAUGGCUAUUGAGCUUGUUCAUUAUAAAUCGUUUUGUUCAUUCCCUGAAAAUCUGUCGAAAUCCUCGUUAUCUGAGGAGUUGGUUUGACAAAAUAUUCUUAAAAAGGUGGUUACUGGUCGUUCACAUGACUAUUUAACCAGGAUAUUGACAGAUUUUUCAACGAAUGAUCAAUAUGAUUUACGGUGGACAAAUAUCACUUCUAUCUAUUUUCAUUGUUAGUACCAAACUGGAGAGUUAUGACAAUCUCAGAGACCAUUUUAGUUAAAAAAACCUUUAUUUAAUUAUCUAAAAUUUGGAUUACCUAUUGUGUUACUGUCUUUCUUUUUGGACACAAAAUCUUCUUGGAAAGACAUGGAAGGAAAAACAAAUGGUUUUCGUACCGCCGGCUUUCGCCAUUGUUAUUAGUUUAUUGCCGGCUUAGUCCCAGCUGUUGGUGUUUUCCUGCCCUCUUCUUCUUCUUCUUCUUCAUAAACCUGCAUCUUGUCUGUUCCCUUUGUGCCAUCCGAGUACCCUAGAUCUUUAGGGUUAGGAUGAGUUUAUCGGAAAUAACCAAAGAGAAGGAUGAUGAUGAGAGCGAGUUCUUUGUCGAUCCAGAAACGCAGAAGGAGAGGAUAAGGCGGAUUAUAGAGUAUCAGAAAUCUCUAUAUCGGUCUUCAUCUUCUUCUUCUUCUUUGUCUUCCUCUUCUGCUUCCUGUUCCUCGUUUUCUUCAGCUCGGAGAAGUAGCAGUUUGUUAGGUUUGAUGAAAGUAGGAAACACAUCUUUGAGGAGAUUGUUUGACAUGGAGCAUACGAGUUUGGCGAACCAUUUCGAGGAUUUCAGUGGCUCGUCGAUAAUUAAGCCUAUCCUUCUAUGGGGGAGUGAUACGGACAAUGAACACGAAACCCGUGACCCCUGGGAAUCCAUCAAGCAGUUUAGAUCAAUAAAUCAUUCCAGGAUUGAUGAUGUACAGGAUGAGUUUGCUUCAGACGGUAACUUGGGUGGAGAUUCUGGCUUUCGGGAUAGGGAAGUUACAAUCGGCACCCGCAGGUUGACUAGGAAAAAGUCAUUUAGAAGAUUGCCACGAUUUGGGUUAUGGAGAUGCAGAGGAUUUAGAUUUCGAUUGAGAUUAAGGCGGCUUAAGAUUGUUUUUUGUAGAAGAAAAUGUUGAGAUUAGUCUGCAGACUUGUAAUACAAACCACAUUUGUUUAUAUAUAAAAGAAAAGGCUAAGUUCUAGUAACAUACUGAGACAUGGAAUGUGUUCCAUAACUUGUUUACAGAAUCUAACAUUUACAAAUAACAACCAAACAAUGGGGCUAAUCGAAAUAAAAGAAGAUUGAUCGAAAUUUGUAUGAUCGGAAAAAAAAAUUAACGAAAAAAAGAAAGGAAUUCCAAGAAACAGAUACUAAUUUCCAGUCUGCGACUUCGUCACUGAUUGAAGAUGCUUCACCGUUUAUUUGCUUAAGAUUCUUGAAUAACUCUAUAUGUCGUUGCAAAUGAUGCAGUGAUCGGAGAUUAAUCUCUGCAUAAUGCUUCCUUCUUGGACUACUUCUCUGCUGCUUUGCUUGUUCCAUAGGUGUACUCCAUAAGUCUCCCCGCUAAGCUGAAGCAGCUUUGCUUUUAUCCAUCGUGAAUGAGCCGGGCUUCCCGGCUUUUUAAACAGCCCCCCGAUCCUAUUCCAGUCGACAGGGUAAAAGGCGAGAGGGGGUAGAAUCGUGAAGUUAUAACCGGGUCGGUUUUGCACCCUCAGGACCACUCUGGAGACCAGGUAGGGACCAUUAUGCCCCCAUUUAUUCCCAUCAAAAGUCAGGGCAAAUUCCUUCAUGAACUUGUGCAGAAGGGGAUGAUUCGCAUCAAAGAUCAGAACUGCAUUAUUUAAUCUGGUCCAGUUCUUCGAAACCACAUCCGCACUUUGUGCACCAAUCGAGUUUCUCAGUCCUGAGAAUGAUUUCAAGACGAUGAAGUCUGUGUCUAAAUAAACUCCUCCAUACUUGUAUAGAACUGCAAGUCUAAUCAAAUUCGACAGGUUCUGGGCUAAUGGAAUCUCACCAGGGUCUCUGUUGCCUCUCUUCAUCCCAGCAAACCAGGUUUUUGCCGGUGUGUUGUUGAACAGAAAUGACAAGUCUGGUGUCAGCAUGAACUUUGAACCCACUAUCCUGCAGCGGUUUCAGAAUUCUGUAGCCGUGCUUGGAGUCCAUACUUCUCGAGAUAAUCAUCAAACAUCCGCGUGGGUGGGCUUUGAAGAGACUUUCCAUAGUCAAGAACUCUCUGCUCCCAAAAGACCUUGCCGGCGAAAUCCAUGUCAUAAAGAACUGACCCUCACACUCCUUGUUAAAGAAUUCCAGAACACGGCCAUGGAAUUGCUUUGCAGACUUGUCUGACUUGAGAAUGUGAAAUUCCGGCAGCUUGCUUCGGAACCAAGCAAUUCUCUCUUCUUCUGUGACAUUGAAAGGAGGAACAAGAGGCCUUGUGUUUUCUCUACCAACUUCAAUGGUCUCGUCCUGCAUGGAAUGCAGGACUAAGCGACUUACAUCAGACUUGAUCAGUCUGCCUGCAGAAUUAUGAUCAUAAUUCUGCAGCAACGGAGAAAUCGCUUCAUUGUCCGACGCCAAUGACCGUUCCGAGUUGCUAUAGAUGAUUUUAUCGGCAUUGACGAUGAAGAUGAUUGCAACAAUUGAAAGAGUGCAGAAGACGUGAAAGUUGGCGAGGCUAAGUAGGCAGCUGUCGAUUCGAGUCAUGGUAAUUGUCAGAGGCGUUGCUGCAUGGGGAAAGAAGUGAAGUUGAAGAGAUAUAGCUCAAGAGGAACUUUCAUGGCGAAUAGAUCAAUGUACUUGACGACAGACACGCUUAUCCAAAAGAAAGGUUGGUUGCAGGCUUUCUAUAGUUCAAUGUUUGCUCUUUAGGCGUAUGGUGUUGAAGCAUUCAGUAAUCUGAAUUUUUGGUAAUAGUCAAAUGGCUAGCCACCUCUAAAAGUAUGCCCUGACACCCAAAUUGUAUGGGAUAUGGUAGUACAUAAUUAGGAUCGUAAAUGACUAGUUCGUUUAGCGGUACUUUAUUUUUACUUUGGUGAAGGAUGUCAAGUUUAACUCACACCCAAGGUAUUAAAUAUCGAUGAUAUCGGAAAUAUCGAUGGAAAUAUCGGGAUAAUAUCAAUAUCGAUAAAAAUAAUAUGGAAACCACGGAAAUUGUAAGAAAAACUUGGAAAUGUUUAUUAAAACUUUGCAGGAUGUUUAUUUAGUCAAUUAUCUAUUAGUUUAUCACAAAAAAUUGGAAGGAAAUGCAUUGCAUGAUGGAUUUAACAUUAUCAAGUUGAUUAUAUAGCGAGCUGACAAAUAUUGUGAGUGUAGAAAAUUGUACCAUUCCUAAAAGCUGUAAAAGUUGAAUUAUUUAGAUGCUUUUCUUUUCUCACACCGUCACACACCACCUACACACACACACGCCACCGACACACACACACGCGCACACACAGGGAUCACACACGCCACCACACACGCACAACAACACACGCACACAGAGACGUCAGUCAUCUCUGGAUCCUUCUCUCUUCUCCCUUUCCCUUCUCCCAUAAACACACACACAGAUCUCUCGAAUUCUCGAUCUUUCUCUCUUCUCCCACAUGGCCUUCUCCUCCUCCCUCGCCUUCCUCCUCGUCCGCAGCUUCUGCCUCGUCGGCGAACCCAGGAACUCUCCGGCGAGUUCUCUUGAUCCUUAUCCGCCUUCCUCACCGAUCCCACCGACAACAACCCCACCUCUGUCGUUGACUCCAGCGAUGACCACCAUGACCCCCAAUCGCCCCCAAACCCCAACCUCAACCUCCACAACAACCACCCAUUCUCCUCCUCCCCCCGGAGCCUGCCCUGCUGGCGUCGCGCUCGCCUCUGUCUCUGUUCCACGUCUGCUUCAACCAAGACCACGCAUGCUUCGUCGUGGGGACAGACCACGGGUUCUUGAUCUACAAUUACGAUCCGUUCUGCGAGCUCUUUCGCCACGACUUCGACAAAGGCGGGGGGAAUCAGCGUCGUUGAGGCGUAGAUCUUGGGUCUGAGCCUGGAUUGCGGAGAGAGAUCUGAGCAGCUGGGACGACGCAGCCUCGGCUGCCUUUUCGACGACGGAGCCACGACGACUUUUUCAAUAAUAUAAAAAAUAUCGCGAUAUUAUCGAUAAUAUCGCGAUAUUUUGACAAUAAUAAGACGGAUACGUGGGAAAAUAUCGGUGUCUCUGAAAAACGAUAAUAUCGGCGAUAUAUCGCCGAUAUUAUCGAUAUUUUAGUCAUUGCUCACACCCAAAUUGACACUGCAAUACAAAUGCAUUCCACAAACCACCCCAAGGUUGCAUCUAUUAAACACUGUGUCAGAUGUCAACAAGUGUAUUAAUUUUGUAUGUCUACGUAAUUAUUGUUUAAUACAAAUGUGUGACUCAUUAUGACUUGUUAAAGUACAUUUGUAUCUCCUAAAAUUAAUAAAAAAAUAUCGAUGGUCCAUCACAUUAUCGAUAAAAAGAUGGUGAUGGAAACAUGUUUUACAAUAAUCUUUAUUUAAUCAUUUAAAAAAAGCCAAUAAUCUUUGUUUAUUGAUUAGGGAAUUGCCCUAUUGCUUUAAUUUUCAAUGACUUAGAUAGCAAGCUACCUUGGUAUUUCUGACCAACCCAUACUUUAGCAUUGAAAAUGUAAUUUCAUCAAAGCAUAAAGGGGGGGCCUUACCGUGAAAUUAAAUUGUUUAAUUUAGAAAAAGGGCUGAUCAAAAUCAUUGGAUUAUCUAACAACUUGGCCAUGUUGUUGGUGUAUUUAUUUUCCUCAUACGUCCAUUUUUAGUGGACCUAGAGAGGAGGAUACAUUGCAUAAGGUUUAUAAAACAAUGGAUUUAUGUAAUUAUGUUGUGUCUUAUUCCUUAUUCUUUGUCCACGUGGUUAUAUUGGAUAAUUCAUCUUUUCAUAUUGGGUUGAAAUAUUAUUUAUUCUAGUGGACAGAAUAUUGAUUGUUCUGUUACCUACAUACAUUAGCUUUUCUUACCCACGACAAAAUUUGUUGUAUACAAAUUCUUAUACGUAUACAAUCAUAAAUAUUUUUCUUUGUUAUAAUAAACCAUGACAUGUGAGUCAAAUUUUCCUCUUGUGUGUUACACUACAUCUCUCAUAGACAUGAUACAAUCAAUCUGUUUUGAGGUCUAUAGAAAUUCUUACACACAAUUAAGAAUAUACACUCUUGUAUUUACAUCUGUCAUCACAUGAGACAUCAUUUAAUAGUACAUUGACAAAUGAAGUGAUGCAGUUAAAUUUUUCUUUAUUACGAAAAACCAUAACAUGCAAAUAUUUUCCCCGAUUACACAACAUCUCUCUGGCUAUAUGAUAAAAAUAACGAUUUUUUUAUACCUCGUCAUCCACAUUAGUCCAAGAUAAAACCUGUACAAGUGGCUUAAAUAAUAAUGUUUAACAAUACUAUUUUUAACAUGGUGACUUAUGUUUCAGAUAUAGGUAAAUCACAACUCAUUGUAAAAUCAUAUGAUUUUUUGUCUACCUUUUUCCUAAUGAGAAAGUAUGUUGAAGGGGUUUUUCUGUUACUGAAAUAAAAACUAAAAAAAUUAAGGUGUGCACAUGAUUACAAUAUAAUUUGUUAGCUAAUAUGAUCCACGCAGUACUACUUGUCAACUAUUUUGAUUUUCUCAGUAUUCAUUUUUCUUCAUUUUAUUUAUCGAUCAAGAGGUUGCAUGCAACAUUUGGAACAUGUAGCAAAAUUAUUCAAGUCAUAGUUUUAAGCAACGCACGUAAUCGCAUAUGAAAUAUAAUUAAUAUAUAUAGUGCCAGCAGAAAAAUACGUAUAUAUGAUUCGAUUCAAGUUGGGUCCAUGCAACUUGUGACUUGUUUUGCAUUGGGGAUUAAGAUAAUCCUUACAAAUUAUUCCGUGAUUACUUGGCUGAUUCACGUUAAUAUUGUAUGUUAUAUGGUAGAUAAAGUGUUUUUAUUAAUGAUAUUCUUUAUUACAUAUAUAAUGUAUUAGAUAAGGUGUGUACUCGGUCGUGCUAAAACAUUGUUUACUUUUUUAAUUAGUGAUGUAGUUGUUGUAACAAUUUCUUAUGAGUUGAAUCAAAUUGGAUGGGGUCUUGGAAUAUUAUUAGCUCCUAGUCCUGGUUUAGUAGAAAGUAAAAAAAUAUUUAUUGCAUUAGUAGAAGCGAAAAUGUUGAAAUGAAAAAGUUGCUAGCACUCUUUUCAACGUAAGAAACCCGCAUGGUUCAGAAAAAUUCUAAGGUUGUACAUGUACAAUUGAUCAUGAAGCUCGUCAAAACUUAAGUGCAAGAACGACUCCCAACUUUGAUUAUUAUGCUGGGAGCCAUCCACUCUAAGCAGUUGUACCUCGCAAAAUUCUCAAGAGAGAAUAAUUUUUUGAUAUAACAGUUCUAGAAGGUGGACAAAGUUACGAAUUUUGCUUGAUUUAUAAAAAAAAACUAGUAUCUAACCCAAAGUCAAUAUCAGUGGAAACAUCAAUUUUGCGUAUUCAACAUGAACACUAAUAAUUAAACAUAACUCCCUAAUUAUCGUAUAAUAUGACCAAAUAACUGAACUGUUCAUAUGUGGAAAAGUUGAGCAAACUAGAAAUGGUUCUUAAUAGCAAAUGAUGCUUUACUGUAAUGGCGAAAACAAAAAAUGCACCAAUAAUGCCUCUACAUUAUGGUGGGGAUUCAAUCUCCACCUUGACUGGCUCUGAGAUAUUAGGACCCUAAAUAGAAGGUAGUAAAUGGGCCUUUGUAUAAAAAAAAAUCAUGCUACAAAGCUAAUUUAUAUGUAUAUUGUUUUAUUCAUAGAAAGGUUCUAAAUAGUAUCAUUACUCGAGUUAUAGUUGAAAUCAACAAAAAAUGAAGAAAAAAAUAAAUAAAAACAAAAUUUAGAGCAAAGAUGGCAGAAUCAAACUAAAAACAUAAAAAGUGAGUUCUCUUAUGCAUGGAGGUUAUAUUUCUCUUAUUCACAUGCAAAACCUAGAAAAUUUCCCAAAGAUGAAGUGUUUGUGCCACCAACCAAAUUGGUACAUAUUUAGAUGAUAUCAUCUUUUCGGAGCCCUUCAAAAUUUGGAGCCUUGUGCAAGGAUACCUAUUGCACAUGCCGAAAACUGCCAUUAUCCUUACUGAUUCCCCUCUCCACUAACACAUAACAAUUUGACCUAUUUACGCUAUCGGUUGUAAAAAAAAAAUUAAAAAUUAAAAAAAAAAAAGAAGAAGAAAUUGUCACUAUUAAUGUAGAGAGCUUUUCUGUGACCUUUUGAGAACAAUAAUAUUUGCCAAAUAAAAAGAAGCUUAAGAUAAUAUAGAGAGAGAGCUUAAACUUCUUUUUCAUUGGCAAUUAUUAUUUUAUACAUUAGAGCAUCUCCAAUGGAAGUCCUUAUUUAAAAACUUCCACCACCACUUUUGAGUACUCAUUUAAGGAUUUAAAGAGAAUCUUGUGUCCCUAAAGAAAUAUUGCCUCAAACGAGAGUCCUUAUAAUAGAAUCCCUAAAUUUGAAGUUCUUAUGAUUUUAUUUGAUAAUUUGAUUAGGUGCACAUUUUUUAUUUAUACCUUUUUUUAAUUAAUUAAAAAAUAAAAUUAAAAAAAUUUAAUGAAAAUGACUUCAAAAUUUUGAAUUUUAACCAAAAAUCAUGCAAUAACUUUAUUUAAUGAAUAAGGCAAACCCCAAUAUCAAAUCAAUCCAAUAAAACAGGCCCAAGCAAAGUAAUUUAUUGAGAUUCCGAUUUUACCCCUAACGUCUUUUAUUGGCCCGUUUAUUUAUGUCUGUCCCCUUGGACUUGAAGGAGAAAAGCUGAUUCACUUCAGUUGGCGUUCCCAAACGCCCGUGAUUCCAUGAAAUUCAAUCCAUUGCUGCUUCUGCUGUUCUGAUCGCGAACCCCAAAUCCCAAACUCCUAAGCCCAAAUCAGAUGGGCAGCAAAAGCAAAAGCAAAGAGAAGAAAGCAGUUGGAGGACUCAAUCGACGACGAUAAAUUACUUUGGUUGAUUAUAUUUGCUGUACACGUUCUUCUUAGACAGGGUGUGCUUGGUAUUAAGAUGCAGAUCAUGCUCGACUGGGAUCCUAAGGGAAAGCAGCGACCAAUGACUCCAUUGCCUGAUUUGGUGACCAUCCACACCCCCAAGGAAGAACAAUAUCUUCCAGUUCCACCCGCAGAAAUCGACCUAGAGCCAGUUCCAGUUCCAAUAGCUUCAAGUGAGUUUUGAUUCAUUUGUAAACUUAUACAUAUAGGAAAGGAAUUGGUUGUCCUUUUCUGCUGCGAUUUUCAGCGAAUGAACUUGUUUACUAGUCUAUGGAUUUAAAAAUUAGUAUUGAAAUAAAUGUCUAUGCAAUAUGACAAUGGGGUUCUGCCAAUUUAUGACAGCCUUUUCUUUUUUUCUUUUUCUUUUUUUAAUAUUCAAUUUUCACAAGAAAACAUGAGAUGAACAUAUGGUGUCCUGUAGCUAUGAGAAUUUGCAAUUGAAACAUAUUCUUUUGCAAUAGAAUCAAUAAUUUGCAACCUUAGUUCAUAUUUGGCGUUUGUUCAAAACUACACUAGUACUUUUGUAACACCAUUGAAUAAAAUUCUAUGCGUUGCAUCUAUAGGUGCUCUGAAAUUGUGUUUUUGUUUUAGAAAUAGGUAGUGUUCAAUUGAAGAAAUAGUGAUAGUAUCCCUUGUUCAGUUCUAUAAAUAAUCAGUGUUUAGUUUAAGAAACAUUAUUUAUGAAACUAUAGAAAAUUACCCACACUAUUUCAGAAAAUUGAAUCAAAAUUACACACAUUAUUUUUGGAAGAUAACAAAAUAAACACUAUUUCUGAAUCAAUAGCAAAAUAAUCCACACCAUUUCUGAAACUGAAACAAAAUAACUCACACUAUUUCUGAAACUACAGCAAAAUAACCCACAUUAUUUCUGAAACUGAACCAAAAUAACUCAUAUUAUUUCUGGAACCACAAGAAAAUAACCCACAUUAUUUCUAAAACUAAACCAUAAUAACCAACACUAUUUCUGGAAGGGAACAAAAUAAACAAUAGUUCUGAAACUACAACAAAAUAACCAACACUAUUUUUGAAAUUGAACCAAAAUAAGCAACAUUAUUUCUGGAACUACAACAAAAUUACACACUAUUUCAGGGAAAAAAAAACUGAACUAAAACAAUCCACACUAUUUAUAAAAGAAAACAAAUUUCUGAAACCACCACAAACCACAAACCUACACUGUUUAUGAAAUUGAACCAAAAUAGCUCACACCAUUUCUAGAACUACGGAAAAAUAAUCUACACUAUUUUUAGAAUAACAACAAAAUAUACAUCCAUCUCAUAGAUGAUGGAUUAUAUGUUUUUUCUUAAAAUAAAUGAAUAUGUUUUGAAUUAAUUAAUUAAUUAAAUCUUUUUGCCCGUAAAAAUCCGAUGUUGGUCCCUUGAAGGCCAAAGGAAAAUAAGCAACCAUUGGGCCUUAAUUUCCAGGGGAUAGAAAAAGUAGAUGAAUGAGUAUUUAUCUCCAAAGUGGUUCAUCUAACACUAAGAUAGGACCCGCACCAACCCCAAGACUAGAAGAAACCGAUGAAGGGCUUAAAAUUUCUAUCCACUCUUCGAACUCCAUCUGCCUCUUGUAAAAUCGGGCCCAGUUAUCUUGAAAGUGGUCUAUCCACUCCUCGAAAAAAAAUUCUAGUGGUUCAAACUCUUUUCAUUAAAACUCUAAAAAUUAAAAGCAUUAAAAGUAUUAGAAGUUUUAAUCAAAAUUAUGGACUCCGUUUUUCACUUAAGGUUCUGUCCAUAUAAAAUCUUCAUAUGUGCGUACAUACACUCUGUAUUCAAUGAGGCCCUAUACUUUAGGGACUCAUUUUCCGAUUCAUUAGAGAUUUAUUUUGUUCCUAUAUUUAUUUUAUAAAUAUUUAUUAUAAUAAUUGUUCUUAUUUAGGGAUUCCACUGAAGAAGUAGAUAAUUGAAACUCUUCCUACCAGUGCCACCUUUAACAUGUCACCCCCCAGGACCAGCCAAAUAUAAUAAAUCUUGGUUUAUAAUUUUAUAGUGGGUGCACAAUUAUUACAAAAGCCAAAAAAAGGCAUGGACCAUCGUGCAGUUUUUACCAUCUUAAAUCUACCUCCAGAAAUGAUCUCAGUUCUUAUUCUUAUUCUUUGGUAAAGCGAAGGACUUUGUAUGUUUACUCUGGGAAAAGGAUUCACGCCGGAUCCUUUUCCUAGGGAUUAAGUGAUCUCACCCGUUUAUCGUAUAUCAUGUGAUCAGUUUUCGUUAGGUACUAUUUAUAUUUAAUAUUAAAUUUUAAAUUUUGAAAUGAUUUAUGGCCGCACGAUGUACAAUGAACAGAUGAGAUCACAUGAUCCCUAGGAAAAGGAUCUGGCGAGGAUCCUUUUCCUAUACUCUAGUCCUUUUGUAUUUGUACUAAUGUAAAAACUGAUAUACGACAAAAUAUGGAUCAAUUCUGACGAAGAAAGAUAAAGAAAAUAAAAUAUUUUAAAUUCUGAAAAAGAAGAAUUAAAGUUCGGAAAUAUUGAAUUCAAUCUAUAUGGUGACAGAAAAGGCAUUAAGAAAUAUUUUGGUGUCAAAAUUAGGCAUUUAAUAGUCAAUCGAUAUAAGGAUAUAUUAUACGCUCAAUUCUAGCACCAGAUAGUUCUUACUACCUUUUUUGUCACAUAUUGAUUGAAUCCAAUAUUUCCAAACCUUAAUUCUUCUUUUUCAGAAUUUGAAAUAUUUUAUUUUCUUUAUCUUUCUUCAUCAGAAUUGACCCAUAUAUUAUCCUAUAUCACACUCCUCCACUUGAAUCGAGUUCAUAUUGCCUCUGACAUCAAGAAUCACGAACCUAGAUAAGCACGUAUACUCUUUAACAUGAGGAGCCAGAUCUUCUUCGAACUUGGAUUGUACAGCCAUGUAGUCGAUUCCCUAAAUAAGAUUUGAAUAUGUAGUUGACUCAUCUUGUUGUCUGGGUUCACUUGCUUGGUUUGAUGAUGCCAUAUAUCCUACUACCUUAUUCGUCAUGGAAGCUAACUUGAUUGUCUUCUUCUAGUAUGGCUUCCUCUUCAAUCAUGACACACUUUUAAUGGCGAUUCUACUUCAUUUUCUUGAAUUUCCUCCUCCAUCUUUUCUUGGCAUAGGGGAUCAUCAAAUGAUUUUUACUCACCUACUUUGUCUUUGAAAGUAGCAUUUUCCGUUCUUAGAAGAUACGAAUUAUAUUCAAACGAAAAUCAUAACUCUACAAUAACUUUCUCUUCAUCCUAGGCCAAGAUCGGAUAUGAUUCUUUCCUUCUUUCUUUUGUGUAUUUUGCAAACUAUCCCACCAAAAAACAAUAUUUUCCUUUAAAUGAAAAACAACCUGUUAACACAGGGCCCUUUCCAAACCCAAAAAUAGUACGAGCCCAAAGAAACAGCGGUCCAAAGGAAGAAAGAAAGGAAGGCCCGAAGGAAGGAAGCGAGACCAAGGCCUAGCUGGAAAUAUCUUGGCCAUUAUUAAUUAUUUGAGACAAGCUGAUGUCAACUCAAACCCUAGAUAAAUUGGUCCAAACCCGUUAGAUGAUAAUGUAAAAGAAGUUUUUGAUGCAAGAGUGACCUGUCUUAUUAUUAGUUUGGUACUGAGACAUUUUAUAAAAAAAAAUGGAUAUAAAAAAACUGAAUUCAAAACGAUGUUUGGUAAAUAUUUAAAAAUAACUUAUUUUUACAGUUUUAGAUGAAAAUAAGCUGAAAACAUGAAGUAACAAAAAUGAACUUAUUCUCACUGUUGAGCAAAAAUUGUACAUAAUAUGUAAACAAAUAAUUCACUCGACACAAUUUCACCCUCAUUCAGUUUUCCGAAGAGGGUUUUAUUAAUUCGAGUUCGACCCAUUCUAGGCUACACGCCUAUUAAUUACAAUCUUUCUUUUGGGAAAGAAAUACCCUUUGAUUCCAAUUCGAAUAAAAAUGUAACUUGAGGAAUUUGAUGUUUGUUUGAUUUUGUGACUGCACAUAGGUUGAACCCUAGAUUGCCUACGUACCCUCUUGAGGGAUCAAGUCACUCGUAGUUCAUGGAUUUGUUGGGGUUUGAUGCUUUGUGCAGUUUCAGCUCGUGCAGGCAAGGAGCAUUUGAUGCCUUGUGCAGUUUUAGCUCGUGCGGGCGAGGACUUUAAGCCAUUGGAGCUAUAUGUAACUUCGUGAUUUUUGAGACUUGUUGCAGCUUUGUGUCAUUUGAUAAUUGAUACGGCUUCGUGCCAUUUGAGACUUUUCUUCGGCUUCGUGCCAUUUUGGUAUUUGAUAGCAGGAGUGAAUUUAGUUUAUAUAAACCAGAGAUUCGUCUUGAUUUCACGGUUGCGUCUAAAACUUGAUAUCAGACUGCCUACGUAUCCUUACGGAAUCAAACCGGCGUAGUUCAUAAUUUGAAUGAAUUUUGUGUUCAGAUUUUUAGGAAAAUGAGGAGCCAUAUGGAUUGGAUUUGAAUAAUUAAUAGGUAAUGUAAAUGACCCAUUAAUUUGAGUAGGACAAACUGGGAGGUUUUUUUAGGACCAUGUCACAUCCACUCUUUCUUCUCCACUUGAGCGAACUUCCCGUGAAAUACUUAGUUCAAAGUGGAAUGAGAUUUGCUUUUCCUUUCAUUAGAAAAUGGGACUCAAAGUCUAUCCCACGUGAGGUGCAUAGAUCAAAACUCAUUUAGAGAACCUUUUUUUUUAUAUUUUCAACCCCAUUAAUAAAAGAAUGGGAUUUUGAACCCACUUUGAAUUUUCAAACUUUCUGACAAAAAAAGCUUUUGCUCCUCCCUUUUUUCUAUAUGAUUUUUAAAGCUUUUAAGUUCAACCACUAUUCUUCCAUGUGGGCAAAACUUCACGUGAGGUGCAGCCUUUAUUCACCCUUUUUUAUUUUUGGUGUUGCUUCCAUCCAAGUGAUGCUUCCUUCCAUCCUUCUUUUAUUUCUCAGACAAAAAGACAUAACGGCAGCAACCGACAUCUUUCAGAGGUUUUGUUUUUGUCCUAUUUCUUUGCCGAGCCAAUAAUUAUUUGAAGUAUGCUAUUGUUGGGGCUUUUGUAAUUGUAAGAAGGCACCCUUUUCUUUUUUGACUUAGUAGUCUCUCCUUCUUGUGACUGACGAGGAUGGGUAGUACGGAGAUGCAAUUUUGGGCCAACAUCGACGGAGCCAUUAAGGAGUGUAGAUUGAUCUUUGAAGUUGUGGUGAACAGAGAGGUUCCUGGAAACAAAUAUCAACUGUGGCAGAAAGAGUUUGCCCUUGUGGUUGUUGUUGAAGGAAAGCUUCAGCUUGGCGAGGCUGUCGAGCAGCUUGCAAGAGACCUUGUGGAAGAAGAUGGAGGAGUCGUUGUCGAACUCGGAAGUGGGUUGAACCGAAGGCCUCUUGGGGAAGCUGAAUACGAAGGGAGUCCUAGAAGAUGUAGCUUGCAGAGACGGCGGCGGUGCUUGAAAAUGUCUUCAUUGGUGUUGUCAAAGUGUUUAGUGAUUGACGACGUCGCAGCGGGCUAUUGUCAAAGUCCAGGUGAGAAGGCAGUCCUCCGGUUCCAGUUUGUCGCGAAAAGUGAGAGAGCUUCGGAGCCAUCACUAGGCACAGUGGUUUGGCACUGUUUCUUCAUGCAAGUCGUACUUCCAAACUUCUUUAGGCACCCAUUCCUUCAUUGACGCGACUUCUUUCGGGUUCUUCUGGUUUUAUGCAACACGGCAUGACCAAACCCAUCUCCUUCAAGCCGUAUCCUCCAUUGACCUUCGGGUUCUUCUGGUUUUAUGCAACACGGCAUUACCAAACCCAUUUCCUUCAUAUUGCGGAGUGCAUGGGCUCAUUCUGGAAGAGCACCGGACGGCUGGAGAGCGGUAGUGUUGCGGUUUGGUUGCUGCAACUUGGGAGGACGUUGGGGAAUGGUAGAGGUAAGAGAAGCAAAUUGCUUCUUCUUUUUUUUUUUCCUGCGAAACCAAGAGAAACCAAACAAAGAAAAUUUUAGAAGGAUGGAUUUGUACCUUUAUAUGCUUUGUUGCUUGUAGUUUGCUCUCCUUCUUUGAAGGGCUUGGUUUGGAGUCACCGGUAAUGGAAUUACUUCGUCUUCUCGUCCGGUAUUACUUCGUUGCUUCUUUCCUCCCUCAAUUUCUAUCUUAAUUUCUGCAGCGUCUCUUCUCCCUUUUUUCUGUUUUUCUUUUUUCUUUGCUUUGGUUCGAUGCCUUUUUAUAGGCGAACAGUGGACAUGGCAGUUGAAGUUUAGUGGGAUGCAACUUUCCUGGGGUGUGGAGAUGCUGAGAGAAAACCAUCUCUUGAGUGGAGAACGUGGGAGUUUUAGAGGGUUCUAGAUACACACAUUCUCUAUACCCGGUUGCCAUGUAGAUGACAAACUCCUUCAGACUUGGUGUAUGUUGAGGUCCACGUGUGCGGGUGUAGUUUUUUUUUUCUCUCUUUAUUUCUUAUAUAUAUUAUAUAAAUAUAGUAUACAUAAGAAUAUAUGCACACACACACAUAAAGUGAGCCUUAUUUCUAGUCAGUCCAUAUUUUGGACUAUUAUUAUUUUAAAGUCUCCCCAUUUUUAUUAAGAUUUGCUAAUAUAUUUUGUUUAUGAAAAUAUAUAGCUCAACACUCACAGCACAACAAAAACAAUUUUUUUUUCAAAACACAGCAAUACCAAAUCAGCCCUUAAUUGAGCUUUCGCGUGCAAAUAUGACCAAACACAAAGGGAUGGAUCAAGAUACACGUAGGGGUGUUUUGUGGGUGGUUGGACGGCCACGUUGUUCAAACAUCCACGCCUAGGAAUUUCUCCAGUGGGUGGGCCUGCUGAUAGGAAAUAAACGUUAGAUCACAUUAGUUGCUUCCCAAAGAAAGUCAAAUCUCCUCAACGAACCCAGUAAUGAAGAAGCUGACUCCUCUUUUAAACACUGAAUACAACAAACAAACUACAAUGGAAAACGAAAUCAGUAUUCAGGAUUCAGUAUUUACAACAAAAUGGAGCCUUCGUAUACUUACUGUACGAAUUUUUUGUUUAAAUUCCUUCCCGGGUUCUUUCUCUUAUGCAUGAUCUCGUGCCUGGAAUCCACAUUCGGAAACAAAUCUGAUCGUCUCGCUCUGCUGGACUUCAAGAGGAGAAUAACAGAAGAUCCUCUCCAUAUCAUGAACUCAUGGAAUGAUUCGGUCGAUUUGUGCAGUUGGGUUGGCGUUACGUGCAACCAUGCGAACAAAAGAGUCAUGAUCUUGAACUUGGAAGCUCAAAAGUUGGUAGGCCCCGUACCGCCUUCAAUCGGAAAUCUUACUUAUCUUAAUGGAAUCAACUUGAUAGACAACAACUUUCACGGCGAAAUUCCUCAAGAAAUCGGACGUCUACUAGGCUUGCAGUAUCUCAACCUGACUUCGAAUUCUUUCGGCGGGAAAAUUCCAGCUAAUAUAUCUCACUGCACGCAGCUAAGAAUGCUCAAUGUUGGUUCAAAUAAGCUGAUUGGGUCAAUUCCGAACCAACUCAAUUCGUUGUUGAAUUUAGCCCAUUUUUUGGUUGGUAAAAACAAUCUCACCGGAACAAUUCCGGAUUGGAUAGGAAACUUUUCUUCCAUGUCUGCAAUCUCUCUUGAUAACAACAAUUUUGAAGGAAGCAUACCAUAUGCGCUCGGGCGGUUGACAAGCUUGGGAAGCUUCGAACUUGCAUCAAACAAACUUUCCGGUACGGUUCCUUCUUCAAUCUAUAAUAUAUCGUCGAUAUACUCAAUUCAUGUUACCAACAACCAGCUGCAUGGAGAGCUCCCACAAAAUGUGGGGACUACUCUUCCUAAUCUUGAGUUAUUUGCUGGCGGUGUCAACAAAUUCACCGGAAGUAUUCCUGUUUCUUUGUCAAAUGCUUCUAAACUUCGAUUUCUUGAUUUUGCCGAAAAUGGCCUCACGGGAAAAUUCCCUGCUGAAAAUUUUGGAACUUUGAAAGGGUUGGUGAGACUAAACUUUGAUGCCAAUAGGCUGGGAAGUGGGAAAACAGGUGACCUGCGUUCUCUCAGUUUUCUGGCCAAUUGUACUGAUCUUGAGGUGUUAAGUUUUAGUCGUAAUCGUUUUGGAGGGGAAUUGCCAGAGUCCAUAGGCAACCUUUCGACAAAACUGAGAAUUUUUACAAUGGGGGGAAAUUUAUUACAUGGAAGCUUCCCUACCCGGGUUGUGAAUCUUGUAAACUUGAUCAAUCUAGGAAUGGAACAAAACUAUCUUGGUGGUAGUGUCCCUGAUGUGAUCGGUAAGCUUCAGAAGUUGCACGGGCUGUAUUUGAAUCUUAACCAAUUCUCUGGGACAAUCCCGUCCACGCUAGGCAACUUGACUUCAGUCACAAGGCUCUUCAUGGAGGGGAAUAGGUUUGAGGGAAGCAUAUCUCCGAGUCUCGGGAACUGCCAAAGCUUAUUGAUGCUUAACCUUUCUAGUAAUCAGCUAAGUGGCACCAUACCUAAAGAGGUUAUCGGGCUUUCAUCUCUAUCAAUUUCUUUGUCCAUGUCGAACAAUUCUUUGACUGGUUCUCUACCAUCUGAAGUGGGCGAGUUGGUACAUCUCUCGGAGCUAGAUGUAUCAGGAAACAAGUUAUCGGGUGAAAUCCCCAUAACCCUCGGCAGCUGUACUAGUUUGGUGAGCCUACAUUUGGAAGGUAACCAAUUUGAAGGAACAAUUCCUCAAUCUCUAGCCAACUUAAGAGGCUUGGAAGAAAUAGAUAUUUCACGCAAUAAUUUAUCUGGCCAGAUUCCUGAAUGUUUAGGUAAGCUUGGAGCUCUAAAGCAACUCAAUAUUUCCUAUAAUGAAUUUGAGGGUGAAUUGCCCACAGAAGGGAUAUUUUCAAAUGCGAGUGGUUUCUCGGUUCUUGGAAAUAAUAAGCUCUGCGGUGGCAUCCGAGAAUUACGUCUACAUGUAUGCACCAGCAAAAAAUCUCAUUCAUCUCAAGGACUACUUGCCCCGAAAGUAAUAAUCCCUCUAACUUGUGUGCACUUGCAUUAAUAAUUACUCUGUCAUGUUUCAUUGCUUCUUGUGCAUUGGUGAAAAGGUCAAGAGGUAGACCUUUAACUUCACGUUCUAAUGAAGAAUCAAAAUCAGGUGUCUCCUAUUUACAACUCGUUGAAUCAACCAAUGGGUUCUCUCCAGAAAAUCUCAUUGGUUCGGGAAGUUUUGGUUCUGUAUACAGGGGAGUACUCUCUGGUAAUGGCAUCAUAGUUGCCGUUAAGGUGUUAAACCUUCAACAAGAAGGAGCUUCCAAGAGUUUCAUUGAUGAAUGCAAAGCUUUAAGAAGUGUAAGGCACCGCAAUCUUCUCAAGAUCAUAACUGCAUGCUCGAGCAUUGAUAGUCAAGGUAAUGAGUUCAAAAGUCUAGUUUAUGAGUUCAUGGAAAAUGGAAGCCUGGACCCUUGGCUGCAUCCAAGGGAUGACGAAGAAUCUCCAAACAAGAGAUUGAGCCUUACCCAAAGACUGAAUAUUGCCAUUGAUGUCGCUUCUGUACUAGAUUAUCUACACCACAAUUGUGAAACAUGCAUUGUUCAUUGUGAUUUAAAGCCAAGCAAUAUUCUUCUUGAUGAAGAUAUGGUUGCUCACGUUGGUGACUUUGGCCUAGCAAAGUUCCUCUUGGAGGCAUCAAAUGGUACAACCUUGUCAGUAGGGCUAAAAGGUUCCACAGGCUACAUUCCUCCAGGUAUGGAUUUCUUUGAUCCUCAUUUGUUAUAUUCUUUUAGCACUAAAGAAAUUUCAAAUAUGCUAUAAAUUCUAAGCAUGAACUAUUUUGAAUGGCAGAGUAUGGGAUGGGAGGACAAGUCUCCACACAAGGAGAUGUUUAUAGUUACGGGAUACUGUUGCUAGAAAUGUUCACAGGAAAAGGCCAACCGAUGACAUUUUCAAAGAUGGUCUAAGCAUUCACCAAUUCACCGCCAUGGCAUUGCCGGACCAUGUCAAGGAAGUAGUUGAGCCCUCAUUGCUCCUCGAAACAGAUGACGAAGAUGUUGAAGAUGACGAUGGCGACGGAUAUGGGAAUAAAAUACGGGAAAGACCACUGGCCAAAUACAAGGAUCCCGGCCCGGACAAAGCAAAAAGACGGGAGGAAUGCUUGUAUUCGGUGAUACAAAUAGGCAUCUCGUGCUCCGCAAUAUCACCAGGAGAGCGGAUGCGUAUGGAUGUGGUUGUCAACAAAAUGGGUGCACUUAGAGACUCAUAUCUCAACUUAAGAAGAAGAAGAUGAUGACGAUUGCAAUGUGCAAAACCAGGCUAAGUUUCUUUACCUAUUCCAAUCUAUAUAUAGCUUUUAUCUGUAUGCAAUAAAUUAUCUGUAUAAAUGUAUGUGACAUCAUGUAAGAUUGAAUCAAUAUUUUAUCACUAUAUAUAUUUGUCUCUUCAUAAUCGCAGGGCUUGGAAUUUGGUUGGUUUAAGAGCAUUUCAUGAUUGCACCUGAACUACGUCAAUCAUUUUAUGCUUUCAAGUCGAAGUCAUUCAUUUUCGACAGGAAGUUUUCAUUACAAUUUGUGAGAAAUUCUAAUGAACUACUUAAUCUCACAACUUUAUAAACCUACUGGAAAGUUAAUUAACACCAUGUGCUAAUAAGUUGGUUUGAAAGUCAGGUUCGUAUCUUUGCUUUAUGGUUUGCAUUGGUUUGAAACUCAAGUUUGUAUCUAUGCUUAAUGGUUUCAAAGUAUGUUGAAUUAUCUGUAUUCGCCUGUGUGUGUGUGUGUUUUUUUUUUUUUUUUUUUGAAUUGGUUGAAUUAAGAUGUACAAUUUUUAGAUUAAUCUAAUUAAAAAUGCACUAAGGAAUGAAGAACCCGCAGCAACACGCUGGCCAAUUUUCUAGUAAUGUCCAUUAUGUGUACGGAAAUUAUAAAACCCUUAGCAAAAUGGUAGCCUCGUAUGAGCUAGAAAUAUCUUGGCCAUAUUAAUUAUUUGAGACAAGCUGAUAAGUUGUGAUGCAAACUGAUAGCUCGUUUGAAUAUACUUUUAAAGUAACUGAAAGCGUUUUUGGUGAAAAUAUUUUUGGAAUCAAUCUUUAGUAAAUAUGCAAAUAAAAUUUGGAAAAGCAUUUUAAGUGCUUUUGAAACCAAAAAACAUUUUCUCUAAAAAUGAUUUCAAUCAUGUUAAAAGCACAUCCAAACAAGUCUUAUAAAUGAUAGACCUUAAUGUUUCCUAACACGUCUUAAUUGAGCUUUUGCGUGUUUCCUAACACGCCUUAAUGUUUCCUAACUCCGAUUCUGAGUAUUUCAAUCAGGCAGUCUUGAUUCGGUACAUCUUUUAGCUGCCCCACGAUACAAUUCUCGUUGCAAGUUGAUUCCUCAUCCUCUCUUUCCCUCCUUCAACAAACAACGGGUCUAAAACUUCGGAUAUUUGUUCAGGCAGUGCUUUGCUAACAAAGUUAUGGAGUUGUAGUCCGUCAUUAAAAACGUUGUAGGUGGGCCUUUUUCCUAUGAACAUGUACAGCCAGGAAUUGUCGAGGUGAGGCAAAAUUUAAUAGCGUAAAGAUGAGCCAAGAACAAACCCAGGUUCCAAAUCCACCCUCACACAGAUAAGCCAAGAACAGUGCUCAGAUUCUUGCUCACGGACAAAUGCAGAAAAGAGAUCAAAAAACGGCUAUUACAUAGAGAUCAAUACUGGCAAACAUUUCGGCAAGCUAGUACUGGGCUUUAUCGAGAUUUCAUAUCAUAUGGGCUUUGUGUAUAGUAGGCCCAGAAGGCUCUUUUAGCCAUCUAAAGAAAAUGUGUAAACUGUCUAUUUAGUUUCUGAAUUAUCAGCUUGGUGAAAAUUAGGUCCCUAAACUUUUUUUUUUUUUUCAGAAAAUUCAGUUCUUGAAUUGUAAAAAUGUGUCAAUUUCAUCCCCAAUAUUAUAUUCAAAGCUACUAUAUUCAAUUUUCCGUCAAAUUUUAAGUCACGUUACUUGUAUGUGAUACACAUUGGAGGGUAGAUUGGUAAUUUUUCAUAAAGAAAUAGUGUAUGGAGUUAAGAUGAUAGGUUCGCAACAUAUAUGAAAUGUUAAGGGUUUAUAGGCGAGAAAAUUACAGUAUCACACUAUAAAGUGUGUCAAGUGACGUAAGUUAACAAAAAAUUGGAUAAAAUAAAUUUGAAUAUAAUAGUAGGGAUGAAAUUAGCAAUUUUUAAUGAAUUUAGGGACUUAUUUUACCAAACAAUAUUCAUAGACCUAAUUUCAAGGACUAAAUUGGCACUUUACCCAAAGAAAAUUAUAGGCACUCUCUCACAAGGCUUUCUCUAGUGUGUACAUCGAAAAUGCACGUUUAAAUUACACAUUUGAACAAGAGUUAUUAAAUUAUUUGAUUUAACAAACUCUAACGACCCUUGUUCAUAUGCGUAAUUUAAAAGUACACUUUUAACGUGCAGGGGAGAAAAUUCAACUUCCUGACUCCAUUGAGCCAUUGAUUGGGGGAAGAAAGUUGCCUCAACCGGAAACAAAAACUCCAAUAGCAGGAUGUAAAAUAUUCUUCUUUGCUGCAAUAUGUAAAUAAAAAUACAAAUUUACGUCUUUUUACAUCUUUUAAAAGUGGGCACAACCUCAAAAUCAAUUGUAACUUUUCCAUUCAAAUUUGCUUCCUUCAGUAUUGAAUUUCUGAAUAUUUAAGACAUGUGGAUAAAGAUGCUGGUAGAGUAUAACCCAUACUGUUUUUUAAAGAUUUAGAAAUCUAGUCAUUCCAAGCUCAUCAAGCGCAAACCUUAUCUAGAACUCCCAAAAAAUGGGCAAAUUCUUUAUUAUCAUGAUUAUUUCUUCCUCGCACACACCCUCAUUAUCUUCUUAAAUAACUUUCUCGGCAGGGCCGACCCAGGCCCAGCGCCACAGGGGCAGCUGUCCAGGGCCCCAAAUUGAAAGGGGCACCAAAAAAAAAACCCCCAAAUAACUUGGUAUAUAUAUAAUAAAAUAAAAAAGUCCAAAGCCCAAAUAAGGGCUGGAGGGCAAGAGCUCAUGAAAGUUUUAAAAAGGGCCCAAGUUUUGGGACCACUAGGUCCAGGUUUUGGGAAUUACAGCAAAAAAAAAAAGCAAACAAAAAAACAAAACAAAAUCAGACAUUAGACUAUUAGAGGGAUCACUUGAUCUCCAUUUUACAACCCUUUCCCGAUUUCCCAUAACCUUACAACCCUAAUUCCUACCCUGGCCACCCCCUUUUGUUCCCCACUUCCUCCCUGUCGUUCCUUAGUUCCUGACUCCCUUUUCAAAAGUUCAACAGCAAGCUGUUGCACACAGGCAAACAGCAGUCACAUAACAUUGGGCAUUGGCUGCUCAAGUGCAAGAGCAUUCACUCACCACCAACCCCUUUGAGUUUUGAGGUAAAUUAAUUUUUAAAAUUUGAAUUAUCAAUUCAUAAUUUAAUAUAAAAUUUUUCAAGUGAUAUAGAAUUAUAUGAUAAUUGAUGUAUAGAAUUGUUGUUGAUGAAUUGAAUUCUUGACUAAUUUAAUUAUUUGAUUUCAUUUCAAACCCAAUUUUUGGGUUCAAUUUUUAUAAUAUGUUAAACUUUGUGUUAGUGUUUUUAUAAUAUAUAAUAUGUGUUGAAAUGAUAAUUUUGAUAGGAUAUUUUUGUUAUAUCAUGUGUAAGUAAUUUUUACAAACAAAUUAUCGAAGCCAUUAUUUUAGGAAAUAACUCUCUAGUAAUAUGAAAAGGAAAAAAAAGGCAAAGGAUAACGAAAUUGCCCAAAGUUUAAGAGGAUCUCUUAAUAAAUUCCUCUCUACAAAGAAUAAGUCAGUUGAAAAUUUGAGAGAAAAUGAAAUUGGUGAAGAGUCACAAAAUGUUGUUGGGGAGUCUCAUGAUCCUGAAAAUGGUGGUGAUUUAGAAGAAAAUGUUGGUGAUGAGUCUCAAGACCAUGAAAAUGGUGGUGAUGUAGAUUUAAAUAUUGAUGAUGAUCAUAUUGGUGUAGAGAAAAAUAUUGAAUCUCCUGAACCUAUUUUCCAUUUAAACAUUUAUGAUCCAAGAGUUUGGGAUGGUCUUAAUACAGAAUUGAGAGACUUACUUGUAGAAAAUGAAUCAAUUCGAGAAACUAAUCUCACUUAUCGUAAAGACAAACUCUCUAGAAAAUUUUCCUCACACUACUAUGAUCGAAAAUUACCAACGGGUAAAAUUUAUGAUAGAAAAUGGAUAGAAAAUGGCUCGUGUACUCAAGAGUUGGAUAAAGUCUUUUGCUUUUGUUGUAACUUGUUUAAAACAAUUGACUCAAAAAGUGAGUUAGCAAAAUAUGAAAUUAAUGAUUAGAAACAUCUUGGUGUGAAGCUUGACCAACAUGAAAAGAGUAAAGAGCAUCUCAUUAAUUCGAGAACUUGGGUUGAGUUGAAAAGUAGAUUGACAAAAAAAAUCAGACAAUUGAUAAAGAAUUUCAAAUGCGAAUCAAGAAAGAGACAAAUCAUUGGAAACAAGUGAUGCUCCGAAUUAUUGUUGUUGUGAAAUGUCUUGUCAUACGUAAUUUGAACAAAUGAAAGACCUUAUGAAGACUCUAAUAGCAACUUCUUAGGUUUACUUAAAAUGAUUGCGGAGUUUGAUCCAAUAAUGCAAAAGCAUUUUCAACUCAUUGGGAAUAAAGCGAUUCAUCAUCACUAUUUGAGCCAUAAAAUCCAAAAUGAGUUGAUAACUAUUUUAGCUUCAAAAGUCAAAACCGCAAUCAUUAAAAAGGUAAAAGAAGCAAAAAAAAUUUAUGUCAUACUUGAUUGUACUCCUGAUGCAAGUCAUGUAGAACAAAUGAAUUUAAUUUUGAGAUGUGUUGACUUGUCAAGUAGGUCAAUAAAUAUAAGGGAGUAUUUUAUGGAGUUUUUACGUGUGGAAGAUACAUCAGGACAAGGACUUUUUAAUGAGUUGCAAGAUGUCCUAAAGUCUCUUGAUCUUGAUAUUGAUAAUGUGAGGGGACAAGGUUAUAAUAAUGGAUCUAACAGGAAAGGGAAACACCAAGGUGUCCAGAAAAGAUUGCUAGACAUAAAUCCCAGAGCCUUUUACAUGUCAUGUGGUUCUCAUUGUUUUAAUUUAAUAGUUUGUGAUAUGGCAAGUUCAUGUCUUAAAGCAAAAUAUUUUUUUGGAGCAUGUCAAUGCAUGUAUACAGUGUUUUCCAACUCUACAAAGCGUUGGAAUAUUUUGCUUGAACAUAUUGAUGAUUUAACUUUGAAGUCAUUGUCAACUACUCGAUGGGAAAGUCACAUUGAAAGUGUUAAAGCAAUUAAAUCCCAAGUAGCCUAAGUUAUAAAUGCUUUGUUUACGUUGAUGGAAAUUAUUAAGAAUCCCCAAUUGAGUAGGGAUGCAAGAUGUUUAGCAUCAGGAGAACUUUCCAGUUUUGAUUUUGUAUUAAGUUUGGUUAUUUGGUAUGACAUUUUGUUGAAGAUUAACAUGGUGAGCAUAAAAUUACAAUCUGAAGACAUGCGUCUUGAUGUUACUGUAAAGGUAUUGAAAGCACUUGUUAACUUUUUUGAAAACUACAGAGAAACUGGUUUUGCUUCUGCCAUGCGUGAUGCUAAAGAAAUUGCACUUGAUUCAGAAAUUGACCAUGUUUUUCAAACUAAACAUUAUAGACCUAGAAAAAGACAUCAUGAUGAAGUUGAUAGUAACGAGAGGGAACAAUAGUCUGCUGAAGAAUCAUUUAGAACAUAUUAUUUUUUUGUUAUAGUGGAUAUUGCUCUUUCUCAACUGAAACACAGAUUUGAACAAUUAAAGACUUUUGAAUCUAUUUUUGGCUUCUUGUUUGAUGCAUCGAAGUUAAUUUCAUUGGAUGAUCAACAACUAAAAGAAAAUUGUAUGAAUCUUGAAGCACAUUUGAAAUAUGGAAAUACCAUGGAUGUAGAUGAAGCCGACUUAUGUUCCGAAUUACAGUGUUGCAAAUGAUGUUACCUAAAGAAACAUUUCUCUCUAAUAACCCUUGGACAUCCAUGGAAAUAGCAAAUUUUGUAAAAGAAACUGACAUGUGUCCUAAUGUCUUGAUUGCUUAUCGUGUACUGUUGACUAUACCUGUGACCGUGGCAUCUGCAGAAAGAAGUUUUUCAAAAUUGAAAUUAUUAAAAUCUUGCUUGCGGACCACUAUGACUCAAGAUAGGCUAAAUGGAUUAGCAAUCUUAUGCAUUGAAAAUGAUAAGAUUGAAGACUUGGAGUAUGAUGAUAUAAUUGAUGAUUUUGCUUCAAAAAAUGUCAGAAGACAAUUUCUUAAAAGUUGAAAUUUCAAGAAGCUUUGCUAGGAAUUGAUGUAUAUGAUUGAUGCAUGGGGUGGAGCUGUUAGCUAGGGCAAUUGGGUUGGAGCAACAGCCGGUCCACCGGGCUAUUGAAUACAGUGGAGCUGCUCUUAAGAACUUCCACCACCACUUUUGAGUACUCAUUUAAGGAUUUAAAGGGAAUCUUUGUGUCCCUAAAGGAAUAUUGCCUCCAAUGGGAGAGUCCUUAUAGUAGAAUCCUUAAAUUUGAAGUUUUUAUGAUUUUAUGUGAUAAUUUGAUUAGGUGCACAUUUUUAUUUAUACCUUUUUUUAAUUAAUUAAAAACAAUAAAAUUAAAAAAAAACUAAUAAAAAUGAUUUCAAAAUUUGAAUUCUAACAAAAAAUCAUGUAAUAACUUUAUUUAAUGAUUAGAAUAAAUCCCAACAUCAAAUCAAUUCAAUAAAACAGGCCCAAACAAAGUAAUUUAUUGAGAUUCCGAUUUUACCCCCUAACGUCUUUUAUUGGCCCGUUUAUUUAUGUCUGUCCCCUUGGACUUAGAGGAGAAAAGCUGAUUCGCUUCAGUUGGCGUUCCACAACGCCCGUGAUUCCAUGAAAUUCAAUCAAUUGCUGCUUCUGCUGUUCUGAUCACGAACCCCAAAUCCCAAACUCCUAAGCCCAAAUCAGAUGGGCAGCAAAAGCAAAACCAAAGAGAAGAAAGCAGUUGGAGGACUCAAUCGACGACGAUAAAUUACUUUGGUUGAUUAGAUUUGCUGUACACGUUCUUCUUAGACAGGGUGUGCUUGGUAUGAAGGUGCAGAUCAUGCUCGACUGGGAUCCUAAGGGAAAGCAGGGACUAAUGACUCCAUUGCUUGAUUUGUUGACCAUCCACACCCCCAAGGAAGACAAUAUCUUCCAGUUCCACCCGCAGAAAUCGACAUAGAGCCAGUUCCAGUUCCAAUAGCUUGAAUUGAGUUUUGAUUCAUUUGUAAACUUAUACAUAUAGGAAAGGAAUUGGUUGUCCUUUUGGGCUUCGAUUUUCAGCGAAUGAACUUGUUUACUUGUCCAUGGAUUUAAAAAAUUAGUAUUGAAAUAAAUGGCUAUGCAAUAUGAUAAUGGGGUUCUGCCAAUUUAUGACAGCCUUUUCUUUUCUUUUUAUUUUUUAUUUUUUAUUUUUUUUAAUAUUCAAUUUUCACAAGAAAACAUGAGAUGAACAAAUGGUGUCCUGUAGCUAUUAGAAUUUGCAAUUGAAACAUAUUCUUUUGCAAUAGAAUCAAUAAUAUGCAACCGUAGUUCAUAUUUGGCGUUUGUGCAAAAUUACACUAGUACUUUUGUAACACCAUUGAAUGAAAUUCUAUGCGUUGCAUCUAUAGGUGCUCUGAAAUUGUGUUUUUGUUUUAGAAAUAGGUAGUGUUCAAUUUAAGAAAUACUAAUAGUAUCCGUGUUCAGUUCUAGAAAUAAUCAAUGUUCAGUUUAAGAGAUAAUAUUUAUGAAACUAAAGAAAAAUUACCCACACUAUUUCAGAAAAUUAAAUCAAAAUUACGCACAUUGUCACAUACCGGCCCGGGUCCAUCACAUCCCGGACUCGCUCUACCACCGUAGCACGAUAUUGUCCACUUUGGGCUUACCAUUCCCUAACGGUUUUGUUUUUGGGAGCUCACGAGCAACUCCCCAGUAGGUCACCCAUCAUGGGAGUGCUCUGACCACCUUCUCGCUUAACUUUGGAGUUCCUAUGGAACCCGAAGCUAGUGAGCUCUCAAAAGGCCUCGUGCUAGGUAAAGAUGAGAAUAUACAUUUAAGGAUCACUCCCCUAGGCAAUGUGGAAUAUUACAAUCCACCCCCCUUAGGGGGCCCGACGUCCUCGUCGACACACUUACGGCCAGGGAUUGGCUCUGAUACCAUUUGUCACAUCCCGGCCCUGGUCCACCACAUCCUGGGCCCGCUCUACCAUCGUAGCACGAUAUUGUCCGCUUUUGGCUUACCAUUCCCUCACGGUUUUGUUUUUGGAAACUCACGAGCAAUUUCCCAAUUGGUCACCCAGCAUGGGAGUGUUAUGGCCACCUUCUCGCUUAACUUCGGAGUUCCUACGGAACCUGAAACCAGUGAGCUCCCAAAAGGCCUCGUGCUAGGUAGGGAUGAAAAUAUACAUUUAAGGAUCACUCCCCUGGGCGAUGUGGGAUGUUACCCACAUUAUUUCUGGAAGAUAACAAAAUAAACACUAUUUCUGAAACAAUAGCAAAAUAAUUCACACCAUUUCUGAAACUGAAACAAAAUAACUCACACUAUUUCUGAAACUAUAGCAAAAUAACCCACAUUAUUUCUGAAACUGAACCAAAAUAACUCAUAUUAUUUCUGGAACCACAACAAAAUAAUUCACACUAUUUCUAAAACUAAACCAUAAUAACCAACACUAUUUCUAGAAGGGGCAAAAUAAACAAUACUUUUCAAACUACAACAAAAUAACCAACACUAUUUGUGAAAUUGAACCAAAAUAACCAACAUUAUUUCUGGAACUACAACAAAAUUAUACACUAUUUCUGGAAAAAAAAAUGAACUAAAACAAUCCACACUAUUUAUAAAAGAAAACAAAUUUCUGAAACUACCACAAACCUACACUAUUUAUGAAAUUGAAUCAAAAUAGCUCACACCAUUUCUAGAACUACAGAAAAAUAAUCUACACUAUUUUCUGAAAGUAAAACAAAACAAUGCACACUAUUUUUCGAAUAACAACAAAAUAUACAUCUAUCUCAUAGAUGAUAGAUUAUAUGGUUUUCCUAUAAAAUAAAUGAAUAUGUUUUGAAUUAAUUAAUCUUUUUGCCAGUGAAAAAUCCGAUGUUGGUCCCUUGGAGGCCAAAGGAAAAUAAGCAACCUUUCCUUAAUUUCCAGGGGAUAGAAAAAGUAGAUGAAUGAGUCUAUUUAUCUCCAAAGUGGUUCAUCUAACACUAAGAUAGGACCCGCACCAACCCUAAGACUAGAAGAAACCGAUGAAGGGCUUAAAAUACGUAGGCCAGUGGCAAAAAUGCUUUGGAGGUCGAAUUGCAUCCUCCUCUUGUACAAUCGGGCCCACUUAUCUUGAAAAUGGUCUAUCCGCUCCUCGAAAAAAAAAUUCUAGUGAUCCAAACUUUUUUCAUUAAAACUUUCAAAAUUAAAAGCAUUAAAAGUAUUAAAAGAUUUAAUCAAGAGUGUAGCCUUCGUUUUCCACUCAAAAUUAUGUUCAUAUAAAAUAUGUAUAUGUGAGUAUAUACACUAUGUAUCUAUUGAGUCUCUAUACUUUAGGAACUCACUUUUCGAUUCAUUAGAAAUUAAUUUUGUCACUAUAUUUAUUUUAUAAAUAUUUAUAAUAAUUGUUGUAUUUAGGGAUUCCACUGAAGAUGUAGAUAAAUGAAACUCUUCCUACCAGUACCACCUUUAACAUGUCACCCCCAGGACCAGCCAAAUAUAAUAAAUCUUGGUUUAUAAUUUUAUAGUGGGUGAACAAUUUAUUACAAAAGCCAAAAAAGGGCACGGACCAUCGUGCAGUUUUUACCAUCUUAAAUCUACGUCCAGAAAUGAUCUCAGUUCUUAUUCUUAUUCUUUGGUCAAGCGGAGGACUUUGUAUGUUUAUACUCUGGGAAAAGGAUCCGGCGUGGAUCUUUUUCCUAGGAAUCUUAGGGAUCAAGUGAUCUUACCCGUUUAUCGUAUAUCGUUCGGUCAGUUUUCUAGGUACUAUUCAUAUUUAAUAUUAAAUUUUAAAUUUUGAAAUAAUUUUUGACCGCACGAUAUACAAUAAUCAAGUGAGAUCACGGGAUCCCUAGGAUCCUUUUCCUAUAAUCUAGUCCUUUUGUAUUUGUACUAAUGCAAGAACUGAUAGAGGACAAAAUAUGGAUCAAUUCUGACGAAGAAAGAUAAAGAAACUAAAAUGUUUUAAAUUUUGAAAAAAGAAGAAUUAAAGUUCGGAAAUAUUGAAUUCAAUCUACAUGGUGACAAAAAAGACAGUAAGAAAUAUUUUGGUGUCAGAAUUAGGCAUUUAAUAGUCAAUCGAUAUAAGGACAUAUUAUACACUCAAUUCUAGCACCAGAUAGUUCUUACUACCUUUUUUGUCACAUAUCGAUUGAAUCUAAUAUUUCCGAACCUUAAUUCUUCUUUUUCAGAAUUUGAAAUAUUUUAUUUUCUUUAUCUUUCUCCAUCAAAAUUGACUCAUAUCUUGUCAUACAUCACACUCUUCCACUUGAAUCGAGUUCGUCUUAAAAUUGCCUCUGACAUCAAGAAUCAUGAACCUAGAUAAGCACGUAUAAUCUCUGACAUGAGGAGCCAGAACUUCUUCCAACUUGGAUUGUACAACCAUGUAGUCGAUUCCCUAAAUAAGAUUUGAAUAUGUAGUUGACUCAUCUUGUUGUCCAGGUUCACAUGCCUGGUUUGAUAAUGGCAUAUAUCCUACUACCAUGUCGACCUCGAUAGUUUGAGUUUUAUCAAUACCUUAUUCGUCAUGGAUGCUAACUUGAUUGUCUUCUUCUAUUAUGGCUUCCGCUUCAAUUAUGACACACUUUUAAUUGGCGAUUUUACUUCCUUUUCUUCAAUUUCUUCCUCCAUCUUUUCUUGGCAUAGGGGACCAUCAAAUGAUUUUUCCUCACCCACUUUGUCUUUGAAAGUAGCAUUUUCCGUUCUUAGAAGAUACAAAUUAUAUUCAAACGAAAAUCAUACAUCUACAAUAACUUUCUCUUCAUCCUACGCCAAGAUCAGAUAUGAUUCUUUCCUUCUUUCUUUCAUGUAUUUUGCAAACUAUUCCAUCAAAAAGCAAUAUUUUCCUUUAAAUGAAAAACAACCUUCUAACACAGGGCCCUUUCCAAACCCGAAAAUAGUAUGAGCCCAAAGAAACAGCGGUCCAAAGGAAGAAAGAAAGGAGGGCCCGAAGGAAGGAAGCGAGACCAAGGGCUAGCUGGAAAUAUGCCUAGCUGGAAAUAUCUUGGCCAUUAUUAAUUAUUUGAGACGAGCUGAUGUCAACUCAAACCCUAGAUAAAUUGGUCCAAACCCGUUAGAUAAUAAGGAAAAGUAAUGAAAAGGACUUGAAAACUUUGAGUUUUAACGAUAAGGACAAAAUAAAGGUAAAGUGAAUAGUACCAAGAUUGACUUUUUAGUGUUAAAAUAUGAUUUUUCGUUAAAGUGAACAUUACCGGAAACUUUUCGUUAAAGUUCUUAUAAUAAUAAUGUAAAGGAAGUUUGUGAUGCAAAUUGAGGAAAUGGUCAUCUCACGUGGAGCUACAUGGGUCUUAGAGGUACUGAGGUGUUUUUAUAAAAAAUGGAUAUAAAAAAAAAUGAAGCUAAAAAAUGUGUCGGGUAAACACUUAAAAACAGCUUAUUUUCACAGUUUUAGAUGAAAGUAAGCUGAAAACGUGAAAUAACAAAAAUAAACUUAUUCUCACAUUAUAAUAAAAAUAAUUUUUUUUCUUCUAAACACCACAAUACUAAACCAGCGAGCUUUCGCGUGCAGACGCCCGUCCAGGACACUAAAUGUGACCAAACACAAAGGGAUGGGCUCAAAAUACAAGUAGGGGUGUUUAGUGGGUGGUUGGACGGCCGCGUUGUUCAGACAUCCACACCUAGAAUUUCUCCAGUGGGUGGCCUGCUGAUAGGAAACAAACGUUAGAUCACAUUAAUUGCUUCCCAAAGAAAGUCAAAUCUCCUCAACGAACCCAGUAAUGAAGAAGCAGACUCCUCUUUUAAACACUGAAUUCAACAAACAAACUACAAUGGAAAAAGAAAAACGAAAUCAGUAUUCAGGAUUCAGUAUUUACAACAAAAUGGAGCCUUCGUAUACUUACCGUACGAAUUUUUUGUUUAAAUUCCUUCCCGGGUUCUUUCUCUUAUGCAUGAUCUCGUGCCCGGAAUCCACAUUCGGAAACAAAUCUGAUCGCCUCGCUCUGCUGGACUUCAAGAGGAGAAUAACAGAAGAUCCUCUCCAUAUCAUGAACUCAUGGAAUGAUUCGGUCGAUUUGUGCAGUUGGGUUGGCGUUACGUGCAACCAUGCGAACAAAAGAGUCAUGAUCUUGAACUUGGAAGCUCAAAAGUUGGUAGGCUCCAUACCGCCUUCAAUCGGAAAUCUUACUUAUCUUAAUGGAAUCAACUUGAUAGACAACAACUUUCACGGCGAAAUUCCUCAAGAAAUCGGACGUCUACUAGGCCUGCAGUAUCUCAACCUGUCUUCGAAUUCUUUCGGUGGGAAAAUUCCAACUAAUAUAUCUCACUGCACGCAGCUAAGAAUGCUCAAUGUUGGUUCAAAUAAGCUGAUUGGGUCAAUUCCGAACCAACUCAAUUCGUUGUUGAAUUUAGCCCAUUUUUUGGUUGGUAAAAACAAUCUCACCGGAACAAUUCCGGAUUGGAUAGGAAACUUUUCUUCCAUGUCUGCAAUCUCUCUUGAUAACAACAAUUUUGAAGGAAGCAUACCAUAUGCGCUCGGGCGGUUGACAAGCUUGGGAAGCUUCGAACUUGCAUCAAACAAACUUUCCGGUACGGUUCCUUCUUCAAUCUAUAAUAUAUCGUCGAUACACUCUAUUCAUGUUACCAACAACCAGCUGCAUGGAGAGCUCCCACAAAAUGUGGGGACUACUCUUCCUAAUCUUGAGUUAUUUGCUGGCGGUGUCAACAAAUUCACCGGAAGUAUUCCUGUUUCUUUGUCAAAUGCUUCUAAACUUCGAUUUCUUGAUUUUGCCGAAAAUGGCCUCACGGGAAAAUUCCCUGCUGAAAAUUUUGGAACUUUGAAAGGGUUGGUGAGACUAAACUUUGAUGACAAUAGGCUGGGAAGUGGGAAAACAAGUGACCUGAGUUCUCUCAGUUUUCUGGCCAAUUGUACUAAUCUUGAGGUGUUAAGUUUUAGUCGUAAUCGUUUUGGAGGGGAAUUGCCAGAGUCCAUAGGCAACCUUUCGACGAAACUGAGAAUUUUUACAAUGGGGGGAAAUUUAUUACAUGGAAGCUUCCCUACCCGGGUUGUGAAUCUUGUAAACUUGAUCAAUCUAGGAAUGGAACAAAACUAUCUUGGUGGUAGUGUCCCUGAUGUGAUCGGUAAGCUUCAGAAGUUGCACGGGCUGUAUUUGAAUCUUAACCAAUUCUCUGGGACAAUCCCGUCGACGCUAGGCAACUUGACUUCAGUCACAAGGCUCUUCAUGGAGGGGAAUAGGUUUGAGGGAAGCAUACCUCCGAGUCUCGGGAACUGCCAAAGCUUAUUGAUGCUUAACCUUUCUAGUAAUCAGCUAAGUGGCACCAUACCUAAAGAGGUUAUCGGGCUUUCAUCUCUAUCAAUUUCUUUGUCCAUGUCGAACAAUUCUUUAACUGGUUCUCUACCAUCUGAAGUGGGCGAGUUGGUACAUCUCUCGGAGCUAGAUGUAUCAGGAAACAAGUUAUCGGGUGAAAUCCCCAUAACCCUCGGCAGCUGUACUAGUUUGGUGAGCCUACAUUUGGAAGGUAACCAAUUUGAAGGAACAAUUCCUCAAUCUCUAGCCAACUUAAGAGGCUUGGAAGAAAUAGAUAUUUCACGCAAUAAUUUAUCUGGCCAGAUUCCUGAAUUUUUAGGUAAGCUUGGAGCUCUGAAGCAACUCAAUAUUUCCUAUAAUGAAUUUGAGGGUGAAUUGCCCACAGAAGGGAUAUUUUCAAAUGCGAGUGGUUUCUCGGUUCUUGGAAAUAAUAAGCUCUGCGGUGGCAUCCGAGAAUUACGUCUACAUGAAUGCACCAGCAAAAAAUCUCAUUCAUCUCAAGGACUACUUGCCCCGAAAGUAAUAAUCCCUCUAACUUGUGCACUUGCAUUAAUAAUUACUCUGUCAUGUUUCAUUGCUUCUUGUGCAUUGGUGAAAAGGUCAAGAGGUAGACCUUUACCUUCACGUUCUAAUGAAGAAUCAAAAUCAGGUGUCUCUUAUUUACAACUGGUUGAAUCAACCAAUGGGUUCUCUCCAGAAAAUCUCAUUGGUUCGGGAAGUUUUGGUUCUGUAUACAGGGGAGUACUCUCUGGUAAUGGCAUCAUAGUUGCCGUUAAGGUGUUAAACCUUCAACAAGAAGGAGCUUCCAAGAGUUUCAUUGAUGAAUGCAAAGCUUUAAGAAGUGUAAGGCACCGCAAUCUUCUCAAGAUCAUAACUGCAUGCUCAAGCAUUGAUAGUCAAGGUAAUGAGUUCAAAAGUCUAGUUUAUGAAUUCAUGGAAAAUGGAAGCCUGGACCCUUGGCUGCAUCCAAGGGAUGACGAAGAAUCUCCAAACAAGAGAUUGAGCCUUACCCAAAGACUGAAUAUUGCCAUUGAUGUCGCUUCUGCACUAGAUUAUCUACACCACAAUUGUGAAACAUGCAUUGUUCAUUGUGAUUUAAAGCCAAGCAAUGUUCUUCUUGACGAAGAUAUGGUUGCUCAUGUUGGUGACUUUGGCCUAGCAAAGUUCCUCUUGGAAGCAUCAUAUGGUACAACCUUGUCAGUAGGGCUAAAAGGUUCCAUAGGCUACAUUCCUCCAGGUAUGGAUUUCUAUGAUCCUCAUUUGUUAUAUUCUUUUAGCACUAAAGAAAUUUCAAAUAUGCUAUAAAUUCUAAGCAUGAACUGUUUUGAAUGGCAGAGUAUGGGAUGGGAGGACAAGUCUCCACACAAGGAGAUGUUUAUAGUUACGGGAUACUGUUGCUAGAAAUGUUCACAGGAAAAAGGCCAACUGAUGACAUUUUUAAAGAUGGUCUAAGCAUUCACCAAUUCACCGCCAUGGCAUUGCCGGACCAUGUCAAGGACGUAGUUGAGCCCUCAUUGCUCCUCGAAACAGAUGACGAAGAUGUUGAAGAUGAUGAUGGCGACGGAUAUGGGAAUAAAAUACGGGAAAGACCACUGGCCAAAUACAAGGAUCCCGGCCCGGACAAAGCAAAAAAACUGGAGGAGUGCUUGUAUUCGGUGAUACAAAUAGGCAUCUCGUGCUCCGCAAUAUCACCAGGAGAGCGGAUGCGUAUGGAUGUGGUUGUCAACAAAAUGGGUGCACUUAGAGACUCAUAUCUCAACUUAAGAAGAAGAAGAUGAUGACGAUUACAAUGUGCAACACCAGGCUAAGUUUCUUUACCUAUUCCGAUCUAUAUAUAGCUUUUAUCUGUAUAAAUGUAUGUGACAUCAUGUAAGAUUGAAUCAAUAUUUUAUCACUAUAUAUAUUUGUCUCUUCAUAAUCGCAGGGCUUGGAAUUUGGUUGGUUUAAGAGCAUUUCAUGCUUGCACCUGAACUACUCAAGAGUUCUAUUACCUCUUUCCUUACUUCGGUUGUAUAAAAAACACCAAUCACACAAUUUGAUACUACUUUUCUAAAACAAAACUUAUCAAUCAUGUUGAAGGAAGAGACAUACGCCAACAAAACAAAGAGAUAUUAUUCGAUAGACAAGGGCACACUUACCAGGUCAUGAAGUAGCAGCAAAGUUGCACACCACCGCAAAUAAGUGUUCCCAGUAAAAUUACUGCAAUUUGAGCUUCCAUAACAGUAAGAAGAAUCAACUUUUCAGUAUGAAUUUGUGUUGAUCGGUCUGGGAUUAAAUUUCGCAGAAUGAUCCCUAGGGAAAGAGGGGGAGGAGUCAGGAAAAGAGGUUCUUUGAGGCUUUUUAUCUGGUUAUUUAAAUUUGGAAUAAAGGAAAGAGAAAAAAAAUAGAGGGAUUUGAUUUGGAGGUUUUAGUGUAAAGGUCACAAAAUACUUCUAAUACUAAGAUUGAGUCAAUCAACAUUUUAUGUUUUUAAGUCGAAGUCAUUCAUUUUCGACAGGAAGUUUUCAGUACAAUUUGUGAGAAAUUCUAAUGAACUACUUAAUUUCACAACUUUAUAAACCUACUGGAAAGUUAAUUAACACCAUGUGCUAAUAAGUUGGUUUGAAAGUCAGGUUCGUAUCUUUGCUUUAUGGUUUGCAUUGGUUUGAAACUCAAGUUUGUAUCUAUGCUUAAUGGUUUCAAAGUAUGUUGAAUUAUCUGUAUUCGCCUGUGUGUGUUUUUUUUUUUUUUUUUUUUUUUUUUGAAUUGGUUGAAUUAAGAUGUACAAUUUUUAGAUUAAUCUAAUUAAAAAUGCACUAAGGAAUGAAGAACCCGCAGCAACACACUGGCCAAUUUUCUAGUAAUGUCCAUUAUGUGUACGGAAAUUAUCAAACCCUUAGCAAAAUGGUAGCCUCAUAUGAGCUAGAAAUAUCUUGGCCAUAUUAAUUAUUUGAGACAAGCUGAUAAGUUGUGAUGCAAACUGAUAGCUCGUUUGAAUAUACUUUUAAAGUAACUGAAAGCGUUUUUGAUGAAAAUAUUUUUGGAAUCAAUCCUUAGUAAAUAUGCAAAUAAAAUUUGGAAAAGCAUUUUAAGUGCUUUUGAAACCAAAAAACAUUUUCUCUAAAAAUGAUUUCAAUCAUUUUAAAAGCACAUCCAAAUAAGUCUUAUAAAUGAUAGACCUUAAUGUUUCCUAACACGUCUUAAUUGAGCUUUUGCGUGUUUCCUAACACGCCUUAAUGUUUCCUAACUCCGAUUCUGAGUAUUUCAAUCAGGCAGUCUUGAUUCGGUACAUCUUUUAGCUGCCCCACGAUACAAUUCUUGUUGCAAGUUGAUUCCUCAUCCUCUCCUUCCCUCCUUCAACAAACAACGGGUCUAAAACUUCGGAUACUUGUUCAGGCAGUGCUUUGCUAACAAAGUUAUGGAGUUGUAGUCCGUCAUUAAAAACGUUGUAGGUGGGCCUUUUUCCUAUGAACAUGUACAGCCAGGAAUUGUCGAGGUGAGGCAAAAUUUAAUAGCGUAAAGAUGAGCCAAGAACAAACCCAGGUUCCAAAUCCACCCUCACACAGAUAAGCCAAGAACAGUGCUCAGAUUCUUGCUCACGGACAAAUGCAGAAAAGAGAUCAAAAAACGGCUAUUACAUAGAGAUCAAUACUGGCAAACAUUUCGGCAAGCUAGUACUGGGCUUUAUCGAGAUUUCAUAUCAUAUGGGCUUUGUGUAUAGUAGGCCCAGAAGACUCUUUUAGCCAUCUAAAGAAAAUGUGUAAACUGUCUAUUUAGUUUCUGAAUUAUCAACUUGGUGAAAAUUAGGUCUCUAAACUAUUUUUUUUUCAGAAAAUUCAGUUCUUGAAUUAUAAAAAUGUGUCAAUUUCAUCCCUAAUAUUAUAUUCAAAGCUACUAUAUUCAAUCUUCCGUCAAUUUUUAAGUCACGUUACUUGUAUGUGAUACAUAUUGGAGGGUAGAUUGGUAAUUUUUCAUAAAGAAAUAGUGUAUGGAGUUAAGAUGAUAGAUUCGCAACAUAUAUGAAAUGUUUAGGGUUUAUAGGCGAGAAAAUUACAGUAUCACACUAUAAAAUGUGUCAAGUGACUUAAGUUGACAAAAAAUUGGAUAGAAUAAAUUUGAAUAUAAUAGUAGGGAUGAAAUUAGCAAUUUUUAAUGAAUUUAGGGACUUAUUUUACCAAACAAUAUUCAUAGACCUAAUUUCAAGGACUAAAUUGGCACUUUACCCAAAGAAAAUUAUAGGCACUCUCUCACAAGGUUCUCUAGUGUGUACAUCGAAAAUGCACGUUUAAAUUACACAUUUGAACAAGAGUUAUUAAAUUAUUUGAUUUAACAAACUCUAACGACCCUUGUUCAUAUGCGUAAUUUAAAAGUACAUUUUUAAUGUACAGGGGAGAAAAUUCAACUUCCUGACUCCAUUGAGCCAUUGAUUGGGGGAAGAAAGUUGCCUCAACCGGAAGCAAAAACUCCAAUAGCAGGAUGUAAAAUAUUCAUCUUUGCUGCAAUAUGUAAAUAAAAAUAAAAAUAAAAAUUUACGUCUUUUUACAUCUUUUAAAAGUGGGCAAAACCUCAAAAUCAAUUGUAACUUUUCCAUUCAAAUUUGCUUCCUUCUGUAUUGAAUUUCUGAAUAUUUGAGACAUGUGGAUAAAGAUGUUGGUAGAGUAUAACCCAUACUGUUUUUUAAAGAUUUAGAAAUCUAGUCAUUCCAUGCUCAUCGAGCGCAAACCUUAUCUAGAACUCCCAAAAAAUGGGCAAAUUCUUUAUUAUCAUGAUUAUUUCUUCCUCGCACACACCCUCAUUAUCUUCUUAAAUAACUUUCUCGGCAGGGCCGGCCCAGGCCCAGCUGUCCAGGGCCCCAAAUUGAAGGGGGCACCAAAAAAAAAAACCCAAAUAACUUGGUAUAUAUAUAAUAAAAUAAAAAAGUCCAAAGCCCAAAUAAGGGCUGGAGGGCAAGAGCCCAAGAAAGUUUUAAAAAGGGCCCAAGUUUUGGGACCACUGGGUCCAGGUUUUGGGAUUUGGGACCACUGGGUCCAGGUUUUGGGAAUUACAGCAAAAAAAAAAACAAACAAAAAAACAAAACAAAAUCAGACAUUAGACUAUUAGAGGGACCACUCGAUCUCCAUUUUACAACCCUUUCCCGAUUUCCCAUAACCUUACGACCCUAAUUCCCACCCCGGCCACCCCCUUUUGUUCCCCACUUCCUCCCUGCCGUUCCUUAGUUCCUGACUCCCUUUUCAAAAGUUCAACAGCAAGCUGUUGCACACAGGCAAACAACAAUCACAUAACAUUGGGCAUUGGCUGCUCAAGUGCAAGAGCAUUCACUCACCACCAACCCCUUUGAGUUUUGAGGUAAAUUAAUUUUUAAAAUUUGAAUUAUCAAUUCAUAAUUUAAUAUAAAAUUUUUCAAGUGAUAUAGAAUUAUAUGAUAAUUGAUGUAUAUAAUUGUUGUUGAUGAAUUGAAUUCUUGACUAAUUUAAUUAUUUGAUUUCAUUUCAAACCCAAUUUUUGGGUUCAAUUUUUAUAAUAUGUUAGACUUUAUGUUAGUGUUUUUAUAAUAUAUAAUAUGUGUUGGAAUGAUAAUUUUGAUAGGAUAUUUUUUUUAUAUCAUGUGUAGGUAAUUUUUACAAACAAAUUAUCGAAGCCAUAUAUUUUAGGAAAUAACUCUCUAGUAAUAUGAAAAGGAAAAAAAGGCAAAGGAUAACGAAAUUGCCGAAAAUUUAAGAGGAUCUCUUAAUAAAUUCCUCUCUACAAAGAAUAAGUUAGUUGAAAAUUUGAGAGAAAAUGAAAUUGGUGAAGAGUCACAAAAUGUUGUUGGGGAGUCUCAUGAUCCUGAAAAUGGUGGUGAUUUAGAAGAAAAUGUUGGUGAUGAGUCUCAAGACCAUGAAAAUGGUGGUGAUGUGGAUUUAAAUAUUGAUGAUGAUCAUAUUGGUGUAGAGAAAAAUAUUGAAUCUCCUGAACCUAUUGUCCAUUUAAACAUUUAUGAUCCAAGAGUUUGGGAUGGUCUUAAUACAGAAUUGAGAGACUUACUUGUAGAAAAUGGAUCAAUUCGAGAAACUAAUCUCACUUAUUGUAAAGACAAACUCUCUAGAAAUUUUUUCUCACACUACUAUGAUCGAAAAUUACCAACGGGUGAAAUUUAUGAUAGAAAAUGGCUCGUGUACUCAAAAGAGUUGGAUAAAGUCUUUUGCUUUUGUUGUAACUUGUUUAAAAUAAUUGACUCAAAAAGUGAGUUAGCAAAAGAUGAAAUUAAUGAUUAGAAACAUCUUGGUGUGAAGCUUGACCAACAUGAAAAGAGUAAAGAGCAUCUUACUAAUUCGAGAACUUGGGUUGAGUUGAAAAGUAGAUUGACAAAAAAAAUCAGACAAUUGAUAAAGAAUUUCAAAUGCGAAUCAAGAAAGAGACAAAUCAUUGGAAACAAGUGAUGCUCCGAAUUAUUGUUGUUGUGAAAUGUCUUGCCAUACGUAAUUGGAACAAAUGAAAGACCUUAUGAAGACUCUAAUGGCAACUUCUUAGGUUUACUUGAAAUGACUGCGGAGUUUGAUCCAAUAAUGCAAAAGCAUUUUCAACUCAUUGGGAAUAAAGAGAUUCAUCAUCACUAUUUGAGCCAUAAAAUCCAAAAUGAGUUGAUAGCUACUUUAGCUUCAAAAGUCAAAACCGCAAUCAUUAAAAAGGUAAAAGAAGCCAAAUUUUUUUCUGUCAUACUUGAUUAUACUCCUGAUGCAAGUCUUGUGGAACAGAUGAAUUUAAUUUUGAGAUGUGUUGACUUGUCAAGUAGGUCAAUAAAUAUAAGGGAGUAUUUUAUGGAGUUUUUACGUGUGGAAGAUACAUGACAAGGACUUUUUAAUGAGUUGCAAGAUGUCCUAAAGUCUCUUGAUCUUGAUAUUGAUAAUGUGAGGGGACAAGGUUAUAAUAAUGGAUCUAACAGGAAAGGGAAACACCAAGGUGUCCAGAAAAGAUUGCUAGACAUAAAUCCCAGAGCCUUUUACAUGUCAUGUGGUUCUCAUUGUCUUAAUUUAAUAGUUUGUGAUAUGGCAAGUUCAUGUCUUAAAGCAAAAUCUUUUUUUUGGAGCAUGUCAAUGCAUGUAUACAGUGUUUUCCAACUCUACAAAGCGUUGGAAUUUUUUGCUUGAACAUAUUGAUUAUUUAACUUUGAAGUCAUUGUCAACUACUCAAUGGGAAAGUCACAUUGAAAGUGUUAAAGCAAUUAAAUCCCAAGUAGCCUAAGUUAUAAAUGCUUUGUUUACGUUGAUGGAAAUUAUUAAGAAUCCCCAAUUGAGUAGGGAUGCAAGAUGUUUAGCAUCAGGAGAACUUUCCAGUUUUGAUUUUGUAUUAAGUUUGGUUAUUUGGUAUGACAUUUUGUUGAAGAUUAACAUUGUGAGCAUAAAAUUACAAUCUGAAGACAUGCGUCUUGAUGUUGCUGUAAAGGUAUUGAAAGCAAUUGUUAAAUUUUUUGAAAACUAUAGAGAAACUGGUUUUGCUUCUGCCAUGCGUGAUGUUAGAGAAAUUGCACUUGAUUCAGAAAUUGACCAUGUUUUUCAAACUAAACAUUAUAGACCUAGAAAAAGACAUCAUGAUGAAGUUGAUGGUAAUGAGAAGGAACAAUAGUCUGCUGAAAAAUCAUUUAGAACAUAUUUUUUUUUUGUUAUAGUGGAUAUUGCUCUUUCUCAACUGAAACACAGGUUUGAACAAUUAAAGAUUUUUUAAUCUAUUUUUGGCUUCUUGUUUGAUGCAUCGAAGUUAAUUUCAUUGGAUGAUCAACAACUAAAAGAAAAUUGUAUAAAUCUUGAAGCACAUUUGAAACAUGGAAAUACCAUGGAUGUAGAUGAAGCCGACUUAUGUUCCGAAUUACAGGUGUUGCAAAUGAUGUUACCUAAAGAAACAUUUCUCUUUAAUAACCCUUGGACAUCCAUGGAAAUAGCAAACUUUGUAAAAGAAACUGACAUGUGUCAUAAUGUCUUGAUUGCUUAUCGUGUACUGUUGACUAUACCUGUGACCGUGGCAUCUGCAGAAAGAAGUUUUUCAAAAUUGAAAUUAUUAAAAUCUUGCUUGCGGACCACUAUGACUCAAGAUAUGCUAAAUGAAUUAGCAAUCUUAUGCAUUGAAAAUGAUAAGAUUGAAGACUUGGAGUAUGAUGAUAUAAUUGAUGAUUUUGCUUCAAAAAAUGCCAGAAGACAAUUUCUUAAAGGUUGAAAUUUCAUGGAGCUUUGCUAGGAAUGGAUGUAUAUGAUUGAUGCAUGGGGUGGAGCUGCUAGCUAGGGCAAUUGGGUUGGAGCAACAGCCGGUCCACCGGGCUAUUGAAUACAGUGGAGCUGCUCUUAAGAACUUCCACCACCACUUUUGAGUACUCAUUUAAGGAUUUAAAGGGAAUCUUUGUGUCCCUAAAGGAAUAUUGCCUCCAACGAGAGAGUCCUUAUAGUAGAAUCCUUAAAUUUGAAGUUUUUAUGAUUUUAUGUGAUAAUUUGAUUAGGUGCACAUUUUUAUUUAUACCUUUUUUUAAUUAAUUAAAAACAAUGAAAUUAAAAAUAAAAACCAAUAAAAAUGAUUUCAAAAUUUUGAAUUCUAACCAAAAAUCAUGUAAUAACUUUAUUUAAUGAUUAGAACAAAUCCAAACAUCAAAUCAAUUCAAUAAAACAGGCCCAAGCAAAGUAAUUUAUUGAGAUUCCGAUUUUACCCCCUAACGUCUUUUAUUGGCGCGUUUAUUUAUGUCUGUCCCCUUGGACUUAGGCCAUCUCUAGCCGAGGGCUGGCCAGAGGGCUCGUUUUAGUCCUCUGGCCCUCCAAGAUUCUUCAAGAUAUUAAUAUUUUAAUGAACAGUACAGGGCCAUAUUUGCCUCCGUUUCCAACCGAGGGCCAGAGUGCUCGUUUUAGCCCUAUCACAAAAAACAAUCUCCAACUGAGGGCCAAAGGGCCAUAAGGCCAAACAUAAUUUAUUAUUUAAAAACUACAACUAAAAUGUUGUUUAAGUUUCAUGUUGUAUAAUUUUUAUGUUGGUUAAUUUUAUUUAAUGUUGUUUCAUAUUAUUUAAUGUUGUUUCAUGUUACUUAAUUUAAUUUAAUGUUGUAUAAUGGCUUAGGAAGUUAUAGGAAAAAAAUAGAAUAGAAAAAAUUGAAAAAAAAAAAAUAAUGAAACAAAUUUUGUGAAAUAGAAGUUAUAGGAAAAAAAAGGGAAUUUAAAAAAAAAAUAUGAAACAAAUAUAGAAGUUUUUGGAAAGAAAAUUUGUGAAUAUAGAAAAAAAAAAAUAUGAAACAAAUUUUGUGAAAUAGAAGUUAUAGGAAAAAAAUGGAAUUUAAAAAAAAACCAAAUUUUGUGAAAUAAAAAUUAUAGGAAAAAAUAGAAGUUAUAUGAAAAAUGUUGUAAAUAAAAAAGAAUAAUAAUAAUGUAAAAAAAAAAAAAACAAAUCAAAUGCAACGGCUAGUAGCCGUUUCAUUUGAAUUUUUUUUAAAACAAUCAUGUCGGUUAUAACCGACAAGAAUACACCAUUAUUUAGUAUAACCGACAGGAAUAAAAAAACAUUAAAAAAAAAAAUAGCCAGCCCAGGGCUGGCUGGCUGGCCGAAAGCAGCCAGCCCUCCAGCCCUCUCUGAUCCCGUAGGGCCCUCCCAGAUUCCAGAGCCUUCUGGCCUAGUCCUCGGUUGGAGACGAUUUUAGGGCUAUUUUCGGCCCUCUGACCCUCUGGACCCUUCGGUUAGAGAUGGCCUUAGAGGAGAAAAGCUGAUUCACUUCAGUUGGCGUUCCCCAACGCCCGUGAUUCCAUGAAAUUCAAUCAAUUGCUGCUUCUGCUGUUCUGAUCGCGAACCCCAAAUCCCAAAACUCCUAAGCCCAAAUCAGAUGGGCAGCAAAAGCAAAACCAAAGAGAAGAAAGCAGUUGGAGGACUCAAUCGACGACGAUAAAUUACUUUGGUUGAUUAGAUUUGCUGUACACGUUCUUCUUAGACAGGGUGUGCUUGGUAUUAAGGUGCAGAUCAUGCUCGACUGGGAUCCUAAGGGAAAGCAGGGACCAAUGACUCCAUUGCCUGAUUUGGUGACCAUCCACACCGCCAAGGAAGAACAAUAUCUUCCAGUUCCACCAGCAGAAAUUGAUAUAGAGCCAGUUCCAGUUCCAAUAGCUUGAAUUUAUUGAGAGAUCUAAACCAGUCACAAGUUAGUUACAACAGUAAAUAGUUAGCUCUGUUACCAUGUGGAAAGUGUUGAAGAAGAUAUUUUCAUUUCAUAGCUUAAUUGUCAGUACACAGGGAUACAUAUAGUCACAAAGAGUCUUUACACUUAUACAACUAACUACACAAAUACCACAACUAACUAUUUACUGUUGUAACUAACUUGUGGCUGGUUUAGAUCUCUCAAUAUUGCCAACAUCCAUAGCCAACAUUUCGACCAAACUCGAAGUUCUUACUCUUGGGAGGAAUUUGAUUCAUGGAAGUAUCCCUAUCGCUAUCGGAAGUCUGGUAAACUUGAACCUUCUGGUAAUGGAAGGUAAUAUUUUGAUGGUAGUGUCCCCGCUCAGAUUGGGAAGCUUCAGAAGUUAGAGGUAUUGAUUUUAAAUACAAACAAAUUUUCUGGUCUGAUUCCCUCCUCCCUAAGCAAGAAUUUCAUCCCUUUCAAUUUCUUUGAUCAUGGCUAACAAUUAUUUUACUGGUCCGCUACCGCCUGAAGUGGGAGAUUUGGAAAAUCUCGCGGAGCUCGAUGUAUCAGGAAACAAAUUAUCAGGUGAAAUCCCCAAAACUAUUGGCAGUUGUAUUAUGUUGCGGCGCCUUCAUAUGGAAGGUAAUGAAUUUAAAGGUCUAGACUCAUGGUUGUAUCCAAGAGACAAGGAGCAAUCUCAGAUUAAGAGAUUAAGCCUUAACCAAAGAUUGAAUAUUGCCAUUGAUGUUGCUUCCGCGUUGGAUUAUCUGCACCACCAUUGUGAAACAUCCAUUGUUCAUUGUGAUCUAAAGCCAAGCAAUGUUCUUCUUAAUGAAGAUAUGGUAGCCCAUGUUGGUGACUUUGGAUUAACAAGGUUCCUCUCGGAAUCAUCAAUGAUUCCACCCAAAGUCAAGCAAUGUCAGUGGGGCUGAAAGGUUCCGUAGGCUACAUUCGUCCAGGUAUGGAUCCUUGUUAAAAGCCAAAUUUUUAUUUUAAAAAAAAUUAAAAUUAGAUUUCUUCUUUUGAAAAGAAAGUAUUAGAACAUUCUUGAAUACGAUUGAAAUUACAUUCGUUAUGUUGUGAUAUCUUAACACAUGUAUUUAACUAUAGAGUACGGCAUAGGAGGCCAAGUUUCCAUAUUUGGAGAUAUUUAUAGUUACGGAGUACUGUUACUAGAAAUGUUCACAGGAAAAAGACCUACUGGUGACAUGUUCAGAGAUGGUAUAAGCAUUCACCAAUUUACUGCUAUGGCAUUGCCUGACCAUGUCAUUGACAUAAGGAGAUGACAUGGAAGCUGCUGAUAGCAGAUACAGAAAUGACAUACAAGAAAGACCGAUUGCAAGACAUCAGGAUUACGACCUAGUCCAAGGAAGAAAAUUGGAGGAGUGCUUGGUUUCGAUGAUGCAGAUAGGGCUUUCAUGCUCUGCGAUUUCACGAGGAGAGCGGAUGCAUAUGGAUGUCGUUGUGAACAAAAUGAAGACUAUCAGAGACUCGUACCUCGGUUUGAGAAGAAGAAGAAGCAUAUAGAUUAUUAAUCUCAACGUGCAGGCCUCAUCUACAUAUAGAUUAUUAAUAAAAGCAUAGUUUUGUAUCAUGUUUGAAAAAUAAAGAAAGACAUAUGAAUUCUGUAUUUUAUAUAGCAGAACAAGCAAUAGUUAUAUAAUCUGUUUAUGCAAUAUAUUUUUCCUUUCGUUUGAAAAAUAAAAGACAUUCUGUUUCCCUUUUGAAGACAUCGCUUCUUCUCUUCUAUUGUGUCACUGCAAAAACGAAAACCAAAUAUCUUUAUGUAUAUAUUCAGUUACGUUACUAUCUCCGAAAGAAUUCAGAAAUUUAUUAAUUUGUUCAGUGCAGAGUUUAAUUACCUGCUGCAUUGGCCUUAAUUCAAUGCAGAUCCAAUAAGUGUGUCUUUGAUUGCAGCAAUUCCUUCACAACAUGAUUAAUAUCCAUUCUCUCUCACGGGGAGUACACUGAACAAGCAACUCCGAUUCUGAAUAUUUCGAUCAGGCAGUCCUGGUUCAGUUCAUCUUUUCGCUGCCCCACGAUACUUUUGUCUUUGCAAGUUGAUUCCUCAUCCUCUCCUUCCCCUCCUUCAACAAACGAUGGGUCUAAAACUUCGGAUAUUUGUUCAGGCAAUGCUUUGCUAACAAAGUUAUGGAGUUGUAGUCCGUCUUUAAGCAGGUCGUUGGUGGGACAUUUUUCUGUGAACAUCUCUAACAAAAGUAUCCCGAAGCUGUAUACAUCCAUGUACGUUGUAUCCUCGUUGUAACCUUGCCUCCCAUCCCAUUGUUGGAAUUCUAUUGAGUUCUUGGAAAAUCACUCAUUCCCCUGCUAAUUAAUGAGCUUAUUUUACGGGAAUAGAAUAUACCUAUGAAUAGUUUGUGUUUGUUGUUGCUGCUUUGAUACGGUGUUGUUAGCUUUACUGUUUUUUUUUUUUUCUUGUGAUGAAAGCUGUUUGUUCUUUACUAUUUGUUUUCUCUUUUUCUCGUUAACAUAUUUUAUGUAUAAUAAAAAAAAGUAGAGAACCAUUAUGAAGUUACUAGUUCAACAUUCAACCAAAUUGGACAUAGCAACGUAACAUAUGCCACCUUUGUAGUGCUUACCAUUUGACACUGAAACGAAUCAAGGGUUGAGAUUGUCCGAUCGGAAAAAGCAGUCAUCACGGAGUAUAUGAGGAUCAAGGGCCACAGCAUUUUCUUGCAGGUCAAUCUCUCUACAAACAGUUACAGAACAGUUGGUUGGGGUUGCAAAGCCAGAUUCAAUUCAACCCAAAUGACCGAUGACGUGUCCCCAACCUACACGUGGAGGCGGAUCCAACCUCUCCCCAGGAGGACCCCACCACUAUAUAUGCCACUUGAACUGGAUUGCUCAUUAUAUAAAAGUGACAGAGACCCCCACUAGCAAACAACCAAAUACUCUCUCUCUCUCUCUCUGUGGAAAUCCAGAAAGCAACAAGCUUUGAGUGCGAGUGCAACUCGGGUGAGUCGGUGACCGAGUCAUGAGGACCCUGUCGAGUCCGAGUUCGAGGGUGGCGGUAGAAAAGAAGUGGGUGGGCAGAGAAAAUGUCUUUCCCCGCGAGCUGGAACCUUGUUUCCUCAGGCCAAGGAGAAGUGGGAACCUUCGGUUCUUGAAUUUGGUGUGUUUUCUGAAACAGAGCAAGCCCGUGAUCAGACCGAUCAUUUGCCUCUCAUCAAAAACUCAGGUGGAUUCUUUUAUCAUUUUUUCUGAAAAACUUCUCAUAAAUUCAGUUUUUUUAUUUCCUGGUUUUUGAAAUUUGGAUGAAGUUUCCAUUUUUGUUUUCUCUGUUUUCAAAAAUUCUGGAAUAUGAUGUUGUUCUUGCUUUUUGUCAUUAUUCUUUUCUUUGUGUUGCCAAAAGCUUUGGAAUCUUGCUUUUUUGGGUUGGGGCUCAAGAGGGUUUUGCUAGAUUCUCCUUUUUUUUUUUUUUUUUUUUUGGAGUAGGUUAAUAAUUGGCAGCUUUAUUAUAUAAUCAUUUAAUUUAUUUUUAAUCUUGUUUAGCUUUAUGAUCUUUGUCAUAAUUUGUUUUCUUUCUUUAGGGAUGUUGUCAUAAUUUAAAAUAUUUGUUUGAAGAAUUUGUUUCCAUAUCAUAAAGUGUUGAUGGUGAUUAAGUUAGUUAUUAGAGACUAUACUUGACCUAAGACAGUCAAUCUGAUUUCUGAGCAUUCUCUCUGCAGACAGAAUUGGAGAUUGCAGAUUCUCAAAUUCAGGAAACACGUAAGUUCAUGCUGUUUCUUUUAAAAUAUUAUACAAUACAUAUAUUUAGAUAUAGGAAGCCUUAAAGGGCCUGUAUGUGUGUGUGUGUGUGUGUGUGUGUGUGUGUGUAUCUGUGUGUAUAUGUGCAUAUUAAUCUUGCUAACAAUACCAUGUCGUGCAGAUCAUACAAAAGCUAUUCAUGUGAAAUUCCAGUUGCAGAAGGAGUGCUCGUUCGGGCAGGAGUUCCUCAUUGUAGGGGAUGAUCCUAUGUUCGGUUUGUGGGAUCCUGCAAGCGCAAUACCGAUGAUCUGGUCAGAUGGGAAUGUGUGGACUGUUGAGCUGGUGAGUGAAAUCUACUAAAAAGUGUUUUUUUUUUUUUUUUUUUUGUGUUGGUCAAGUGUAGGCCGAAUUUGUGGUUUAAUGUAAUGCCUUUGUGUUUGAUUAGGAUAUACCGGUUGGGAAAUCGAUUCAGUUCAAGUUCAUACUAAAAGAAAGCACAGGGAAUAUCUCAUGGCAGCCUGGCCCUGAUCGGAUUUUCCAGACCUGGGAAACUAGGAACAGGAUCACUGUUUCUGAAGAUUGGGCAGAUGCUGAGCUUCAGAAAAUAAUAGAGGAAGAUCGGGUUUCAAAUCAAAGCGAUGGUUCAAAUGUUAACGCAGAUAUGUUGAUUAUGGAUGAGAACCUGACACAGCUGAAUGGUGAACUGGCCUUCAAUACAACCAAUGAUCCUAAAAUCACCAAUAGUAACACUGAUUCGGCAGAGAACCCAUCAGUAGAACCAAGGAAGGAACAAAUUGGUGCUGAUAAUGGUUCUCCUUCACAAGAGAAUAUGACCCCUAAAUGGCCAAAGGCAUACGUGGAACCAUACAAGGAACGAGUUGCUGCAAGAACUGCAGUGCUUAAUGAAGAGAGAGUUAUUUUUCCGAGCAAGGAUUCUGCAGCCAUCUCAAGUAAGGAGUUGUUGGUGGCAGACAACAUUUUCGGAAAUAAUGGUAGAGCUGCAACAGUAAUGAACCUUACGAGCACUCACAUCGAGGGAAGCCUAGUUAACCAUGAAGAAGAUCCUGUUCUGGUACCUGGGCUGACUCCUUCACCAGCUGUUCCAAAUGAAGAAGUGAACAAAGAGGGAAUCGAGAAACAGAUGUCUUUUGAUGGCUCGGUUGGAGCCUUUGAAGCUAAGGAUCGUAAUAUGCCAGAGGUAACUGCUUGAUGAGCGUGAAGUAUCUUUUAUCUUUUUCUGUUUCUUCUUGUACUGCAUUCACCUCAGCCUGAAAUAACAAUCCAUUCAAUUUCCACAAAAUCGCGAGUUGUCAAGGGCUAUAGGAGAGAUUGAAUUACUAGGUAGUUUUUGGUUUCAUCUUGUAUGUUGUUGGAAUCUAUGUUUUCCAUGAAGAGAAUUUCAUGAUGAUGAUGUAUCGCAAGGCAAUUAUUUAAUUUCAUCGAAAUUGAGCAGUCAUCUAUAUAUUUUCAUGAAGAAUUGUUCAUGUAUUUUUGUUAGACCAUGUUCGUGCAAUAUCAUUGCAGUGUAAACGUUGUAUGCUACUAUACAAAUCCGUAGCCAUGUAUUCUCCUAUUGCAAAUCCAAACUGCGCUGUCUGAUUCAACUGAAACUAUUAACCCUCGCAAUAUGACAACGAAUUCUCUAUCAAGCAUUUCGUUUAUAUCUUUUGUUUCUGCUGGAAAUUCAUGAGCAUUUAGAGGAACCCUAUUCCUAAAAACAUGUGAAAGAGUUCAUGAUGAAUGAUUUCGUUGCUGUGCAUAAGGCCAAAGAGAAGUGGAAUCUUCGGUUCUUGAAUUUGGUGUGUUUUCUGAAACAGAGCAAGCCCGUGAUCAGACCGAUCAUUUGCCUCUCAUCAAAAACCCAGGUGGAUUCUUUUAUCUUUUUUCUGAAUAGUUAUCAUAAAUUCAGUUUUUUCAUUUCCUGGUUUUUGAAAUUUUGAUGAAGUUUCCAUUUUCGCUUUCUCCGUUUUCAAAAAUUCUGGAGUGUGAUGUUGUUCUUGUUUUUUGUCAUCAUUCUUUUCUUUGUGUAAAGUUUAGGAAUCUUGCUUUUUAGGUUGGGGCUCAAGAGGGUUUUGCUAGAUUCUCAUUAUUUUUUCCUUUUUUUGGAGUAGAUUAUUAUAUGGAAGCUUUAUUAUAUAAUCAUGUGAUUUUAUUUGUUUAAUCUUGUCUAAGCCGACAUUCACCUCUCCCAGACCCUGCGUAAAGCGGGAGCCUUGUGCACUGGAUACGACCUUUUUAAUCUUGUCUAAGCCUUCUGAUAUUUGUCAUAAUUUGUUUUCUUUCUUUAGGGAUGUAGUCAUCAUUUAGAAUAUUUGUUUGAAGAAUUUGUUUCCAUGUCAUAAAGUGUUAAUGGUUAUUAAGUUAGUUACUGGAGAAUAAACUUGCACUGAGAUAGUCAAUCUGAUUUCUGAGCAUUCUCUCUGCAGACAGAAUUGGAGAUUGCAGAUUCUCAAAUUCAGGAAACAUGUAAGUUCAUGCUGUUUCUUUUAAAAUAUUAUAUAAUACAUACAUACAUACAUAUAUAUAUAUAUGUGUGUGUGUGUGUGUGUAUGUGCAUAUUAAUCUUACUAACAAUACCAUGUCGUGCAGAUCAUACAAAAACUAUUCGUGUGAGAUUCCAGUUGCAGAAGGAGUGCUCGUUCGGGCAGGAGUUCCUCAUUGUAGGGGAUGAUCCUAUGUUCGGUUUGUGGGAUCCUGCAAGCGCAAUACCUAUGAACUGGUCAGAUGGGAAUGUAUGGACUGUUGAGCUGGUGAGUGAAAUCUACUAAAAAGUGUAAUUUUUUUUUUUUUUUUUUUUGGGUCUAGUAUAGGCAGAAUUUGUGGUUUAAUGUAAUGCGUUUGUGUUUGAUUAGGAUAUAUCAGUUGGGAAAUCGAUUCAGUUCAAGUUCAUACUACAAGAAAGCACAGGGAAUAUCUCAUGGCAGCCUGGCCCUGAUCGGAUUUUCCAGACCUGGGAAACUAUGAACAGGAUCACUGUUUCCGAAGAUUGGGCAGAUGCUGAGCUUCAGAAAAUAAUAGAGGAAGAUCAGGUUUCAAAUCAAAGCGAUGGUUCAAAUGUUAACGCAGAUAUGUUGAAUAUGGAUGAGAACCUGACACAGCCGAAUGGUGAACUGGCCUUCAAUACAACCAAUGAACCGAAAAUCACCAAUAGUAACACUGAUUCGGCAGAGAAACCAUCAGUAGAACCAAGGAAGGAACAAAUUGGUGCUGAUAAUGGUUCUCCUUCACAAGAGAAUGUGAACCCUAAAUGGCCAAAGGCAUAUGUGGAAUCAUACAAGGAACGAGUUGCCACAAGAACUGCAGUGCUUAAUGAAGAGAGAGUUAUUUUUCCAAGCGAGGAUUCUACAGCCAUCUCAAGUAAGGAGUUGUUGGUGGCAGACAACAUCUGCGGAAAUAAUGGUAGAGCUGCAACAGUAAUGAACCUUUCAAGCACUCACGUCGAGGGAAGCCUAGUUAACCACGAAGAAGGUCCUGUUCUGGUACCUGGGCUGACUCCUUCACCAGCUGUUCCAAAUGAAGAAGUGAACAAAGAGGGAAUCGAGAAACAGAUGUCUUUUGAUGGCUCGGUUGGAGCAUUUGAAGCUAAGGAUCGUAAUAUGCCAGAGGUAACUGCUUGAUGAGAGUGAAGUAUCUUUUAUCUUUUGCUGUAUCUUCUUGUACUGCAUUUACCUCAGCCUGAAAUAACAUCCAUUCCAUUUCCAUAAGACCGCGAGUUGUCCAGGGCUAUAGGAGAGAUUCUAUACUACUAGGUAGUUUUUGGUUUCAUCUUGUAUGUUGUUGGAAUCUAUGUUUUCCAUGAAGAGAAGUUCAAGUUGAUGAUGUAUCGCAAGGCAAUUAUUUAAUUUCAUCAAAAUUGAGCAAUCAUCUAUAAAUUCGCAUGAAGAAACUGUUCGUGUAUUUUCGUUACAAUCAUUAACCAACAAAGUUGACCAUCUUCGAUUCUUUGCACAAUAUCAUUGCAGUGUAAUAAACGUUGUAUGCUACAAUACAAAUCCAUAGCCAUGUAUUCUCCUAUUGCAAAUUGAAACUGCGCUGUCUGAUUCAAACUGAAACUAUUAACACUCGCAAUGUGACAAGGAAUUCUCUAUCAAGCAUUUCGUUUGUAUCUUUUAUUUAUGCUGCUAAUUCAUCAGCAUUUAGAGGAACCCUAUUCCUGAAAAAUGUGAGAGUUCAUGAUGAAUGAUUUUUCUUUGCUAUGCAUAAGGCGAUGCAUUGUUGUCGAACAUCAGUAUUUGAUUUAGAUGUUCUUGGCCCUUGAUAAUGCUGUUAUUGAUGUCCUCUUUUCUGCUAUCUUUUCAUGUACUCAAACCAAUGGAUUCAGUUAGACGAGAAGCGAGAACCAUACAGUGACCUACCUGAAGCAGAAACAAGUGUAAUGACCAACGGCGAUCAGGAGAAUUUUGACGAUGAACAAUUCCACUCAGAGCCCGUCAAUGAUAGUGUCCUGUGCAACGGCCAACCUCAAGUGGAAACAGCUUCCGCGAUCAGUGAGAGAGAGAAUUCUGCUAAGGGGGGAGGACAGUCCAACUCAGAGCCAAUCAACGAGGUCUUGCACAAUGAUAUGCAAUGGGGUCGUAGAAUGCUGCAAAACCUUCUGUCUGACUUCAGAUUGUUUUGGUAUUGACUUUUCCGGAAACCUGGGUAGAGAAUUUCCGGCAUUCACGUCAGCCUGCUGUUACUCUUCCGGCUUUGUUGCUGAAGUUUUGUGGUAGCCUGCAAAGAGGAGAGAGAGGCAAUCUUAUAAACAACGGUUAUAUGUAGAUAUGAUGCAAGAGUGCUCAGGCUUUUGUAUUCUUUUAGUUUGUCAUAUAACUGUGGCAUGAUGUGUGAGAGGAAAAUUUGUACCAAAUACCAAGUUUUGUAAGGAUUUGGUUGCUUUUUUCUAGUACUGUCAUAAAAUGCAGUUGGUCGAAGUGGAAAGCACCUGACUCCGUCUUUCGGAUGUAAAAUAAACGCCUUCUUUUUGUGUUUUUGAUGAGUUAUGUUUUCAUGUGUCGAACUAUUAUAUGAAGAAUGCGAAGGAGCCAAGCAGCGUGCGUGGCUGAAAUUUCUGUUGUGCAUAGCCCUUCGGGUUAGAACAUAAUUAGGAAACCAGUUAGCGAUGAAUUGUGUCAAAUCUCGGGAGAGUUUUGGAUUCCCUCCAUUGUGACCGAAACGGAAAUUAUGCUGUGCAGGAAAAAUGCAGCUUGAAAUUCUGAGUCCAAGAAGUAUCAAAGAAGUUGCUUGCCGAUGCUACCAGCUAACAGGUAGCUGGAGAACAAACUGUACUGACUGAGAUCCAUAUUAGUUAUCAACAAGCACAUUGCGUAUGGAAUUGGGUGCUCUUCACAAUUUCAGGUGCAGGAGUAAAUGCUCUUAACCGACCGAAUUAGAAGCCCUUGCGAGGUCAGUCUAUCCCUAAAUGCUAGUACGUUGACUAUUGAGAUUUACAGCAAGAUUUAAUUAUCCGAGAUUCCGAAGCAAAAUUUAAAUCUUGUUUUAAUUUACAGCAUUUGAUUCCUCCCAUAGAUCCUGAAGCAAGAACAUAUAGUGGACAUCAAAAUUUAUCAUUUCCAACACCAUAUUUUCUGGAGAAAUGAUUUCCGCACCCUUCUUCCCACUACUGUUUAUUUUUAGCAAUCAAAGGAUAAUCGAAUGAAUCACAUUAACAUGAGUAUGCAAAAAUCAGUCUAGUCUAUCUGUAUCGUAUCGAAUUCAUAUGACUAGGGUACGAAGAUGUGAAAAAGAUUUGAAAAGGAACCAACACAAUGUAAUUACUUAUGGACUUUGACGGGAUAAUACAAUUCCUUCGUUUUGAGAACAAGAUGGUCUUAAAUUUCAGGUUCCAUGCUGCAAUCUUAUGAUCAGUAAAAUCUACGUAAAAAUUUUCAAGGGGAAAAAUGUGAACUAUAUUCAGAGAUGCAAUCCCCAACCUCAAUAUGUAAGCAGGAAAAGAUGGGGCAAGAUGAAAAAAGAAACACAAAGAAUUUGCCCAGCUUUCCACCAACAAAAUAUACACAUACCCGCGUUGGCAAUAUUGAAACUGGCUCUCCGAAAGGGGUAAAUAUAUUCCGAAUUGUACAAGAUGCCGAAGUCGUGUGCCUCCAAAAGCCAGUCUUUCUACUUUUACCUCCUUGUUCCUUUAGUUUUCACAAAGCAUUGGAGGUUGGGGAGAGAUGCAGCCACCUGGACCUCGCCAAGACCAUUGUUUCAUUUGUCGAGUGCAAGAGGAAGAAUGCGCUAGCAGGAGCCAAGAUUGAAAUGACUCGUUUCAAUGUUUGUCUGCAACCCCAUUCUCUGCUGCCGUGAAAAUGAUAAACUUCGUGAACCAUGCAAUAUGUCUUCCUUGGGUCGUUUUGCAACCGACUCUAUCAAUCUGCAAAAAGAUAAUAACUAAAUUGAAAAAUUUAGGAAACACCGACAUUCAUGAAAUAGUAAACAUUGAACUCAAAAAUCUUUUGGAGCCUUUUAUUGUAUAUCCCAGGCAGUGUCUGACCAUAAUCUUGAACUACUUGUCAAUCUUACAGAUAUACAUUUGCGCAUAGGCUAGGAGUUCGUUCUAUUUGACCUCUGGCCUAGCAACACCAAGCGAAAAAAUAAAAAAAUAAAAACUCAAAAAAUGCCUAAAUGAACCAUAAAGACAUCUAAUAUCCAAGCAGAAACACAAAAGAAGCCAUAAAUCAACAUAAAGUAUGACUUGGCCAUAUUAUAUCCAACCAAGAACCCUUCAGGCUUCCAGAAUUGCCCAGCAAAUAACAAAGAUUUGGUUUCAGAAAUGUCUCAGCUCAAACAGGGUGAAAAUAAGUGUUGUGUUACCUUGGGGAACUGGCACGCUUUAGAACUUGCUGACUCACCGUAAAAGUACUUCCAGGUUCAACUUCAGCAGCCUGUAUAUUUGGCAUUGAACACACAGGCAUUAAUCAGGAAAUUCAACGCAAAAGUCAAAAAUAUUACACACUAGAUGGAGGUCUCCUGUUUCCAGUUAAAGGAAGAUAGUAAUUUUGGGUUCAGAAGCUUCCCUCUCACAGGAGAUAAAUGGAAAUGGUUUCACCACAUGCACAAGUUAGAUCCAGCACAAAUAUUGGGAAGAAAAAUGAAAUCUGUGAGAAGUUUAAAACAAGUCUAUGAGAAGUUUAAAAUUCAAGUAGAAGCCAUACAGUGGGGUGGUAAUGGUGAUGAGGAUAUCUAAAAACAUAUCGACUGAGGUACGAAUAAUUGCUAUUCAUUCAAACCAAAAAGAGAAAAGAACAGAGGUAAAUCAAGCACAUGGGAAUACUUGGAUAACGGGUAGAAAUGAGGGACUGACAACCAAGCCCGUACCUUUCAAAACAGGAAUUAAUGGAGCCAAUAAAGCAGCAGUAGCAAACAUUGAGGCCAGCUCAUUCCGCUUACAGUGUUUUAGCCAUCACAUCUUCGUGAGAUGCAAAAUUCAAAAUAGGAGUGGUUCUCCUUUCAGUGUCUUGCCCACAUACCCUUUAUCCAAGCAUCACCUAUGUUUUUGAACAUAGAAAAUCAAAUCAACUAAUGAAAGCAUCAGCAAUUAUCCCCACCUCUGAAGUUCUUUCUUUAGGCGAUCCAUCCCUUAGCAGCUCAGCCGAUCCUGGACCAACCAUGUCCAAUAGAAAUCCGUUUUCAUUUCCUUUAUUUAAAUCUCUGUCCACGGCACCAGAACGAGGUGCAAGAUAUGCUACAUAUUUAUCUGCCAUCCGACACACAAAAUACAUUCAGCACAUACAAACAAAAAUACCACAGAAAACUGCAAGGAAAAAAACGUGGUUAACUAAUAAAGUUACCAGCCAAGCUGUGAAGGGCAUUCUCAGCAGCCUGUUGUUGAGCAUCCUUCCUCGUCCUACCCAUUCCAAAACCUAUCUUCUCUCCAGUGAAAAGAACCUUUAAAAACGAAGUUAACAAUGAGCACGUUAGAGUCCAAAAUUGAUACAAGAUAGCUCCUCAAAACAAAAUAAAGUACAAAUGCAAAAUGUAUAAACAAACAAAUUAAGAAAGGAGCUUUAAAUUUUUUUCCAAAAUUGCUCUUAAAAAAAGACAUUUUCUCCUGGCCGGGUUUCAUUGAUUUGUUCUGCUAAAGAAAGAUUAAUGACAAAUCAGGGUCAGCUUAUAUUUAGAAAACAGCACUCCUUAAGACAACAUUUCAAAUAAAACAUCUAUUGGGUAUAAUUAAGUCAUUUCACAACAACUUCAUACAUAUAAGGCAUAUAAUUUACACAGAACAACAGCUGUGAUGUCAAUAAGCAAUUAAACUACCAAAGUACAAAGGGAAAGAAAGGAAGUUCACUGACCUCAACAGAAAACUGCAAGUCAUUGCUGGUGCUUAAAACAGACCUGAACUCAAUCUGAGCAACGGGCAUAUCAUGGAUAACUCCAUUAGGAAAAAUUAAAAAGAUAAGAAAGAAAGGAGGGCAUGGGGCGCCACAACGGGGGCAUAAAACUAAAGCUAUUCAUACCUUUGAACUGCACCUCCGUCCAAUUUCCUGCAGCACUCCAAUAGAUAAAGGGGAUGGUACCAGGUUUACUUUACCAGAUUCUGUUUGAGAUUCUAUAUUCAAAGAAGAUGCCUGAAUCUGGGAUACACCAGCCUCUGCACCGAAAAACCAAAUCACUCCUCAAAAACACCAUAUACUAUUAAUUCUAAUAGAAAAUUAUAACUUAUCUCGUGAAUUUUUUAUCAAAAACCGUACAAAGACAAAACGAUAAUCCCAUUCCUAUCCUUCCAAGUUGUGGGGUUAACAGGCUACAAGUUAAUAAAAUUAAAACGAAGGAGAUAAAGAUAAAGAUAAAGAUAAAGACAAGGGGAAAGGCUCAUUAGGCACAAAGCAGAAUGAUGUUAAACUAUACUAAGUUGGAAAGACUAUUGGACUAUUGGAAAAGACUGAUGGGAAGACUAUUGGACUCUCCAGUUCUUUUUAAUAUUAAAAAAAAUAUUCCUCAUUUAAACUUAAAAAGUAGAAUGAUGUUAGGCAGCAAGUAUUUUAUAAAAGAAACCUUUCAAACUACUUGAGAGGAUAAGGACAAAUCAAAAGGGAACUUAAAAAUCAAGGUUAAAGGUAAUUUGAAAAUUAAUGGAUAAUAAGUAAAAUAUCUAUUUUUAAGAUUUUCUGAGCUCCAAGGAACAUCAAUGUCUCCCUUGUAUGUUUAAGAUUUUUCAUGAAAUGACCAAAAUGAUUUCCAGACAAAUUCAGGGACCACUUCUAUCGAUUUUCGUUGUCAGCGACCAAAGUGAGGAGUUAUGCCAAUCUUAGGAACCAUUUUGGGUAAAAAUCCUAAAUUAGAUUACCUGAUGGCUGACUUGGCACAGGAAGAUUUUGCAAAUCACACCCAGAUGAUAUCUGCAAAUAGAGAAAGUUUUGGCCACUGAGAUGUUUCUGGAGUUCUUAUAGUAACACCUUAAUUCAAAUUGUCAAAACAAGUCUCUUAAAGAAAUUUUAACAAAUUCUGACCAUACCUCUUCCCUCUUUAAAUCUGAUUUGUGUGAGAGCAAACCAGUGGGUGUCGAACCUGGUUUAGCAGGACUGAAAGGAUUCUGGUAAACUGACUUUUCAGGUUUUGAAACAUCAGGCUGCUGAACAAGCCCAGAAGGGCGAUUACUCGGAUGUCCUCUAUUGUUGUCGUCAUCAUCAACCAACCAUCCUCCUUGUGCAUUUAUUGAGGAUGCUGGCAGUUGUACAGGCACUCUAGAUAGAAGAGGGGGCUCAGCAGAGCUUUGACUCCUUAUAUCUAGAUUAGGAGUUGUACCAAGGAGUCCUCUCCUCAUUUCAUGGUCACGAUCAGAAAAGCUAUCUCGUCUAACAGGAAGUCCAAGCAGACCAGGUUUCUGAGAAGGCAUGACCGGCCUCAAAGAUGUACCGGCAGCAUUGGGAAGAAUUGCAGUCGGUGCUUGAGAGUUGUCACACCUUGACUCGGCAUUUUUCACAGAUUGAACCACUGACUCCACGCUACCCUUAUCAUCAGAUGGGUUCAAUCUUCGUUCCACUUCGCUACCAUUCAUUCCUUCACUAAUGGGAGCAUUAGCAUUUCCAUUUGGUGCAAAACCGGUAUCCUCGAACAUCAAGUAAUUGCUCACAUCAGGAGCAGGAGGCAAAUUUACCACCUCAUCUUCAUAAAAAACUCCAGAAAUUCUUCGCAACAAAAUUUCAUCAAACUCUUUGAAAAAACAACCUCUGACAUUGCAUGCAACAUUUCUUGCUACACAGAGGACUGGAACUGCACUAGCUGUCUCUGCUUGAGGAGCAUAAUAAGGGGUGAAUGCUGGAACAACAUGGACUCGAGGUUGAUCCUUAUCUUCCCAGACCUUGGAACGGUCAUCAAUAACCAUUGCCAUCUUUGGAUGGCACACUCCUUGUUGGAAGACAUUGAGUAAAGAUUUCCUGGAGCCUGAUUUAACACAAACAACACGGUCCAGAAGCUGCUUUGAGUCUAUUAAGUGUGACCCUGGGUCAAGAAGCCUCCACAUUUCUAAGGCAUAAUCUCUUUCAGCCAUAGUACAGACGUAAACUUCAAACCUCUUGCGUCCUUUUGCAGUUAAAUAACUUCUCAAAUCUUCCCAUGCAGGUCGUAACCGCACAAGCACACUGGUAUCGCGAUUCUGCAUUAAAAACAACAUUGUAUUGUAGUCCUUUGCACAUUUGUAUGAGAAUAUGUAGCUACUAUAAUGAGAUUAACUACAUAUCACUCAUUCUACUUUUUUGUAAGAGGACAGAUGUUUUACUAUAUAAGUUCUGACAGCUUCCUGACUAAUCAAACCGCCACAUGAAUUUUGGAAAAUUUAAGAGGUAAAUAUCGCACAGAACGGGUGCAUGUAUCAAUGGAUAAAAAAGUUAACAUCCAUACGUUGAUCAAAAAAGCAAUGCAGGUGUUUGGAAAACCUACAAAGGUCUAGCUAAAUGAAAAAAAAUUUAAAACUGAAUUGCAAACAAGAUUCGCCUACGCUCUUAGCAUGCAGCCAAAUAUUUUGUCUGCCUAAGGGACACACUACGUAGUUUUCAUAACUUUUGCAUUAGGAUGGUGUUGUUCUCAAGUCCUAGGAAUGAGAGAUAUUGCAACGUAUUGUCUCAAUCCGCUCAUUCAUUAUCUCUAAAAAAAGGCAUUUAGCGCACUUCCCAAUCCACCAGGCCAAACAUAUAAAACAAAAGGACACAAACACAUAAAACAUAAAGAAACAAACAUGACUAGAGGAUCACCUCAGGAUUGAUGCGAGUGAGCACAAUGUUCUUCUCUGGCAAUCUAAUGAUAGGCCGAACAAUUUUCUCGUGGUUAUCAGACAGUGGAGGAACCUCCUCUAGUUGUACCUUAUACAACUUUCCAUUAUCCGUCACACAAUCAUUAUCUAUGUACUGCUUCAACAGCCACCUAUCGUCCAUGUACCGCUUCAUUUCAGCAGACAUUCCGGCCAUUCGAACCCCAUCACUCUCGCGUGCAACCCAGCUUCGUAAAGUCUCAACUCUAUCCUCAAAAGACUUCAUGGUGUUGGCAACAAUCAACGUCUCAUCGAGAUCAAACACAAUUGAAAGAACCCUCAGAUUCAGCAUUCCUAGAGAAGCACUGUACAGACCUAGAGGAACCGCAUAGCACCAAAAGCACGGAAAUUUCUUCUGCUUACUCGGCAUGGCUACCAAGUGAAUCUCUUCAUCCCCAACCAACACAGUCGCCGUCUGCGUAACACAAUUAAUCACCGCAUUAGUACACUCCGCUUGAUUAACUCGAAAAUAAAAACAAAAUCUGGAUCACAUUCUUCAUUUAAUCAAGAUACUAAGUGAGCUAACUUUACUAGGUCAGUUUAUCCAAUCAAAUUACAUCCAAAAACUUCAGAUUAAACUUCUAUGCUGCUGGUACAUUUUCUAGGGAACCAAACAAAAAGCUCAAUCUAACAAAACCAACAUAAAAAAAAAGCGAAAUUCGGAAAACGGAAGCGAUUGAGUGGGGACCUUGAACUCAUAGAAACAGGAGGCGUGGAGAUUGAUCAAAUGCGGCUGUUCGACAGGGGAGGACGAUUCGAGUUUGCAUCGAACCGAAAACGAAGAAAUCGUCUGGAGAAUCGAGAGGGGAGGACACCUCUCGCUUUGCUGCGAAAUCCGGUGGAUUCGAAUCUCAUUGUUUGGGAACUGGAAACUCCCCUCCGUCACCGGAAUAGCGUCCAGCUCCCCCAAACACAGCUCGCCAUGGUAGACCACGGACUUAAACCCUAAACGGCUCAUUAAUUUAGAUCAAUCCGAGAACGAAAGCGCGAAAAUUUGAGGCCAAUUCGUAAUUUGAAAAGAUCAGGGGGUUUUCUGUGAAAAAUUUGGGAGUAAUUCUCCAGUUUCGCUCUCUGCUCCUCCUUUCUCACUACUCUCAGACCUCUUCGCCCUCACUCUCUCUCUCUCUCUAACUUUCCCUCUCUAUCUCCCUCUCUCUGCCUACGGCUUCAAACAAUGAGACUCGCCGGGUAUUUAUACGCCCAAGGGGGCAGUUAUGUGUCCAAAUUACCAUUAUAUCCAUUCGGUCCGGACCCAUUGCCUUACGUGUCAUGCCCUUGGCGGGUAGACGAGAAAAUAAUUUGACGCGUGUCGUAUGGAGGAGUCCCAUGAUUUUGAAUGUACGGAUCCGAACCGUUGGAUCGUGGGUCGGAUUUUUGGACUUUUCCGAAUCGUUCAGCUCAAGAGGCAUCAAGAAUUGGCCACCGAAAUACAAAGGUACAGGUCUUUAUUAUUGCGAAAAUAAAAUGAGGCUAUUCAAUAGCCAUCGCGUAUUUCAUUACUUUUCUUCCUUUCCGUCCAAAAUUAGAAAAAAAGAAUAUCGAAUAAUUGAUUCAUCAUUGAGAGGAUUAACUCAAAAAAGACGAAUAUUGUGAUGCUUUAACAGCAACAGUUCAAACAAGACUUUUCCAUUUCGUGUACUGUGGAAAAUACGAUAUUAUUUUAUUUUUUAUUUUUUUAAUUCAGACAGUUAAUUUGAUUUUUGUCAGCUAAUUAACGGAAACCAGGCUGAACUUUGUUAUUACUUACAUGAAAUUUCAAUUUGAAAAUAUAUUUUAUACAUAUAUAUAUAUAUAUAUAUAUAUAAUUAUAAGACCAACAUCAAUGGUUAAGUUAAAAUUCAAAAUUUAAGUUUUAAACUCGUCCAAAAUUUCUCCAAUCAUUGGGCUAUAAAAAUGACUUGGAUUAAGACUUAUUUUUGGGAUAAAUUUAACUGAGAAAACAGACUAAGAUUAAUGGCUGAGACCCAGUUGCUAACUUUGUCAAUCACUUACAAAAUGAAAUUUUAACGAAAAACUUCCAGUACUUUUCACUUUAACGAAAAAUUAUAUUUUUACAUUAAAAAGUUAAUCCUGGUAUUAUUCACUUUAACUUUUAUUUUAUCCUUAUCAUUACAACUCAAAGUUUUUAAAAUUUUUUUUAUUAAUUUUCCUCUUACAAAAUAGCAUCGACUGUUUUUUUUUAUUUUUUUUUAUCUGACGGGCCACAUAGGAUGAGCUGAAACAGGAAAAGUUGUAUUUAUAAUGUUUUGGUACGUAAUUGACCGGGAAUAAACGUCGCGGUCAUAAAGAAUGUUAGUAAGCUGGGUGAGGUCCAUUUGGACUUUAUUUAAAUUGGGGGACUGUGAAAAUGGGCCUCUAGAGAUACUUGGCCCUCAAAAUCCAAUUAGAAGUCUCAAAUAGGAUUUGACAACUCAAUUUAUUGCAUGUGACUCUUUCUUAAUCGGUGAAUUGCAGUAGCGAAAUUACCAGCUGGUCUUUAUUUUUUAAUAAAAAAAAUAGAUUUCCAAAAACAUUUACUUUAUAAAUAAAAGUUUGCUAUUUGUUAGGUUUAUUGCAUGACCACACAUAUACGGGAUUCCAGGGGUUUUUUCCUCUCCUAAUUUUAAUUUUUUCCUCAAAAAAAUAUCAUUCACCUUAUCUCCUAAAAUCCUAAUCCUAAAGCACAGAACCAAGCUCCAAAAUCCAUCAUAACCCACUAAGCAAAAAAAGAAGCAAAAGCACAAAGAACCAAAAAUUAAAGUCAAGAACUUUCUCAUCUGUAAAAUGACAUUGAAAAAACAAAAGCUGGGAACUUUGAAGAAAAGUAGAUUACUGUGGAAUCUGGAACCCUAAGCUGAAAUGGGAGGCUCUGGAAUCCUGCUUAUGUAACGGAAAAGUGCUUUUGCGUUUCUGGGCCUGUAUGGUUUUAACCAAAAACCAAAACCCAAAUGGCAUAGAAACAGAGAAGGCAGAUGGCCGGUGGGAAAGUAAAGGGGGAGGAUUAAAUUGAAAACCCAUGUUGCGUACGAACAAAAGUUUAGGAAAUAGGAAUUGGGUUUAGUGAAUUAUCACUUUUCAGUGGGAAAUUUGAUAAAUUUGAAGAGAUCAAAAGCACCAAUUACAGAAACGAGUGAGAGGAGAGGCUAUGACUGUUCGUGAUGGCUGACAUUGUUUUUCUUGGGUUUAAUCUCUUACCCAAACUGCAAGGGAAGGGACAGAUUAGGCAAAUUUAAAGUGAGGGUUAUGGUGGAGAGGGACUUAAUGGGAGUGAUCACACUCGUAGGUCAAAUUUGAUUGAUUUGGGCAUUCUCCUCCAUAAUUCUUUAGGCAUUUUCUGGUACUGGUAGGUAAUCGGUCACACGGAAACUGCUCAAGUUUCAAACUCACCAAAACCAAGUUUUGUACAAAAGAAAAUAUAUCUUAGUUGAUUUUUUCUUGCUAGGAGGAAAAAUCCUUCUUUCUUGACGCACGAGAGAUUUUUGGGUUAACAUGCGGACGUUAUCAACCCAACUGGUUAACCUUUAUCAACAUUCCCUUCACUUCAAACACCUUAUUUACUGUUCGACAUAAUUAAGUAAGCGGAAGUGAUUUCCGCACUCAUUUUUCUCUCCUGCAUUCCUCCCCUUUUCUUAGGAUUUGGAUUGAAUAGGUCAAAAGAGAAUCAAGAGUCGGAAAAAAGGAGACAAGUGCAAAAGGAGAAAACAGGAAUGUGAAAUUCACUACCUUAAGCAACUCGACGUGGAAUGUUCUAAUAUGACAACAAUAUGAAGAAUGAAACCUUAAUAAUUUCAAGUUUCGUAGUUUGAAGUGAACAGCAAAAUGUAAAUGCCGAAGGAGGUCUUCAGCUUCCAAUCAUCAAAAUAUAAUACGAACAAUCAUGUCUACAGAGAAUAUGGUUCAUUGGAUGCACCUGAUAUUUGUUCCGCUAGCAAUGUGAGGACCGAUAUUCAGAACAGACGUGCACUCACAAGCUUUCUCUAACAUUUACAGUAUUAUCGCGUGCCUUCUACCAUCAGCUCCUUCAGGAAUGAGUUGCCGCUUAAUUAUCAUGCUGAUUAGGCCAACCCCAUGUCAAAUAAUAAUGUUGAGAUAAUGACGAGGAUGGAUGCAAAACCAAUAAUCCGGGGUUGAUGGUCACAUGGGGUGGUCACCUACCUCGAUGGCUUGCAGGAGAGGAAUUUCCUCUCUCACUUCCAAGAUCAAUAUCUUCAACUUCACACCCCUCCAAACUAACAGGAAUGGUGUUGACACUUGGUUCGGAGCUAGCAUUGCUGCAUGUGGCAAGAGGAGAAUCCAUAGCACCAAUUGUAUUGCUUUUUGUUGGUUUUGUUCUGACGCUAUACCCAGAGGAGGCUGGAACAUUUGUCAGAACUGGCCGUAGAUUGCCUGCCAUGCUUCGCUUUAUAUCCUGCAUAAGAAAAUUCCAAAAUUAGUUAAAAACUACUUCUUACAACGAGUGCUUUGCUAGUGACGCGGAUAAUUAUGUAUCACACCAAGCAUAAUUUGGAUAGUACUAAGUGGGUUGCAAGAUCUGAAUGCAGAACAUUACGCAUUAAGUGAAACAAAGUGCACUUGAACAACGAAGGUGAUACAUACCAUGUGCCUCAUAGCCAUAUCAAAGGACUUUUUAGAAAGAUUUCUUCCAAAGCCUGAGCUUUCAGAGGAUGAAGGCUUCCCAGCAGAACCCUUAAGAGUAGUGUAAUGGUCAUAUUGCUUAGGUGGUGCCAAUCUCCUCGAGUUUACUACUCUCUCAACCAUUUGUGUUCCCAUAAGUACAGGGUUCACAUCAUCAUUGUCAUGGGCAGAUGCUCUGCUUAUGACUCGAUGAGAGUUCCCACUGGUAGCGGUAAUAACAUUUGAAGCCCGUGCUCUAGAAGGUGAACACGAUUGCUGUCUUGGAUUUCCGUUGCAACCAGCCACAACAGAAGAUGUUUUAACACUUGGCGCUCCAGGCCUAUCCCUAGAGGCUGAAGCCGGCCUUUGUGGCAAUGAUGUUCUUAAAUUUGGCGGAGCAUCAUGUGAAAACCCAGGAAUCUUAGAGGAUUUUGAGGGCCUUGGUUUUACCGUUGGAGAACUUCCACGUGAUGAAACGGGAGUUUUUGAACUUGUGGGACGUAACUUUGAUGCUGAAGAAGAUCGACCAGGAGGGGCAGAUACAGCAGAUGCACUUGAUGAACUUAGUUGACGGGUUGGUGUCGCUGAUCUUGAUGUUGGUGCAGAAGGUCUGCCAGUUGGUGUAGAAGAGCGAGGAGUGGACCGAGAAGGAGUUGAAGAUCUCACUGGAGGAGCCGCAAGCUUUGCGGAUGAUGAGGUGGCUCGUGAAUUUGGGGUGGAGGAUCGUGAGGGCUUGGUUGAUGAAGGUAAUGUGGACCGCCCAGUUGGUGUUGUGGACCGUCCAGUUGGAGUUGUAGACCUACGAGUAGCAGCUCCUGACCCUCUGGGUGUUGAGGGCCUUCUGUUACCAGUACUGGAAGAGUUCAGUCCAGACGGCAAUGUUGGCUGCUUAGAUGUUAUAUUGUUCCUUGAAGCAGAUUCUAUCUGGUUGUUUGCUAGCUGAAAGUCCCAAGUUAUGGAAACAUAACAGCAUAAAUUUGCAAAUCAAGACUUCAAAAGUAAAAUGAAAUGUCCCAAAACAAACAAUAAAACACCACAUGCAGUCAUAAGUUUGUAACUCGUAAAGAAGACUAAAACUAUGGGAAGAUUCAAGUCCAACAUUACUAUGACACACAUACAUCUCAUAGAAUCUACGAUCAACGAGUCAAAUGUACAAAUGCUGCACGUACAUUUCAUAGAAUUAACAACAAUGAGUCAAAUGUACGAAUGCAGCACAUACAUCUCAUAGAAUUUAACGCUUAUAUGCAUCUAGAAAUCAUUUUAACGAGUCCUUACCCGAGAUUUUGGAGCGAAUACACGGUCAUUAGUAACCUCAGUCUGAUUCGUUAUUGUUUUCUGCACUUCCAUAUCCAAGGACGGAAAAAGUGGAGUAGCCGGUGGAGUAAGAAGCCUGUACAUAGAAAAGAUCACCGAUAAACGAUAGCAGAACAACUCCGGAGUCCAGACCAAAGCAUAGAGAUAAGAGCGAGAACUAUAACUAUAAGUCUACAAAAUUGAACAAGAAUUUCUAUGUGAAGGCUCAAAUCAAUUUUUCUUGAAAACAGCCCUUAGAAACAGAACAGCCCCCGAUUUUUCGGACACCUCAGCGAAAUGUUUUGGAAAUCAGAUCCCAUCUCAUUAGUCCUAGGAUAAUUAAUCCUAUCCAAUUUAGCAACAGAGCAAUUAUCUUCAUCAAUUCAACAAGUUACCAUGAUCGGAGGCUUAAACUUUGAUUAGUCCUAGGAAAAUUUAAUCCCACCAAAAAAUAAGCAUAAAAUCAAAGACUUGAACUUCGACACUAAUUUACUCACCAAUCGUAAUCAGACUUCUCAUUCUCCGAAUUCAAAAACUCAUCCACCCGGCUCUUCCGCGGCGGCGCCCCAACAGUCCUAGAAACCGCCGCGCCUCCGCGGUUAACAGAUUCUGCACAAACAAGCGCAAGCACCAUCAAAACCAACAGACAAAGACCGAAACUUUAAACCACAAACAAGAAACCCAAAAGGUCGUACCCGGAGGAGCAGCGGCGGCAAUAGCGUCGAGCUCAUCCGCGUUCUUGCUCGGAGGAAGAAGAAGAAAGCCGGUAUUUUUCUCCUUGUCGCGCCUCCGCAUCUCGAGAAACAAAGCGAGCUCUUCGUCUCUGUCGUUCGCGUUCACCACCUUCCCGAAGCUCCGUUCUCGCGCCCUCGACUCCAAUGUAACUUCCAUGGUUGUCUCUGCAGCUCAGCAAACACAGAGGCUGCUGCGAGGAGAGAGAGAGGAGGAGCGGAGUUUUUUGGUAGCUGAAAUUUUCAGGUGCUGUUUUUUCUUGGCAGUUCUCUCUCUCUCUCUCUCUCUCUCUCUCUCUCUCUGUUUUGCAAGAGUUCAGAAAUUUGAAUACGAAAACGAAGCAUUGGGAAAUUAAUAUUUUAUUUAUGGGCUAAGAGGUGGCGAUAAUUACGACUCUGCCAUUGUAUUUGUUCUUGCGAGACGCGGCCUUAGUCAUCUUCCUCAUCCACUGUAGACAUGUGAAGAUAAAGCUGGAUUGAAUUGGAUACAUGUAUGCGUGAUUUUUGGGAUAGAAAAAGCUUAGAACUUCUUCCAUAAGAUUCUGUAGGAGAAGAUUGAGAUUUGAACGCAUGACUUCAAGUGCAGAGUAAACGCUCUUAAUUACUUUAUAUAUAAGUAUCUUAUCUAGAAUGGUAAUCAAAGUUUAGCAUCUUAGAAACUCUUGGAAUUGGAUUAAAAGACGAGAGAGAAUUAAGUUACUGGUUCACUUUCCUCCAAAUAUAUCAAAAACAAACGUGUAGCUCAUUAGAUUGUUAAAUUUCAAUAUGUGACAAGGAAAAUCUCUUAAUAAGAUUUUUAUAUUGCUUGUAACUAGACUAUUUGUUUUAGUAUGUUGCAAAAUAUGUUCAAGAUUGUGAAUACAUAUUACAUUUGAUCACUCUAAUUACAUAAAAUGUGCUGUUGAGAGAUGUCACAGUCUGACAACAUAAUAUGUUAAACUGUGUGAUAAAAGAAUACUUUGCUCAUUUGUCAUGUUUGCAUGUGAACAUAUCAACUACAACCUCAACUACAUCGAGAUUUUGUGAUCAAACGUAAGAUAAAAACAAUUGAAACUCAUCAAUCAAUGGAUAACCCCUAUAACUUGACAAUAAACGAAUUGUUUUUUUUUUAAUAAUAACUCCCUACACUUGAGUUAAUAAUACACUUUCCAAACUAAUCAAAAAUUACAAACUUACAUAAAAUACUUGAUUACUUGCAAUACAAGAAAUCUUAUAAUUAAUAGGUCACCUCCUCAAUUCCUAAAAAUACUAUUCUACCCCCAUCUUUUAUGAAGUUGCUUGAAUGUACUAGUACAAGAAGCUCCAAAAUUAUUGAAAGAUUAUCACAUUCCAAGCAAAUGACGAAAUCAGUGGCAAUUUCGUAAUUAAGCGCUCAGGCAAACCCAUUUUCCAAACGAGAUAUAAAAUUCGGGAGUAACAUUCCCAUUACGUAAUGGCACAUGGUGGAAGCCGCGAGCCUUUGCCUGACGACAUGUCGUAUUAAAACGCCGAGGAAUUUAAUUCAAACUUUCUUGUUCAAAAGAUGCUCGGAUUUAAACGUGGGUUGUUGGAUUCCUUUCCUCGAGAUGGCCUACUCCACAUCGGACGGCUGUUGUUGGUUGGCAGAUUUAUUAGGAGCUUGUAUGUCGUGGGUCCCACCUCGAGAAUCGUGUGGUUUAAAUUUUGAUAUGUCUCGACAAUAAAAAAAAUUUCAAUAUGCCGAAACACAAUUCAAUAUACUAAAUGUCAUAAUAUAAAUAAUUAAAUAUUUAAAAAAUAUAUAUUUCAACUAUUUGUAUUAAAAUACUGUAUUGUCUGACACACUUACAAUUUCCCCUUAAUAUGCAGUUCGUGGGUCCGGAUGAGAUUGCAGAUUGCUGUGACUGGUCAGUCACCUAUGGCCCACACAAAGCCCAAUCCGAAAAGGAUCAUAUCAUAUGACUGUAUUUUUUAAGAAAAUGUUAUUGAUAUUUCAAAAAUCAUAUUCUACACUUAUUAUAAAUGUAUUUUUCUUUUUAAAUAUAGACAGUUUGGAGCGUUUAAGAAAAAUUUCACUGUAGAUCAUGUAAUUCAAUUUUUAAAAAUUUUGGACAUGAAGUUUGUACUUUUUUAAUUUGAUUUAACUUGCUAACUCAUUAGAUUUGAGGAUGAAAUUUCGCGUAGCACUACAUGCGUGUUUUAUAUGUUCGACUUUUUAUAGUAUUGCGUGUUUUAAAUCAGUUUGAAAAACUGAGAAUUUCGAGCGUUUAAACUAGGUUUUCAGGUUUCUGGCAAAAUAUUAAUCGUUGUUUUUAGGGCACGUUUUCUUAAGCCAAAGCACUUAAAUGUUACUUAUGCUCAUGCAUGUGAUGUCAUGUCAAAUUUCAGUUCUUAAUUUUAAUGGAAGGUAGGAAUUGAAUAAAGAAACUAUAAUAUACCAAAUUAAAUAAAGAAAACUAAUAAAAAAAUUUGAAACCUUUCAGUUUUAACAAUAAAAACAAAAUAAAUAGUAAAAUAAAUAGUAUCAGAAUUGAAUUUUUUAAUGUAAAAAUAUGAUUUUUCGUUAAAAUGAAUAAAACCAGAAGUUUUUUGUUAAAAUUCCCAAUUAAAUAAGUAAGGAAACUACAAAAUUAAGGUUUGCCUAAAAUCAGAAAAACAAGUAAGACAAUGCAUUUCUUAACAUCAAACUCCACACAUAAAAACUCAACCUUCCAUUUUCAAUCCCCUAAAACUAAAUUCGGGAAUCAAUAUCCAUACAUUCAUUUCUACGAAUCAAACAUAGCCUGCGUGUAAGUUUCGAGAGUAAAAUAGAAUAAGACAACAUUUUGUGUGAGGAUAGAAAUACAUGUGUUGUGUUAGGGUAUGGUUGGUACUCUACUUGAAUAUAAUUUUUUAAAAUAAAAAACAAUUUUAAGUUUUGAGCUUUAAAAACUUGUUUGGUAUGAUUAUUUUCAAAAAUUAAACUCAAGACUAACUAAAAAAUAUAGUCUAUUACCUAAAAACAUAAAAAAUGAGUUUUUAGAGUUUUUAAAUUUAAAUUCACUUAUUUCUUUUCUCUCCCUCCUCCCCCCUCACUCCAAAUCUAUUUCUCUCUUCUUCUUUCUCUGUCCUAUUUUUUUACCAUUUUCGUCUCUUUUUCAAUCCGUUCUUUUCAUUUUCUCCAUUCUUUCUCUCAUUUCUCUUCCUCUCUAUCUCGUCCAAUCCUCUAUUUCCUUUCUCUUUCUUUCAAUCAUCUCUUACUUUCUUUCAUUCUCUCUCCUCUUUCUGCCUCUCUUGCGACCUUUUUUUUUAGAUAUCUUUGUCUAGUUUAAGUCGUAAGAUUUAAAAUUUUUAAAUCGCAAACCAAUCAAGUUUUUGAGUUUUUAAAAAUUGUUAUCAAGAAAUGUUUUGAAAAAGGAUAAAGGAAUUCAAAUGGAAUACCAAACAUGCCCCUUAGUGUUUUCAGAUAUACGAUCAAAUACACUAAGUGCCAUAAUGCAAUUAGUUGAAUUUUUUUCUUCAAAUAUUUAGGCACUUAUAUUAUGACACUUAUGUGUCAGUGUUUCUAACACAUUCAAAAACUUUUUGUAUUUUUGGGGUCGGAAGUGAGUGAGACGUGCAUGGCAUGUUGCAUGCUCAAUCGAGCCCCAUGCUCCUCUCAUGUGUUAUUUGUAGUGGGUAAGGGGCACGUGGUUGUCGCAUCGAGUGUAGAAUUUUUGGUGAUAGUCGGAGCAAUCAGUGCCUAAGACAAUGAUGUUUUUACACCAUCAGGUCCUGUCGUCCCGAGACCAUACAAAGCAUUUGUAGCUGCAGAAUAAGAAUAAUUGCAAGUGGUAGGCAUCACCGCAUUAUUGCAAGGGAGAUGUUAACCACAUUCUCAGUUCAACAUUUUUGUUCUACUUUUUCGAUUCUCUUUUAUUUUGAUUUUUAUUCUCUUUCUAUUUUAUUUGUAAUGAUUGAAGAUGACUUGAACCGUCAACUUUUUAGGUCGUCCUUUAAAGAUCGACUUUAUAAAACACUUAUCAAAUCAAUCAACUUUUAGCUAUUCAAUUAACGUUGUUAAAAUUUCAAUGUUUAAUUGUUUGAUCGAAGAACAUGAUUCAUCUAAUCAUUGAAUACUAGUUUGAUGGCUAAAGGAUUUCACAUUUGGUUGAUUUUGGCAAAGAUAAUCUUUAUACAACGACCUAGAAAAUAAAGGGUUCGAAUCAUCAUACAAUGUUUCUAUCCGUUUUUAUGAUAGGCAACUAUGUCACUGAAAGCGGACGUUACUCAAAUGCUUAAGAGCAUUUACCUUUGACCUCGAGAUUAUUCGUUUGAUUCCCUCCGCUGGCAACAUCGCUGGAGAAUAACUCUCACAGAAUUAGAUUCAUGAAUGAAUAAUGAGCACAGAAACAAUGCAAUUUUCCGAUAGGCAACUUUUUAAGUAGAAGCAACAGUUCAUAGGAUAGGAAGGUGAAUUAGCCGCACAGGCUCGGUUAUAACCAGAAAAACAAAAUGAUCUGUUCAAUUAGACUCGCUCGGACUAAACAAAAUCAUCCGUUUCAACUCUCUUCCAUGAUAUUACCUUCGACAGUCUAGGAGUUUCAGAAGGUUGAAACUUUGUCGGAAGACCUGUAACGCUGUCAGUUGGUUCUCUAGGAAAAGUGUCCAGCAACUCAAUUCGCCAUGGACCAACUAACCACUGCUCCAACAACUCUCAACCCAAAGAGGCAUUGCAUCCGUAUCAACUUUAAUGGCCCUGAAACGUGAGGAGUCUCCACAAGAAAUUGGAUAUGGAUAUAUGGGGAGAUGGAGAAUGGCUUUCAUGAAAACAACCACACCCCAAUAGCCAUCACAGAGUGGAGAAGAAGGGCAAGGUCGCGAGGAGUCUGAUAAUGUAGAACAUUGUUCCUUUCACUCCAAAGAUACCAGCUGAUGAAUGGAAACCGACAAAGCUCUUCCCCUGACAAGACAUGCCGCAGCUGAUUCAAUAAAUCCAUAGCUGCGCCCCAACACCUUUGGGAACUGCAGCAGUAAAAGCUGUCAUUUCCUACUUGUCCAAACCAUAUUGCAUGCGCCAACGCUUCAGAACCCACCCCACAUCUGAAGCAUGAAGCUGAAUUCCCCACCCAGUGCUUGGAAGCAGAAUGCAGGAAAGUAGAAAGGCACGUCAUAAACAAACUAGUCAAAUCUGGUGCAUAUCUCCACAUGAAGUUCCAACAAGACCGUUCGUUCCCUGGAACUUCCCAGUUACAAGAGUAUCAUACGUAUCGUCAUGUGGUACAAGACCUUUGUCAAGCAUCUCAUCAUGCAACCUAAAAGCCUCUUGCAAAUGCCCCUCCUUGAAGUUCCCAGCAACCAAAGUAUUAUAAAUAUGAACACUGGGAGUCAUUCCCCUACUAUUCAUGUCUUCAAAGUUCUUUCGUGCAUUCUCUAGCUGUCCUUUGUUACGAAGGGCAUUUAUCAGAACUGUAUAUGUUCUUUUAUCAGGUACAAUUCCCUUCUGAAGCAUCUCUGAGUAGAGAUCUGUAGCAGAUUGUAACUCUCCCUCUCUUAGAAAUCCAUCAAUUAAUGUAGUGUAUGCUUUCAAAUCACAAGGAAUACCUUCUCUAAUCAUCCUGUUGUGCCAGUCAAGAGCCGCUUCCACGUUAUUUAAACUCCGGAAGCCAGAUAUCAUGCUACUGUAAACAGCUACAUUUGGAGAUAAACCAACUUGAAGGAGUUCGAAGAAAAGUUCACGCGCAGAUCCCAUGUCUCGUCUUUUACAAAACCCAUCAAUUAGAGCACAAUAUGCAGUAGCUCCAGUUCAAUGCCCUUGUUUUCCAUCUCAUUCCACAUUUUCAAAGCCAUAUCAAUUUGAUUGCUUAUGCAAAACCCAUUAAUAAUGCUGGUGUACGUGACAACAUUAGGAGAGACUCCACCUUCACACAUUUCUCUGUAUACAGCCAGUGCAGAAUUAAUGUCACCCUCCUUGGUAUACCCAUUUAUAAUGCUAUUGUAACUAACACAUCCAGGAAUAAAACCCCUCGCAACAAUUUUCUUUAACAUAUCACUUGCCUCGGAUGUACGACCAGCUUUGCACAAGCCAUCGAUGACAAUGCCAACUGUGAAGCCUGUGGGAGAAAUCUUGGCAGCCACCAUAUCAUCAAAGACAUGCUCUACAUCACCGUUCUUGAAGUAGCCGUUUAUCAAGAUAUAUUAAGUCACAUCGUUUGGUUUCAAACCCCUUUUAAGCAUCUCCACAAAUACACUGCGUGCAUGCUCCAUAUUCCCUAUUCUGCAAUAGCCAUUUAUCUUGCUAUUGUAAGAUACUACAUUAGGUACCACACCUUUACACAUCAUUUUAUCCCAUAAACUACAAGCUUCACUUACUUUACCCUUCCCACAAAGCCAUGAUAAGAUAUUAUUAUAUGAGAAAACAUUAGCAACACCACACUCAACAACCUCAUCAAACAAGUUAGACGCAUUUCCAAAUGACCGAUAUUUCAAAAAUCCUCAUAGCAAAUGAUUUACAAUGAAGACAUCAGGAAAAAUAUCCAUGUCUUUCAUUUGCGUGUAAAGCUCAUAAGCCUUUUCCAUGUUCCCAUUCUUACAGCAGUAUUCUAUAAGAAUUGCAUACGUAACCCUGUUUGGAGUAAGUCCAUCCUCUAUAAUCAUAAUGAACAAACCCAAAGCACUCUCCAAAUUCCCUUGCACACAAUAACCCUUCAUCAAGCUUGUAGCAGCAACCAAAUUAACUGGGUACCCACAACUUACCAUACCAUCCUUAAUCCUUAUGGCUUCAACCAUAUUCCUCUGCUUCACACAAGCCGUGAUGACACUGCUAAACGUGACCACGGAAGGAACCCACCCCAUUUCUCUCAUUUCAUCCAACAACUCCAAAGCCAAACACGAAUUGGGUUUCUUACAAAAAGCUUCAAUAGCAACACUAUAGGAUGCUGCGUCAAGUUCUACCUCUCUUGCCCUCGCCUCUCGAAAGUACUCCUCUGCGUCAUCCGGCUUCCCCUGCUUCAAACAACCACGCAUCAUCACGUGUAGAGUGACACGAUCACCUCCAAUUCCUCUCAAAGCCAUUUUAUCAUACACCUCUCGUGCUUCCCCCAUCAUAUUUCUCCUAACCAAUUCUGUUAAAAGAAUAUUUACAUACGUAACACAAGGACACAUCUCAAGCUCCAGAGUUCUACUAAAGCAAUCAAUGGCACAUUCGAUUCGAUUGGCUCUAACAUAAUUGUUCAAUAAAUAGCCAAAAACCUGAGAUUCUAGUUCAAAAUCAAACCGUUUGGCGCAGUCCACCAAGUGAUGGACAAAGACGCCCGAAUUGCCGGAAACGUACUGGUUAAGCAACAUCUUAGCACGCCUGUGAGUCUUCGGAUUGCCCAUCAAAAUGUGAAGCAACACACAAACGGCAUCGACACCUCUGACAAAACCUCGCUCCCUCUCACCCCAUUUGAAGUAAUUUACUGCCGAAUUGGGCUUGCUUUUGUGGCUAAGAAGAGUGCUGAUCACACUGGUUUGUGUUAAUUCCGAGUCUUCAGAAACUGGGGCGGCGAACUCGCCCUGAUUGGGGUCUGAUGCAACUGGGUUUUCCUGAAAUUCGAUUUCUCAUGUGGGUUUCUCGGGAAAAUCAGAUUUUGAUGUGAUUUUCUCGUAAAAAUCUGUGCUUGGAUUGGAAUUCCCGGAAAAUGGCGGCGAUUCUGAAUGGGGUGUUGGAGAGGAAUUUAGGGUUUAAGAAAGGAAGACGACGUAGUACAGGGAGUGGCGAGGAGUGGAGGGACUUCAUUGUUUGGGGUCCUUUGCUGCAGAAGAAGAAAUUGAAGAAACCCUGAUGGAGAUCAAAGGCUUCGGCUUGGUGGCAUAGUGAUGAAGCGAGGAAGGGGAUGACAACAGAGGCUGCGGCGCGAGCUUUGGCCAUUUACGGUUUUACCCCCUUGAGAUAAAAUUCAAAUCCCCAAAUACAUAUUAAGGAUAUUAAUUGUUUGAUAGGCAAAUCAGAAAAUGGCGCUUAACAAAAAAUUACCACAUAAUUAUUUAUUCAUACAUAAGUGAAAUGUUAACUUCGAUUUUCGUAGAUGGUGAGUUUUAUACCAUCUAAUUCUAGUGUGUCACAGCCCGUCCCAGAAUUACUUAAUACCGAGGACGUGAAAUUACAGAAACGCCCUUAAACGGGAUUAAGGUGCGUAAUUUUGACAUUUGUUUUACUUUAAGAUCCUAAACUAGGGUUAGAAUUAUAUAUUUGUAUGUGUUAAUAUUAUAUGGGUUAAGGUAGGGCCUUAUACCCUAAAUCCCUCCCCAAAAUCCGUUUUGUUGUCUCUCUCUCAUCUCCCUAGUCACUCUCUCUCUCUUAUUCUUCAGAAAACACUCUCUCACUCUCUCUCUUACUCUCAUUCUCUCUCAAACUCUCGGACAAACACCCAAGACCUUGAAAACUUCACAAGUUAAGGUUGAGGAAGGUAGCAUCGUGUUCGUAAGGACCAUACGAACACAUUGAUAUUGUUUUCAGGUAAGAUUUCCCACGAUUCCAUGUAGAAAACUUAAGCUCCGAGAUUGCUACUGUUCAUGAACUUAAAUUUGGUUGUGUUUUAGGUUAAACAAAGAUCACCACGAGUCUUAGGAAGUCCCAAGGAGGCUCGGAGUGCCUCGUUUGAACAAAAUGGACGUCGGGAUCGUCGGGUUCGAGUUUGGCCGAAAUUGAGGAAUUUUGGAAGGUAUGAUCUCGUAGUUUUUAGGCCUUAAAACCCUUCCAACGUGAUAGUACAUGUUAAAUGCUUCAUUUUGGUGUAAAAUUCGAAGAAAUUGGACGAAAAACGAAGGAGAAUAGUGGAUUUGAAAAUUUUCCAGAAACCGGCGACCGGCGACUCGCCGGAGAAGACAGGGAAUCUUCCGUCAAGUUUGACGGAAUAUUCCGACGCCGUUAGUUAACUUUAACGGAAACCGUUAGUUUUUAACGGAAUAUUCCGGGAAUAUUCCUAACGCCGUUCACUGUACCGUCAGUGUGCCUGGCACGUGGCUGCGCGUGGGCCGCGCGUAGGUCCGUGCCACGUCAGGCGCGUGGGGGCGCGUGGAGCAUCCAAAAAUUAUUUUAAAAAUAUGGGGAUGAUCCUGAGGUUGUGUAGGUCACUGUGGUAUAUUCAUAUACCCAAUUUGAGCAUCGUAUGAAGAAUUUAUUACCUAGUUGGUUUAGGUGCGUUUAAUGUGCGUUAAAUGAUUGUUUUAAGUUAUUUCACUUCUAGGUGGAACUUUUAACGAGGACGAGCACAUCCAGGGGCGUCAAGGGGGUUACGACCCGGCGACAUACCAGUGAGUGGGCAUUGCUUUCUAUAUAUAUACCUAUAUACUCGAUUUCCCCAGAAAUCAAAUUUAAAUGAAAAAUAUAUUGAAAUGAAAUGAAAUAUGAUGUGAUUGCCAUGCAUAGAAUGUUAUGGAUAUUAUGAACUGUCGUAUGAUGCAUAUAUGUAUGAUGGUGCUGUGGACGCACAGGUAAGUAUUUAAUUACUGUUAUGUUGAGGAUGAUGAUAUAUUGAGCUCAUAUCCUGCACCAUGGUUUAGUGCUUAUAGUAUUCACCGCAUCGCACGCUCGCCUUGGAUCCAAGUAGAUGCUGGUCGUACAGUCCACGCGGAGUGGGUACGACGGGCCAGUCGUAGAAUGUUAGUGAGAUUAUGACUGGUGGGUGACCUUAGGUUAUUGUAUACAGAUGAUUGAUGAGAGAAGCACUUGAGCGAAUAUUACCAUGAGUCGUUCAGACUGCAUUAGGUGGUUCCGACUUAUGUGCAGAAGGCCGGACAGGUCACGCGGAGUGACUCCGGCAGAGAGUGAGAUUGAUAGAUGUUGAGCUCUAGGUUCAAUCGUUCAGGACUAUUAGAGGGCCUCCGAUUGAUUAUUUCUUUUACCUGAUUUAUAUUAUGUCAAUGCAUUCAUACUAAACUGCUGAAUUUGGCAUGGUACAUUCUUUAUUGAAUCUGCUAUAAGAUUGUUGAUCGAGACAGUUGAGAUAUAUAUGCUAUAUACUAUUUUUCUGGGAAAGUAUACAGGUUUUCCAAAAAGGGGUUAUAAAUGUGGAUUUAUGAAAUGUUUUGGAAAAGCUUUAUUUUUCGCCCACUCACGUUUUCUGUUUUUCGCCCCUCCAGGUUCUAGUUGAUAGUUGAGGCGUUGGUGGCCUACGAGGACUGCUUCGGCGUUCUGACAGACUAAAUAAAUGUAGGAUUCACCCGAGGGUGUUGUAAAAUAGUUAUGGUCCUACUUGACUGCACCUAGACGCUUAUGCUCUGUUUAUGUGUGUUUAGUACACUCUUAUGCACAUAGAAUGCUAGGUUGUAAAUAACUGCAAUUAGUGGUUUUCGUUGACUCGUAUUUUAUUAUUAAAUCGUUUCCGCUUGCGUUAUGGUUACGUCACACUCACGUGACGGCCAGCACGUUCUAGUCUUCGGGUUAGGGUGUGUCAGUUUGGUAUCAGAGCAUAGGUUGCAGUCCUGUAUAACUAGUGAUUUUACUUAUUAAUUUUUGGAUGUUUUCUGUCAGAAUUAUGCCGCCUCGUAGAGAUCCUCGCCGUGCUGCUGAGCCUAAUUUCCCCGAUAUAACUCAGCUAGGGGCAUCAAUGGCUCAAGCUUUUCAGGCUAAUAUCCGUCCUCCUCAGAGAACACCUGUAGAGACGAUGUAUAAUCUGAAAUUGGAAACCUUUGAGGGAAAUGAAGGUUAUGAAGGGGCAGAAAAGUGGUUGGAUCGGAUUGAGCAGACCUUUCAAGUGAUGCAAAGUCAAGGAAACCUGCCAGCUAAUAGAUGGGUGGAGACCACCACCUGGUUUUUGGGCCGUGAGCCAGCGGCGUGGUGGAUAAAUCAGUCGAGGCACAUGGCACCUGAAAGGACAGCCGAAUGGGAGGUAUUUAAGGAAAAUUUUAUGAAGAGAUUUGUUCCUCCGGAAUAUAUAGAUCGCAAGAAACAGGAAUUCACCAGUCUGAAGCAGAGAAAUAUGUCCGCACAUGAGUACUACAGGAAGUUUACUGAUUUAUCCCGUUAUGAUUCUGAUUUAGCGGGUAAUCAAGCAGAAAUGCUUCGUCGUUUCAAGUUAGGAUCUAAGAAGAAGUACAGAACGUUUGCCAAUGCACUUCCCUGUGCCGAUUAUCAUGAGUAUUUUGAGAUUCUGGUCCGGAUGGAAGACUCUGAUAAUCUUCCGGACAGUGAGGAUGAAGAGGAUAAGGGUAAUGGUCAGAAGAAAAAUGAGAAAGGUAAAGGUGUUUCCAUUCCAGGACCUCGUCAGAUGCAGAAUUUUAAGAAGAGUGGAAUGAGUUCUAGUUCUUCCAGUGGUGGAUUUAGUGCCACAGGUCCGAGGAGAGGAGGUGGUAGGUUUGGUAAUGGACCUAGAUUUUCUGGUCAGAGAGGCUUUGGUGGUACUGGUAGUUCGGGUUCUCCGUUAUGUCGCCGUUGUAAUUUCCGACAUUAUGGGGAAUGUAGGAGAAUCAGUGGUGCAUGCUUUACAUGUGGUCAGACAGGACAUAGAGCUAUGAAUUGUCCCCAGAAUCAGCAGAGGCCCCAGCAGCCUGUUAGGCCAACACCAGCACCGACUCAACAGAACUUUAAUUCAGGCAGUUAUGGCCAGGUUGGUCGUGGUGGUGCUUAUCAUUAUCAGGGUGAUGCUACUCCAUAUGCUCCAGGACAGUAUCACUAUUCCCAGGAUCCUUAUUCUCAGAGUGGAUAUUCUCAGGAUCAGGGAGGUUAUACUUCAUAUCCGUCUAUGCCAGCUAGCGGAUCUCAGUGGUAUCAGGGGGGUCAGCCCCAACAGAGCGGAGUUGCUGCUAGCAGUGCAGGGUCGUUUAGGCCGCCUGCCCAGACAGGUCAAGGAAGUAUUCAUCAGGGACGAGGUAAUCAGAGUGGCAGAUGUCGUGGAGGACGACAGCCAGCUCAGGGACGUGUUAACCACAUAUCGCUGCAAGAUGCUCAGAACCAUCCAGACUUGAUUAUGGGUACGUUGAAUGUUCUUGGUCAUUUUGCUAGAGUCUUGAUUGAUUGUGGUGCUACACACUCUGUGAUUUCUCAUACAUUUGCUCAAAUGACACAACCUCAUCCUUCACCUCUAGGGUUUGAUUUAGAGUUUGCUAUGCCUAGAGGGGAUAAAUGUUAUGUUGAUAGUUUUUACUCUGGGUGUCCAGUGAUGGUAGAUAAUGUCAUUAUGCCUGCUAAUCUUAUCCCGUUAGACAUCGUGGAUUUUGAUGUGAUUUUAGGGGCGGAUUGGUUGCAUUAUAAUCGCGCCCAUAUAGAUUGUUACGGGAAAUCAGUUACUUUUCUUCGUCCUGGACUACCUGAGGUUACAUUUGUGGGUGAAAGAAAUGGGGUGAGGCAUGGUGUUAUUUCAGCCAUAAGGGCAAAGAAGUUGUUAUCCAAGGGUUGUCAGGGAUACUUGGCACAUGUGGUGUUAAAUGAUGUUGAUUCCGGUAGUGUGGAGGAAGUCGGAGUAGUCAGACACUAUCCUGAUGUAUUUCCAGAUGAUUUACCUGGGUUGCCUCCAGAUAGAGAUGUGGAAUUUUCGAUUGAUUUACUUCCAGGUACGAACCCUAUCUCUUUGACUCCUUAUAGAAUGGCACCAUCGGAAUUAAGAGAGUUGAAAAUUCAAUUGCAAGAGUUAAUUGAUAAAGGUUUCAUUCAGCCUAGUUCUUCACCGUGGGGAGCUCCGGUGUUGUUUGUAAGAAAGAAAGAUGGAACUUUGAGAUUGUGCAUUGAUUACAGGCAAUUGAAUCGGGUGACGAUUAAAAACCGUUAUCCCUUGCCUCGUAUAGAUGAUUUGUUUGAUCAGCUCAAAGGUGCCUGUGUGUUUUCUAAGAUCGAUUUGAGGUCUGGGUAUUAUCAAUUAAAGAUUAAAGAUGAGGAUGUUCAUAAAACAGCUUUCAGGACUCGUUAUGGGCAUUAUGAGUUUUUGGUGAUGCCAUUUGGAUUAACGAACGCUCCUGCAGCUUUCAUGAGAUUGAUGAAUGAAGUAUUCCAGGAAUAUCUUGACAAGUUUGUUAUUGUUUUUAUUGAUGACAUCCUGGUAUAUUCUAAGUCGAAAUCAGACCAUAUUCGACAUCUUAACUUGGUGUUAAGGAAAUUGAGGGAACACCGAUUAUAUGCCAAAUUUAGUAAAUGUGAAUUUUGGCUGGAUCAAGUGGCAUUUUUGGGACAUGUGGUAUCAGCUCAGGGAAUUCAAGUGGAUCCUCAAAAGAUAGCAGCAGUGGAAAAUUGGGAACAACCUCGAACGGUCACUGAGGUGCGGAGUUUUCUUGGUUUGGCAGGUUAUUAUAGACGGUUUGUUCAAGACUUUUCUAUGAUUGCCUUGCCAUUAACGAAGUUAACCAGGAAGGAUGUUAAGUUUGAAUGGGAUGAAAGUUGUGAGCAAAGUUUCCAGCAGUUGAAGUAUUGCCUUACUCAUGCACCUGUGUUAGUACUUCCUGAUGAUGAUGGUAACUUCGAGAUCUAUAGUGAUGCUUCUUUGAAUGGUUUGGGUUGUGUUUUGAUGCAGCAUAGUAGAGUGAUUGCCUAUGCUUCUAGGCAGUUGAAGACUCAUGAAAGAAACUAUCCGACUCACGAUCUUGAGUUAGCAGCUAUUGUGUUUGCUUUGAAGAUCUGGAGACAUUAUCUCUAUGGCGAGAAAUGUAAGAUCUUUACAGAUCAUAAAAGCCUUAAGUACCUUUUCACUUAGCAUGAUCUUAAUCUUCGUCAGAGAAGAUGGUUGGAAUUGUUAAGUGAUUAUGAUUGCACGAUUGAGUACCAUCCGGGUCGUGCAAAUGUGGUAGCUGAUGCUCUGAGUAGAAAACCUCAAGGGCGACUUAAUGCUUUGUAUGCCAGUCGUGUUUCUCUUCUUGCAGAGUUGAGAUCUACUGGAGUAGAGUUAGAAUUGGAAGAGCAAAGUGAAGCUUUUCUUGCCAAUUUUCAAGUCAAGCCAAUUUUAAUUGAUCGGGUGCUUACAGCUCAAUCGUUGGAUGAAGAAAUUCAAGAAUUGAUCAGUUUAAGAAAGGAAAGCUAAGCCCCAGGUACAUUGGACCUUAUGAGAUCACUGAGAGGAUUGGUGAAGUUGCUUACAGGUUGGAGCUACCUCCAGAGUUGUCUAAGGUACAUAAUGUGUUCCAUGUCUCGAUGCUUCGACAUUAUGUUUCAGAUCCUUCACAUGUGAUUCCUCCUCAACCAUUGGAAAUUAAUCCGGACUUGACGUACGAUGAGGAACCAGUGACUAUACUGGAUUGGAAAGAUAAAACUUUGAGGAAUAAGACCGUGAACUUGGUAAAAGUAUUGUGGAGAAACCAUUCAGCGGAAGAAGCUACAUGGGAGACAGAAGAACGGAUGAGAGAUAUGUAUCCGAGGCUAUUUUAUGAGUAUUGAGGGUUUGGUUGGUGACUGGAAUUUCGGGGACGAAAUUCUAUAAGGAGGGGAGAUUGUCACAGCCCGUCCCAGAAUUACUUAAUACCGAGGACGUGAAAUUACAGAAACGCCCUUAAACGGGAUUAAGGUGCGUAAUUUUGACAUUUGUUUUACUUUAAGAUCCUAAACUAGGGUUAGAAUUAUAUAUUUGUAUGUGUUAAUAUUAUAUGGGUUAAGGUAGGGCCUUAUACCCUAAAUCCCUCCCCAAAACCCGUUUUGUUGUCUCUCUCUCAUCUCCCUAGUCACUCUCUCUCUCUUAUUCUUCAGAAAACACUCUCUCACUCUCUCUCUUACUCUCAUUCUCUCUCAAACUCUCGGACAAACACCCAAGACCUUGAAAACUUCACAAGUUAAGGUUGAGGAAGGUAGCAUCGUGUUCGUAAGGACCAUACGAACACAUUGAUAUUGUUUUCAGGUAAGAUUUCCCACGAUUCCAUGUAGAAAACUUAAGCUCCGAGAUUGCUACUGUUCAUGAACUUAAAUUUGGUUGUGUUUUAGGUUAAACAAAGAUCACCACGAGUCUUAGGAAGUCCCAAGGAGGCUCGGAGUGCCUCAUUUGAACAAAAUGGACGUCGGGAUCGUCGGGUUCGAGUUUGGCCGAAAUUGAGGAAUUUUGGAAGGUAUGAUCUCGUAGUUUUUAGGCCUUAAAACCCUUCCAACGUGAUAAUGCUUCAUUUUGGUGUAAAAUUCGAAGAAAUUGGACGAAAAACGAAGGAGAAUAGUGGAUUUGAAAAUUUUCCAGAAACCGGCGACCGGCGACUCGCCGGAGAAGACAGGGAAUCUUCCGUCAAGUUUGACGGAAUAUUCCGACGCCGUUAGUUAACUUUAACGGAAACCGUUAGUUUUUAACGGAAUAUUCCGGGAAUAUUCCUAACGCCGUUCACUGUACCGUCAGUGUGCCUGGCACGUGGCUGCGCGUGGGCCGCGCGUAGGUCCGUGCCACGUCAGGCGCGUGGGGGCGCGUGGAGCAUCCAAAAAUUAUUUUAAAAAUAUGGGGAUGAUCCUGAGGUUGUGUAGGUCACUGUGGUAUAUUCAUAUACCCAAUUUGAGCAUCGUAUGAAGAAUUUAUUACCUAGUUGGUUUAGGUGCGUUUAAUGUGCGUUAAAUGAUUGUUUUAAGUUAUUUCACUUCUAGGUGGAACUUUUAACGAGGACGAGCACAUCCAGGGCGUCAAGGGGGUUACGACCCGGCGACAUACCAGUGAGUGGGCAUUGCUUUCUAUAUAUAUACUUAUAUACUCGAUUUCCCCAGAAAUCAAAUUUAAAUGAAAAAUAUAUUGAAAUGAAAUGAAAUAUGAUGUGAUUGCCAUGCAUAGAAUGUUAUGGAUAUUAUGAACUGUCGUAUGAUGCAUAUAUGUAUGAUGGUGCUGUGGACGCACAGGUAAGUAUUUAAUUACUGUUAUGUUGAGGAUGAUGAUAUAUUGAGCUCAUAUCCUGCACCAUGGUUUAGUGCUUAUAGUAUUCACCGCAUCGCAACGCUCGCCUUGGAUCCAAGUAGAUGCUGGUCGUACAGUCCACGCGGAGUGGGUACGACGGGCCAGUCGUAGAAUGUUUAGUGAGAUUAUGACUGGUGGGUGACCUUAGGUUAUUGUAUACAGAUGAUUGAUGAGAGAAGCACUUGAGCGAAUAUUACCAUGAGUCGUUCAGACUGCAUUAGGUGGUUCCGACUUAUGUGCAGAAGGCCGGACAGGUCACGCGGAGUGACUCCGGCAGAGAGUGAGAUUGAUAGAUGUUGAGCUCUAGGUUCAAUCGUUCAGGACUAUUAGAGGGCCUCCGAUUGAUUAUUUCUUUUACCUGAUUUAUAUUAUGUCAAUGCAUUCAUACUAAACUGCUGAAUUUGGCAUGGUACAUUCUUUAUUGAAUCUGCUAUAAGAUUGUUGAUCGAGACAGUUGAGAUAUAUAUGCUAUAUACUAUUUUUCUGGGAAAGUAUACAGGUUUUCCAAAAAGGGGUUAUAAAUGUGGAUUUAUGAAAUGUUUUGGAAAAGCUUUAUUUUUCGCCCACUCACGUUUUCUGUUUUUCGCCCCUCCAGGUUCUAGUUGAUAGUUGAGGCGUUGGUGGCCUACGAGGACUGCUUCGGCGUUCUGACAGACUAAAUAAAUGUAGGAUUCACCCGAGGGUGUUGUAAAAUAGUUAUGGUCCUACUUGACUGCACCUAGACGCUUAUGCUCUGUUUAUGUGUGUUUAGUACACUCUUAUGCACAUAGAAUGCUAGGUUGUAAAUAACUGCAAUUAGUGGUUUUCGUUGACUCGUAUUUUAUUAUUAAAUCGUUUCCGCUUGCGUUAUGGUUACGUCACACUCACGUGACGGGCAGCACGUCCUAGUCUUCGGGUUAGGGUGUGUCAUAGUGACUAAAAAUUAUAUGACUUAAAAAUACUGGAACACUAUUAUAUUCUAUAGAAAAAGAUAUAAACUUGAUGUGAAAACAUCAGACUAACUUGACAUACUUAUUUUAGUCACAUUUGCACCGCUUCUCAACUCAUAUAUUUUGUUUACUAAAUAAUGUGAGUGUUUGUUCUUAUCCAACGUCUUUAAAUUUAUUUUAGAAGAAAUUUGUAAUUGAAGUGGUUAAGAGUAUUUACUUGUAAACCUAUUUGUUUCUCCCAUUGCAACAAAUAUUGGGAGGAGAAAAUCAAACGCAUAACCUCUAAACUACUUUUAGUACAAUACUCUUUUCAUUAUUUUAAAUUUGCUACUCCUGAGAGUGUAGUUUAGUUUUUCUAAGCAUACCUUCAUAGGCACUGCAGAAGUCAAGAGUCAAGGAACUAGACCUUUGUAAGUUCAAAGGUCUCAUCAAAACCUCAAUCCAUCAUGCCAAAAUGACGAGAUUUUGCCCUAUCAUCAGGAACAUAUCCCCGUACGAGUGUCUCACUCAUCAUGUGACCUUAUAAUAUAUUAACAUGUCUGUAUAUUUCCAGUGAACCUAAAAGAGCGAUAGCAAACCAGAUGUAAGCUAAUACUUUUUUUUGAAGAACUUGAUUAGCAACUGUAUUGGUCAUCAAUACCAUGUUCUAAAUCAAUUAGCAAAGCCUACUCAAUAAAGAAAAUAGAUUGCUAAGAAUUUACAUUUGAAACUAAUAGUGCAGUUUCCUGAAUGGAUGGGAAAUCAAGCCUCAUCACCAUCGCUUCCGCCAAUCUGAGCUUCGAGAGCGAUUGAGUAGUUGCUUCCAUCAGGACCGAGAAUCUGGAAUCUGCUCAAGAACACAGAAAAUCACUCUAAAAGCUUUUAAUUCAGCAACCACAGACGUCGAUUUGGUUUUACCUCUCAAGGAUACACUUUCCUUCCUUGUACUUCUGGGAUUUCUCAUGCGCCGCCUCCUGAAAUCGAUGACCAAAAUAAAACUCUCAUUCAGCUGUCACUUUGAUGCAAGUACUGCAAAUACCGAAAACAAAUAAAGCAUCGUUUUGAAGAAAAGAUAUCCUUACAUAUUUCCAUCCCACAUUUGAUCCACACGAAACACAAAAUAUGUCAGCAACGGUAUGCAAUCCUGUUAUCAUGAUCCGCUCUUCUUUCUCUCCAAGUGUGACAUUUACGCUGCCAUACAUUGGGGAAACGAAGGGUUAACUCAGCAUUCAUAUGUGUAAGCUGCACUUGAUGCAGUUAUGAAUAAGCCUUCUUCAUAGGAUUCAAGUGAACGAAAAUGCGUUUAUGAGACAAAUGCAUUAAUUAGUGAAUUUUGGGAGAACAAUACUCCAAAAUAGAUUUGCUAUGCUGUCACUGAUUUCAUUAAUUCUAUUUCUUUUGCCAUCCUCAAAGUUAAGCUUUUCAAAAUUCAUCAACCGGAAUGAAUCCUCUGGCCUAUAUCAGACCGUGUUCGGUUUGGUGCUUCAAGUCAUUUCAUAUCGGUGGACAAGAAACGAUACAUGCACAUAGGAUGGCCAAGUUUUUUGUGGCAAGUGAGACCAAUAUAAACUCACAUGCUCGUAACCCUAAAACUGAUAUACAAGCAUCCAUAGCUAUGACUGAAUCUAUUCAAAUUUUCAACCGUAAAAUAGUAUUACACUUACACUUUAUCGAAAAGAUAAGCCUUCCCAUGCCUGGAGUGAAAAGACUGGAACAAAAACAGAAGCAAAUCAAGGGGUUAGAAUGUCACUUAUCAAUCCUAAAUUCCUGAUAUCAAACAUACACCAUACUGUAUCGCUUUAGUUUCCAUAUGAUCAGCGUUCAAACCAACAGUAACACAAAUAACCAGGACAACAUUUUGGUCUCGAAUUAUAGUAGAGAACAGAGACGCAAGUUCCUAUCUAAUCUUCCAGCCAAAAUUUAACAAUUACACCAGGAAAGUGUAAAAUAGAUACCUUGGACGUAAUCUUAGCAGGAAUUGAAGACCUAAUUCUUCUCCAGCAAGUAAAGCAACAAUCUGUGUUCCUAGAAUUGCAUAAUUAAACCCGGAAUAUCAUCAUAGAGGGUUGCAGAUAAAGGUUCAAAAUCUUGAGCAUUUUGCGUAUCCGUUCAUCAAACGCGCAAGCCAUGAAGCCAAAGCUGAUUGUGAUGAGCCAUAAACAGAAUUAGGAAACGAAGGCCUGCACCAUGAAUAAAAGAAGGAACCCAGAAACAACCCAAUGUUUGAGCUUCCAAUCUCAACCAGUCUGAACAUGAACCAUCACAUUGUGCUACGGUAUAAAGGUAUCACAACUCCUCAAUAUCACAAACAAAACUCUCUAAACAAAACCUAAACCAACAAUUUACGUAUCACAACUCCUCAAUAUCUAAUGAUUAGACCCCCUAUCUAUCACUUAUUGGAAUUUAGCUUAACAAACCCACACAAACUAAAUUCUUACGUCCACCACCGAUAAAUCUCUCAUCGAAAAUUCGCCACACAUUUACAUAUCACAACGAUGCAUCAUAAUUUCACAGAGUUCUUGAAUGUCCAGGUAGCGUGCAUUAUGCAAAUAAACAGUAAAAAUUCAUAACAAACAGAAUUACGGGGAAGGCGAUUUCGGACCUUAGAGAUUACGUCGUCGACAAGAGCGAGAUGGGUUCUGCAGUGCUUGCAGCUAUACAUGUUUUCCUCAAGAGUGAUCACAAACAGCCUUCCCAUUUCUCACAUACAAUUAAACUUUCUUAAUUCUUGAUUUUCUUUUCCCUACAAAAACACAAAGAUCGGCCGCCAUGUUAGAAAUUCAAGCAUUCCAAAAGAAACCCAGAGAUUACCUUCACCAAAACUUGAGAAAAAUCAACGUGAUAAAACCUGAAAAUUCCAAGAAAAAAAUAACGAAAAAAAAUGAAAUGAUACACAAUGCAGGAGUGCAUUUCCCAUAAUGUAGAUUUUAGAGAAAAGAUUAAUACCAAAAAAAAUCUCUUGUGUUGUGGUACAUUGUAUGUCUUUAUCACGCAAAUCUUAUUUUCACGAGUUUUGCGUAAUGUACUUAUUUUCGUCGCGGAAGCUGUUAAAUGCAGUAGUGGUAGUCUUUGAUUCCUCAUUAGGGUAAGCAAAAUGAAUGGAAAAGUUAGUAUCCUUCUUUGAAUUUGAUAUGCUACAUCUAGCGACCGUUAAUUAAUAAUCUUUGCAUCACUAUCGAAUUUGAUAUGCUACAUCUAGAGACUGUUAAUUAAUAAUCUUUGCAUCACUAUCGAAUGAUGUUCUUAAUUCCCAACAUAACAACUUAAACGUUAAAUUAUUUAAGAAGAUUUUUUUUUUAAUUUCUCUAAGGCCUAAACAGAUAAAUGUUUUUUGUGGUGAUAUAGUAUUCCGAAGUUAGGCCUGUUGAGAAAAAAAUUAGGAAUCAAACCCUCAUGGUGAAGUCUGUUAGGAUUCAUGCCCCAACAGACUUUACUACAAGAGUUUAAUUCCUAAAUUUUUCAAACCGGAGGCUAUCUUCCGAAUACCUUAUCAAUUAUCAUCACAGAGACCGUUUAUUCCGUUAAGCCGUUCUUUAAUUGUAUGAACCAACAACUCCCCAAAUUACAAGAAAUUGUAUUUUAAUAUUAUUUUUAUACGCGUGAUAUUUGACUCCGAACUGUAAAAAGAGGAGGGAAGAGAGAUUCAAACUCAACUAUUUUUUUUUUUUUAAAACAAACAAUAUUAGUUACACUAAAAAAAAGUAUGAACUUAAUCUCACAAUGAGUUAAGAAUAAUAUGGUUCAAAUUCGUCUUUGACAUGAUUCAAACUCAACUAUUAAAAGUGCAAUCUGCUCGAUAAUGUGACUACAUCCACAUGCAUUUCGUUAUAAUAUUUUACAAAUAAAUAAGUUUUGCACAGUUUAAAAAGCUUUCAGAAGAAAAAAAAAAAUCCCUCUACUAUUGUGGGAAAAAGAAAGAAAAGGAAGAAUCUCGCGGCCUAUUGUUCGGUUAAAAAAACUUGUCGCUAAUAGGAAAACGCCACGGUAGAAAGUAAGGACGCAUUAUUUGUGGUGGGGGGGGGGGGCGCCGUGCCACGAAACCGAAUGAGAUUCAGAUUUGGUUGGAGGACGGAAAGAAAGUAAUUCACCAAUCCCUUUCACGAGAAGGUGCCAAAGGACACACGAAAGAAACGUUUCACUCAUAGUGACUAGACCAAAGCAAAAAAGUCAAUCCAAUCCAACUAGGUUAUGUGUUCGACUGUAGUAUUACCUGACUAUUCACGUUGUGAUAAGAAAGACGAUCCAUGAUUGUUUUUAGAACCCAAUUGUCCCACAUCAUUUAGUAUAUCUUAAAGGCGUUUCAGAGCUUUUGCGUACCUUUCCCUUCCAAGCCGAUUUUUAGGGGCAAUUUCUACUCUUAAAACAUUGUAUUAGAGCUUGGUUUCACCACGCAAUCGAGCGCAACUCCAUAGAAGGAAAUGAUAAAUUUUUUCAGUGUGUCUGGAACAUGUGGUGAAACACCACAUGUCAUUACAUAAGUGAAGGAAGGUUUUAUUUUUCAAGAAUCCCACUACUUUUAUAAUAACAUGUGGUGUAUCAUCCCGUAUUACGAGUACGUGAAAAAUUUGUAGAUGGGACCGCCUCAAAGGAAGGAAAGGGCUCCUCUAGGUCAGUGUAGAAAGCAAAACUUCACCAAACCUCUAAGGACGCGUUUACUAAUCCGUAAUCAAAUUGAGAGGAAUUGAAUUGAGGAGGAAUAGAAAUGAGGGAAAAUCAGAAUCAAAUUCCUUUUGAAGUUGUUUACUAAAACUGUUUGGAAUCGGAGUAGAAAUAACAUUGAUCUAUAUAACUGUUUACUAAUUCACAUGAAUCGGAAUGAAAACUAUUGUGAUUACUAAAAUACCCCUAGUUUAAUUAAUAAAUGAAAAAUAAAUGAAGUUUUUAUUGAAUAAAAAAUUGGAUGCGAUCCCCUAUAGAUGGUUUCACAAAACACAUAUUCUUAUUAACUUGAUGACCAGCGGACAAGGUUUAGCACAAGACAUUAACUAGGUAGAGAACCAAACAAGAGCUAAGACAAAGAACAUUGAUGAGCUGAUGGCUAAACCUCGAGGAGGGCCGGAAGUUGAAACGGGCACCAUUUGAUCUUCCUUGAUUAAUAACACUCCAAUGAAAGCGUGCCUCCGUGACGUGUGGUCAAAAUAUAAAGGGUCCAGAAGGAAAAGUAUACGUUCUCCCGUUCAAAAGAGGGGAUGCACGAGUAAUGUCCAACUAUGAAGAUGAAAUCGUGCCGUGCGGUGUUAUUCUCUCAACAGCACCCAUUCUCUGAGGAGGCCACAAAAUGUGGGUAACCCUUCCUUCAACUAAACCAAGAGGAAUCUGCCAACAACAGCUUGUUUAAGUUAGCCAAAGAAACAGAAGUUUAGAAGGAAGCCAAAAGUAGCCACAUUUUCAAAUUAUUUUGCACAACAUCAAUUCUGAUGAGGACAACUGAACUGAAAGCAACAUCUGAAACAAUGUCUUAGAAUACAUCAAGCAUUAUAUUCUAUCAAAGUUUUGCAAUGACAACAAAAUCAUCUAGCAGAAAUUUAGAAGGAUGCCAAAAGUAGCCACAUUUUCAAAUUAUUUUGCACAAUAUCAAUUCUGAUGCAGACAACUGAACCGAACAAAGCAUGUUCAUAAGCAAUGUCCGAAACAAAGUCUUAGAUUACGUCAAGCAUUAGAUUCUAUCAAUGUUUUCCAACGACAACAAAAUUACCUAGCAUAACAAUGAUUGCAAACUUUUUCCAAAAUGCCAAACUAAUUAUCUAUAUAGCAUUUCAAAUUUAUCGUGUCCUAGAAAAACAUUUUGUCUCAUUUACGAGCCACAAGCUAACGGAAUAGAAAAACGAUUUCCAUCCUACUCCGCAUUCAACUUUUCAGAAUAUAAACAAACAAUAAGUGAUUUGCCAUAAAAAAUACAAAAGUAAAUUCAAAUACCUAGUCAGCUUAUUGUUUCGUAUCUUUGGGCACCAAAUCAAUAUAAUUAAGGCCACGAUGAUAAAUUAUACUAUCGUUAAACUAUUUAUUUCUCUGGUGUACAAACUUAGCAGUAAGGUAGACUUACUGGUCCAAACGAUCUUGAAUCCAGGCUAGAAGAUGAAUUGUCUCCCUCAACCCAACAAUGUCCUUCUGUAAUUUUCACCACACAUAGGAAUGACGCGUUCCAAUCCACUCACCAGGUAAGGCAGUUAUUCUCUUUAUGUGACUCUCCUUGUGGUUACUUGGGGAGCUGCAGAAUGUUCCAUCAGGUUUCUUAUUAUAAUUCACUAGGCACAAAUAGUACUCGAGUGUUGUUAAGGGAAAAAAUUACCGGAAAACUACCACGUCACCAUGCGAGAACUUGUAGUUUUGAAGACAUUGUUUCUCGACCAAAACAUUGUCAUCUGCAACCGAAUCACAAUCAGACCACUAAACAAACCAUCACAUUGCACAACACAAAAAUCUUAGUGAGACGUCAUUCAAUAUACCAACUAGUUGGCAAGCCCAUCAAAGAAGUCGCUCCAUGGUUUAACGUAGGCGACAUAGAGGAACCCCGCACCAGAGCAACACUCGCAAAUCGAUCCGAAACAUAUACACCUAUAAUCCCAGAUGUGAAAAACUUGUUGGCAAAAUUCCACAAACCACUCCGAGUUCCCAUGUCCUGUUUUUUUUCCCUAAAUACUCACAUUUCAUGUGCAAAAUGCAGCCAUCUGUAACAAUUAUCAUCAAUUUUACCGAAAAUAAAAUCAAAUCAAAUGCGCAAUUUCGAUAAAGUAAGAAGAUUUAUAUAAGCAAAAACAGUAACCAAUCUCUCAGAGGCAAACAAUCAAACACCUGGUGAGCUUAAUGGACAAGAGGGAAAGAGAGUAGGUUACCAUUUGGGAAUAUUUCGGAUUAGCUGUCGAAGAAGCUUCCUUCACCGACGGGAGUCUUCGUUAAUGGAGGUAAGGCGGGAGGAGGUAGGUCGUGUACCGCCGUCGCGGAGUCGUGAUUUGGAGGAGAAGCAAAGUCUGGAUUAUAUUUCGGCUUUGGAGCUAUAUCUCAGAUGCUUUUUGCUCAAGGAAUUUGAAUUGGGUGACAAGCAUUAAUAAAAAAAUAAAUAAAUAAAUAAAUGUAUAAAUAGGAUCACCUAUAUAAAUUUUACUAAUUUGGACCCCUACAAGUUGCUUAAAGAGUAAUCAAAGCCCACCACUCCCAUCAGAGUUGAAAAUCUAACGAAAAUGACAUUUUUAUUCUAAAUGUCAAUUUUGAUACUAUUUACUUACAACAUUCUUUUGCCUUUUUUUUAAUUAAAAUUCAAAGUUUUCAAACCAUUUUCAUUUUUUUUUUCUUUUGAUUUAUUUAUUUUUAUUACAAAAGGACAAGUUAAAUUAUUCUAAUUCAUAUGGAGUGAGAUUAUUAUUUGAUAUAUUCUCGAACUUGAGUGAAAAGGGUAGACACGCUAUUAUAACUAAUUGGUUUAACCUGAAUAUGCUGUGUAUGUUUUUUCUUUGAUUAAAUCCGUAAUUUUUCACUUAGAUAAGUGUAAUUUGAUUUUAUUUACCCAUAAAAAAAAAUAAAUAAAUCUUAUAAUCGAUCAAUUUGUUAAAUGAAAAUUUUCUUAACUAUGGGCCAUACAAUUAUGUUUUAUUUUCAAUCAAGUCCUAAAGUGUGGUUUCAUUUGCGAUAAGUUAUAUGCCUUAAUAUUCACUUAAUAUUAAAUUUUAGUGACAUUAUUUUUCCUUGCAAGUAAUAAGUUAAGUUUAAACGCUCUUGAAUAACGAGUUCAAUACCUAUUUAUUUAUUUAUUUAUACUAUCGUAACAAAAACUCGUUACACUAUUCUCUCUCACUACUUAAGUUACCCAAAUUUUUAACUUGAGAUAAAUUGUUGGGAAAUUUUAUUUGAACCCAUCUAACUUCUUUGUACACCCAACUUACUCUCUUCACCCAUAUUGUUUUUUAUUAAAGAAUUAAUAUCUCUUUAAACUGUAGGUAUUUAUUCUUGUAUCUCCAUGCUACUUGAAUGCAUCUUUCUGCAAGGCCUCUCCAGUAAGGUGACUCAUACCUGCCAUAAAAACCAAACUUCAACAUCAAUGUUCUGUCAUAAACCAUUCCCACAUGCAUCCUAGACGAUUUCUUGCAGACCACGUAUGCAUAUGUCACCAGUCUUCAAUCGUGUAUGCAUACAUGAGAUAUGAAUAGCUUGAAUAAAAUAAACCUUAUGGCUCCUGGAACACGUGGUUUGCGCAAGAAUCUGGAGAAAACAUUGGUGACUUCUUCAAUGUCAGCUGCAGCAAUCAAUAGAAGAGACCUACAUAGGUGGACUACUUUCCAUAGAGCUUGUUUCAAAGGGAAGAUAAAAGUCAUUCGAACGCUGCUUGAAAAGGGUUUGGAUAUGGAUGCUAAAGAUGAGGAUGGACACACCGCGUUGCACUGUGCAGCGGAGUCGGGUCAUGCGGAUGUGAUUGAGAUGUUUAUAAAGAAAAGAGUUGAUGCUGAAGCUCGAACUAACAAAGGUGUGACUGCACUGCAUAUUGCUGAGUCUUUGCACUACGUUGGGAUUACUAGGAUACUUAUUCAUAGAGAUGCAACAAAAAAACAAUAGUAAUAUGGCACAUAUGUUGACCCAGGCCUCAGUUUCAUUUGGGAAAAAAUCUAUGGGACUAGAGGAGGAGAUCAUCAAAGGAGGAAUGAAGAAGGAGAAAUCGAGUCAAGCUAGAGCUCUUCGUGUGAGCUUUGAUGGUUCGAUGCCAUUGGUUGUUGUUUAGCUAGUAAAGUUAGAACUAAUAUUGGUGCAUUGGUAUUUUGAUAAACGUAGUAUAAAUUAGAGGAUUCAAAACUUCAAAAUCAUUAUCCAUCAAUAAAAAAACUUGUUUUUCUCUAUGAGAGCUAUUAGGGUUUUAGCCGUAAUGAGCGUAUGAUAAAUAAAGAGUGAUCCUAGGGUUUAAUUAUAGUGUUUGGGUUUAUUGAUAAAUUUGAGUUUUAUUAUUAAUUUUAUUUUGUACUUAAUAGUAAUUAUGCAAUAGGGUAAAAUAGGCAAUUAACAUUUAAAAUUUAGGGGGGGUGUAUUCAAUUGGGAAUUUGAGAGAUUUUAAUGGAUUUAUAAAUCCAUGAAUUUUUAUGGAGUCUAAUUGAUUUGUAGAGAUUCCAUAUAAAAUUUUAAUUCAAUUCCCUCCAAAUCUCUUGGGGAGAGAUAAGAUUUGUGGAUGAUUAAAAUACACUACAAAAUCUCUCUAAUUCCCUCUAAUUCCCCAACUUUGUCAAAUUCUUUAAAAUCAAAUUCUAAUUGGAUACACCUAGAAUGUUAUAAACUUCUUUAAAAUCUUAAUGGAAUACACCCGGAUUUCUAAGGAUUUUAAUAAACUAUCUUAAAAUCCUAAUUGAAUACGCGUUGAAUUUCAGAUAAUCACUUAAAAUCCUGAUUGAAUACCCCUAGAUUCAUUAAAAGAAUUAAAAUCCCUCAAAAUCCCAAUUGAAUACACCUCCUAAGAUGAGUGUAAAAAAAUAUUACAUAAGUUUAAAUAAAAUUUCCCUUUGACGUCCAAAGCAAGUAUCAUAAAAUAUCAACCAUGUAGUCAUUUAUCAGGUAGGAAAAGCUCACAUGGCAUUGCGUACACUAAUCCUUUGAUCACAUCACAAUCUUUACAAACUUAAGCAUCACAAAUCAUGAUCAGCUAAGUAAUUAACGUUACAUAAUUAACCAUUGUCCACUAAUUAAAAAAACCAAACAUGAUAUGCACGUAGAGAAUGGGCGGUCUAAGAAGAGAAGGCGUCGAUGAUGGUAGUGUGGAGCGGGUCACUCAAAUGGGUAGCCCAGUUGUUAAGCGGGCCCUUUCCGGUCACGGCGGCCUGCACGGCGAACCCGAGGAACCCAACCAUGGCGAGGCGGGCGUGCUUGAUUUCAGCCAGUUGAAG